rnacentral:lncRNA from 1 species
GAGAUGAGGAUCUAUGAACCAUUCUAAACUCGUAUUUUGAUUUAAGAACCCUGUCUUUCCGGAGAAAAGACCAACGCAUGUUGCUCUAAGCAAAGUUCCGGAGAAAAGACCAACGCAUCUUGGAAAUAAUUUUAAAUUUGAAAUUAGCAACAACAAUUGGUCUAUAAUCUUUAAUGGAGUAAGCACCACGAAUCUUAGGAAUAACACAUACCACAUUACUGUUCAUUCUAGGGAGAAUCCAAUUUUGUUUAAAAAACUAUUGAACAAUAUUGCGACAUCUGUCCCAAUAAUUUCAUGACAAGAAUGAUAGAAAACACCACCAAAACUAUCAGGGUCAGGAACACUAUUACCAUUAAGAUUAAAAACAACAUUCUUGAUUUGCAAAAAAUCAGGACAUUUAAUCAACAUCAUAUUCUCCUAAGAGGAAACCAGCUCAGGAAUAUAAGUACCAACAAAAUCUUCCAUAUUGUAUUGUUUGUAUCCUGAACAUUAGAAAUAGACCCAACAAAAAUAUUUUUAUAAAAGUCCAAAAUAUGAUCCUUAAUGAGUUUAGAAUCCUCAAUAACCUCAUUAUCAAUCCGUAGAAGAUGAAUCUCACUAGAAUUAUUUCUCCUCUUGACCACAACAUGUGACUAAACUUACCAAUCAAUAUUUAAUUAAAAAUACAUCCAAAGAUUAAAUAAAAAAACAUAGUUAAAAAUAAUAUUUAUCAACAUAAUAUUUUAAACAUAUUCUCUAUAGGUUAAACUUUACUAAAAAUUACACAAUUAAAAAAUAAAUACAAAAAUUGUUAAAAUAUGUAAUUAUAAAAAAAAAUAACCUCCUAGUGUAAAACAUAUUUUAAAAAGUGUAUAAUUGGCAUUUUUCUUAUUACAGAUAAGUAAGUAGGGCUUAAAAACCUACUAGAUUCAAAAUAAUUUUCUUUAUACUUUAACAAGACUUCUAUGUUAGUUAUUAGAGCCUAAAACACUACUAGAAGACUUGUAAGCCUAAAACACCACUAGUAAAUGAUAGGUUCAAUUCAUAAAAUUAAAAGAUAAGAACAUUUAUAGUUAAGCAAGAAUGUUUAAUUGUGGAUGGUAAAUAAAUUUGUAUUAAGGAUGUACAUUGAAUCUGUUUUGAUUUUGACAAUUCAUAAAAUUAAAUGAUAAGAAUAUUUUUAGUUAAUAGUUAAGCAAGACUAAUUGUAGAUGGUAAAUAAAUUUAUAUUAAGGGUGUACAUCGAAUUUGUUUUGAUUUUGAGAAGAAAAUUUUUGUAUUGAUUAAGAUAAAGGUAUUUGUAUAUACAAUACUUAUUUUUUUUAAUAAAAUAUGAAUACUAUGUAUAUAUCAUGUCUUCAUCUAUUUUAAAUUAUUAAAUACUUUAGUUUUCUAAGUAAUUUAAAAUAUUUAUUUUUAUUUAUUUAUUGUUAUCUUUUAUUUCGUUUCAUUUAAAUAACUUUGUUCUUACUAUACAAUUCGUUAUUGUUUAUCAAUUAUUUAACUAGUUCGAUCAUCACUACAUUCACUUAUAUCUUCUUUAAAAUAUUUUCUUUCUUAUCACAACUCCAAUUACACAUUUUUUUUACAAUUUUGUUCAAAAUAAUAUGUUAUAUUUUAUAAACAUAAAUUUUAAUUUUAUUGAAUUAAAUGAAAUUAAGUCAUUUUUAAAAUACAUAUUUAGUUUAUUUCUUUUUUAUCAAAUAAUAUAUUACAUUUCAUAAAAUGUAAACUCUAAUUUCAUAAAAUUAAAUCAUUUUAGAUACACCAUUAGAUUUAUUUAUUAUUUAUUUCUCAUUAAAUCUAAUCUUAUAUUCAAUACAAAAUCUUAUGUAUUAAGCAAAAUACAUAAAAUUAAAAAAAAAACAAAAAUCUCAAACACACAUUACUUUAUGGAAAAUGAUGGUUUGAUAAUUCUGAGAAUUGUAUACAAUUUUAAUGUGUAGAUUUAUAUAUAAAUAUAUAUAAUAAAGGAUAAAUUUAAUUAUAUAAAAAAUAUUAAAAUGAUAAUAUUGAUGAUAGUAAUCUAAUUGUAUAAAAAAGAUAGAUUGUUAAUGUAUAAUUAUUUUUACUUUAUUAAUACACUUUUAUCUAAAUUAUAAGCUUAAAAAACUAUAAAACUAAGAGAGGGAAAAACAAAAGUCUCAAACAAACAUUACUUUAAUACACUCCUAUCUAACUUAUAAACCAUUCCAAGAUUGAAGUUGCACCGAUGUGGGACAUGUAAUCCAACAAGUCAUAGUUAAUUUGAAGAAAUUUAGUAGUGAACUAUAGGGAUUGAUGAAAAAUACAUAUAGAAAGUAUAGAAAGUGAAGUAGAAAAAGGAGACGGUUGUCGCACAAAGAAAGUAUCCACGGUGUUUCCCAACAUGCAGCAGCAACUUUUUCAUUGUGCCUACCAUUCUCACUCACUCACUUAGAAUCUCUUCUUCAUCUACCACUAACACUUUCUUUCUCUUCCUCCUUCUCUUAUGCACUUCUACUUUGACCCCACCACACCAACUCCUCUAUCAUUCUCCUUCCACUUUGGAACCUUCAAUGCCUCCAACAUCUUCCUUCUCACCCUUCAAACUCACCACCUUACAAACCCAUUAUCCAUAUAUGUCACACUUAACUUAUCCUUUCUUCCACUAUUUCUAACUAUGCUUUCAUGUGUAGAAAUUUUAAAAUGCAGAUAAGUUGGGGAAUGAAGAUAAUAUGUGAGAAGAGUAUACAUUCAUGGUCACCUUGAGCAGUCAUACAAUCCCAUUUACCAAAGCAAGAAGUUUUUACCAUCACCUCAGUAAAAAAAACAAAAAAAAAACAUUAAUGUCUUUGUUACAACUUUUGAAAUUACAGUUAUUGAAAAGGGGUGUGAGGAUAGUCCUAGAUAGAAUACAAGUUGUUAAUUGAAAAAUAAAAGGGGGCCACAGAAACUACAGAGUCCUGACAAAGCGUGACAAAGUUAAAAAACAAGACAAAAAUUUAAUCGUAUGAUGUGCAAGUGCCUACCUAGCUCUAGCUGCACUCUUUCAAUAUUCAUUCCCAUAAUAAAAUCAAAUUUUCAAAAAACCAUUCCCAAUAGAUAAUACAACAAUGCAUCCUCAAUGCAAACUUUUGUCCUUUCAUAACAGUUCAUUGAUUAUAACUUCUAUCUGUUUUAAUAUAGCAUUUGCAGUGUUUUAUUCAUCCAAACAUAUCAGAAAAUGGUAUUACUUUAUUUAAGAUAACUCAACUGAUAAAAUUGAAACUUGUGAGACUAACAACACAAUUUACAUAUUCAAUAUAUAUAUAUAUAUGAGAUUGUCACCCAUUUUUUUCCUAUAUGAGUUCUCUCACAGCCUUCUGCAUAGAAACAAGAAGAAAGAGCCUGGAGAGAAAGAGAAUCAAAUCCUUUCCUUAAACUUUACGCCUCCAUAACACACCAGCACAAGAGAAAAGAAAAACAAAAAUCAAAGAGUCUCUUCUUCUUCUCUCUCUCUUUCCCAUGCAUUAAAAUCUUUUACAAUUUUAACUUUCCCACUUUCCCACUUCCCCACUCACACUCUUUAAAUUCCCACAAGAAACCGAGGUUUGGCUUCACUUUUCAGUCACCACUUCAAAACUCUCACCUUUUGUUCUUGCUCUUGUUUUGUUCUUCUUGUUGUUGCCUUUUUCUCUCCCUACAGCACACAAACAAACCUAUCUACAUGGGUUCUUGCAAACCCCAACAAGAGCAUGUUCAUGGGCCUAUCAUCAUAGGUGCCGGACCUUCAGGCCUAGCCGUGGCUGCUUGUCUCUCAGAGCACAAAGUCCCUUUCGUGAUUCUUGAGAGAAGCAACUGCAUAGCCUCUCUUUGGCAAAACAAAACCUACGACCGUCUCAAACUCCACCUCCCAAAGCAGUUCUGUGAGCUUCCCUUGAAGGGUUUUCCCCACACUUUCCCCAAGUACCCCACAAAGUACCAGUUCAUAUCCUACAUGGAGUCCUAUGCUUCACACUUCAACAUCCACCCCAGGUUCAACCAAAUUGUGGAGUGUGCUGAGUUUCAUAAAGGGUCACAGCUUUGGGUGGUUAGGACUCAGGAGUGUGAGUUUGUGUCUCCCUGGCUUGUGGUGGCCACUGGAGAGAAUGCUGAGCCUGUGCUUCCUCGAAUUCAUGGAAUGGACCAUUUUUCUGGCUCCAUUGCUCACACUAGUGUCUACAAGUCUGGCUCUGAGUACAGAAACAAGAAGGUUUUGGUCAUUGGGUGUGGCAAUUCAGGAAUGGAAGUUAGUUUGGACCUUUGCAGACACAAUGCCUCACCUUACAUGGUUGCAAGAAAUACAGUAAGUUCACCCUCAUUUCUAUUCAUUCAAUUUUUCAUCACCACCCAACACAGAUAUCAGUACAAACAAAUGCUUUUGCAAAGUUAAACAUCAACUUCUACAACUCACCUUUUGACAGAAGUUAAUUCAAAUAAAUUUCUUUAAAAACUUCAACUUAUGUUUUCUUCUUUAUGAACAAAAAAAUACUUCUUUCAAUGUGUCACAUUACCAUGAAGAGAGUAAAGACUACUAGUGACACUUGUGUUUUCUUUUUCUUUUUUUCAUUUGGGUGACCCUGUGUAAAUAUUUUCCAAGUUAUUGGAGUGAAAAUUUCAAUUUUGGUUAAAAAAACAUGGAUAAAAUCACUUUUUUGUAGAUGGACUAAAGAAGUUUUUUUUUUUUCCUUUGGUUAAAUUUGAGUGUUAAUAAUGAGAGUGUGAUGAAAUUGACGUCAUUUAUGUUCUUUUUUCCCAUUUGGGUAACUAACAAUCAACUUUGGGGAGAGUAUGCUCUUUGCUCACUUUGUUGCAUGCUUUGAAUGAUUGAAGGUGCAUGUGCUUCCUAGGGAGAUGUUUGGAUUCUCAACUUUUGGCAUAGCCAUGGCUCUUUACAAGUUGUUUCCAAUCAAGAUUGUAGACAAAAUUCUCUUGCUUGUGACCAACUUCAUGUUGGGAAACACCAAUGACUAUGGCAUCAAAAGGCCAAAAACAGGCCCAAUAGAGCUCAAAUUAGCCACAGGGAAAACCCCAGUUCUUGAUGUGGGUCAAGUGGCACAAAUCAAAUGUGGCAACAUUAAGGUAUGCUGUGUGUGGAAAAUGAAGUGAUCCCAAUUUGUUGAUUCAGGUGAAUUUUGAGAAUUGUUGAGGGUAACAUUGAAUGGGACUGUGUAGGUGAUGGAGGGUGUGAAGGAGAUAACAAGAAAAGGUGCCAAAUUUAUGGAUGGACAAGAAAAGGAAUUCGAUGCUAUAAUCUUGGCAACAGGGUACAAAAGCAACGUGCCUACUUGGCUCAAGGUUAGAAUUUGUUCUGUUGUGUUGUGUUACGUUUUUAGCUCUAUCUUAUUAUCAUGAACCACUCAUGACAUGUCACUGUCUGUGCUUGGGACACAUGCAGACUGCACAAACCUACAAAUCUCUUCUUUUCUUCAUUCCAAAGAUGAAGAAUAAAAUCAGUUCCUACCCUGUUCUUGGGUUCUACCACUCCCUUUUUCUUCAUCACAAAAAACUUUUCUUUUUCACUUCUAUUACUAAACAAUCACCAAAUAUUAUAAAAAAAUGAUUCUUUCUAAGGGAAGACACAGAGAAAAGCAGUAAAAGGUAAAACUUUUGCUUCAAAUCGAUUAAUAAUCAGAUUAUGUGUUGUGGGUAAAGGGUGUGCAUGCAUAUUCCUAAAAGUAAUGUUGCAAGAUUCUAUUUUAAUUCUCUUUAUGACAUGUUUUUUUCUGUGUGUGAAAACUCAAAACUUUUUUUUGCUACUUUAGGGUUCUGAUUUUUUCACGGAGGAUGGAAUGCCGAAAACGCCCUUUCCCCAUGGGUGGAAAGGGGAGCAGGGAUUGUAUACGGUGGGGUUCACCAGAAGAGGAAUACAAGGAACAUCGUGUGAUGCAAUCAAGAUCGCUGAAGACAUUGCCUCACAGUGGAAAACCGUAGAGAACAAGAAUCAGUGCAAUUCACAUGUCAUCAUUCUCACUUCAUAGACCUCACUUACCCUCCAAAAAAAAAAUGCAACUUUUUUUUUUAUUUAUUAGGAGAAAGGAGAAAUACGAAGUUAGGAAUUAGUACCCAUGCAAUUAGGCUAGUUUUUAUUUAUUUAUUUUAUUUUAUGUUAAUUUAAUUUUUAUUUUAUUUUUUACCUUUUUACCCCUCUCUUUUGCUGGCAUGUACAUGCAAUUUUGUAUCUUUAGGAGCAUAAACUUUAGCUUUGUACAAAACAGUUUCAUAAAUGGAAUGGUAACUUGGUUAACAAAGUGUAGUUGUAUCCAAAAGAAAUUUGUGAAUGUGAAAUAAUACUAUAUAUGUUUCUUAUUAUUAUAUCUUUUUAAUUUUCUGUGAAAUGUAAAUUAAAUUUAAUGUUCAAUUUCAUUUUUUGGUUAGUACAUUUGUGACAUGAAUGUAUUUGAAAACUAAGUGUAAGAAGUGGUACACACACGGCAGGCAUAUAUUGUUCUGGUCUUUCAUUGAAUGUACCAAUUGAAAAAUUACUUAAAAAGAGGAAAAUUUUCUAAAGUUAACCAUAGUUAAUACUAAAAGAGAAGCACUAGUUAAACUAAUUAAUUAAUUUAGUGACAGAAUAACGAUAAUGUAGUUUGUCUUAUUAAUGUUAGCAUUGAUAUUUUCUAAUCCUGAUGCAUUUUGGCUUAAUACUAAUUGUAGAAUAUGUACUUCUAUGAUAACAUAAUAAAAAUAAUUAAUUCAACUUUUUUUUCUUUAAAAAGAGUACUAUUAAUGUACUAAGUUCAUCCUCAUUAUCAAGUCUUCUCAUUAUUCAUUGAUAAAUAAUUUUAAAGGGAAAAAUAAAUCUAAUGUUUUAUAAAAAUUAUAAACAACUUAUAAAAUAUCAUGUAUUUCUUUUAAAAUGAAAUGUCCUAUAUUAAGAAGAGUUCAACUCUUUUGCCUCAAUCAAUCACUUUUUUGUCAAAAUCGAGGUUGAUUGGGUUGACCCGUCAAGAUUAUAUGAGUUGAAAUUGGUAACCCUACUCGUCAUGUCAUAGGGUGAGUUGGUCGCUUGACUCCUCACUUUCCAAAAAAAAAUCAAUUUUUUUAUUUUUAUUUUUGGAUCUAUUUAUUUGGUUGUAAUCAUUGAUAUCACUUUUUAGACAAUAAAAAUGUAAGGAGAACAAUAAAAUUGAAUCAAACUUUAAUAUUCUAAUAAAAAAAGAUUUAAUGUCUAACAAAGUAAAGUAAAUAUCAACAAUACUUUAUUGAAUCAAAUUAUGUAUAAAAAAUUAAUGUAAAUAAAAUUCUAUAUAAAACAUUGACACCCACAAAUUUUAAUUCCAAAAACAUGAGAUUCCUCUUUAAAAGUAUCAAAAAUAAAUAAGGGCGGGAUGGCAGGCUAGUCCACCCUGCCCCGCCUGUGCUUGUCGGGUUGGUGGGUUAGGAGGGUCAGGCCAAUGCAGGCUGGCGGGUUGACGACCCGACCCUUGUCAUCCUAAAUAUUAAGAAUUUGAGUACAAGAGACAAUUUAAAGUCUUAUUUAAAAAGACAAAUAAAUUUAUCAAGUGAUUUUGGUUUAAAAAGUUGAGUUAGUAUAGCGUUACUUACUAGUAACGUUCUUUUUUAUUGUUUUUUUAAGUAUUUAUUAAUUUCUUUAGUUAACACCUAUAAGAUAUCUUUAAUAUUUAGUAAGUACUUUUUAUGAAAUGAGAAUGUAUCUUUGUUAUUAUUUUGUUGUUGAUCUAGUUGCCCUACUUGUUGAUUUACUCUCUGGUCUCAAGAAGAGUGAAGAUAUCUGCAAAAUGAUCUCCAAACCUAAAAUCAGUAUUCGAUGGUUGGACUAUUUAAUGUUAUUAAAAACAUAACUUUUACCUGGAUGGUGUCAACAUAUUUAUAGAGGUGAGUGAGGGUAUCAUUUAAGUAAACUUACAUUAACACGAAUUUCAAGGUUAUUUUGACAGUACAAAUUGAUUAGCAUAUUCUAAUCGGUUUCAGUUAUUCUUUAUGUAUUUUUCGUUUUAGGUCCCCAAUAUGUGUUUGACGAGGUUUUCCGAGAUUGUUUUAGGCUUAUUAUUUCUGUUUUGGUUUAUCAAGAUGGUGUUGACCAAGCAUGAUCUUGGUCAGGUUGAUAAUGUAAAAUAUUAACGGUCUCUGCCACGUACAUUUUUCAAGUUUUCUAGGCUUCUCAUCUCAAUGACAACUUGUUUGUCGGGAUUGACCCCUAUGCCUCUAUGAGUGAGUAUAAAAUCAAUGAACUUUAUAUCAUCCACCCCGAAUAUGCACUUUUUGGGGUUCAAUCUCAUGUUGCUUCUUCUAAGCGAGACGAAAACUUCACCAAGAUCCUCCACAUGUCGAACACAAAAUUCAGAUUUGACAACCAUGUUGUUCACAUACACUUCGACAUUUUGUCCAAUAAGGCCCUUGAAGACUUUGUUCAUUAGUCUUUGGUAUGUUGCUCUGUCACAUCUUCUCGAUGGCUUUCAUGGAUAGGUGAUGUCCGAAUUUGGGUAUACUGGUUCUUCUCUCAUAAUUGUAACAAAGUAAUAUCCUCCCUAACUUCCACUAAGACAUCAUUUAUCCUGGAUCAUGGUCAACCAAAGCAAUAGUAUGGUCCUUUCUCAUACUUGUUUGAUUCUGGUAGGCCAAAUAAUCUCAGCUAGCAACAUAACAAUCUUUCGUUGUCCUCUUAUCCUCUUAUACGAUAAUGAUGUCGCCUGAUGUUGAGGGGAAUUUCAUCUCCAAAUGAGGGUAGAGACUAUCGUUGCCAAUCAGUUAAGGGUAGGCUUCCCCAGAAAGAUGUUGCAUGAUGUGUUGACAUCGAUCAAGAGGUAUUGUAUCUUGAUGAUCAACUCUAUAGUCCUCCCUAUCUAAAUAGCUUGUAAAGGUUUUUGUAUCCUCUUGUGUCAACUUAUUCACCAAAUAAUUUUACAAUUUGAUCUUCUUAGGGUUAGAUCUCAGACACGAGUAUCACAAGCUUCUUAAAGGUCUUCUGAUGGUCUUCUUCUCCAUGUUUGUAUGUUUACUUGCAUUUUGAUUGUGAAAGUUGUGGAGGAAUAAAGGAGACGAUUCAAGAAUUGGAGUGGAAAGGUGCAAGAUUUCCUAGUGAAAGGUUAGGCCUAUUCACUAAGAAAUAGUCUAGGGAGGCUAUCAAGGAGACUACCCUAAAGAGUGAGCUUAAGCAAGUGUUUAGGAUGAAAAAUUGGCAACAUAACACUAUCAUUCAUAAGAUGAUUUUACAAGUGGCUAGCACACUUAUUUAUAGUGCUAGGGUCAACCCAAAAGAGAGUUAAAUUAAGAAAAUUCAAAUUCAAAUGAAAAACCCGAUCUAGAAGAGCCAAUGAGAGUGUGUCAUGUGACUAGUCACACUCUCCAUGCCUUCUUCCAUAUGAAGCACAUGUUAAAUGAUUUUUAAGUGCAGUUACUGUCCCCUUGUGUGUUUACUCCUUCCCUUUGAUGUUUUAGGGUCUACAUUAGGCUUAAAGAAGCCCAAAUGUAACCCUAGAUGGCUUAUGCUACCUUAUUCUACUUUAGACCCAAAUACAAGGCCCAAAACCUAUACUACUUAGCCUAACUACAUGGCCUGAUUAUUAUAUGCUACCAAGAACAAGACCCCUUAAAUCCUAAACUACUUUUAACAAUUAUUUAAAUUAAAUUUUGGGCCCAAAAUGAUGUUGACUCGUCUCUUCAAGUCAGUUGAAACUCAAUCUUCUUGUGGCUUCUGAUAAAAGCUAUAGUUGAAGUUUUGAUGACUUGGAGGUCUUCUUGGAUGCUUUGUACAUUCCUUCAUCCUAGAGUUGUCCUCUUGAUUAGGCCUACAAAGAUAAACAAAAAGCCCAAUUAGGCCCAUAUGUGUUAGUAAAUGCUUAAACAAACUCUAGGUCUUCAUCCUUCUUAUUUUGUGGGUGUUUGUGGAUUUUUGUGAUUGGACGAUUUCCAUCACCCCCACCCUCUUGAAAGGAUUUGUCCUCAAAUCUACAAGGUUGGUUCUGGACAACAAGCUUAUUAUUGUUUUGAGGUUCAUGUUUUUCCUCUAAGACCAAACACUCAUAAAAUAAACACCAAACAAAUCAAGUGACAUAUAUAUAGAAAAGUCAAGAAGAACAAGGUUCUUCAAGGCGUAAUUAAGAAAAUCGUGUCUUCCAAAUUUCAUGUACUUCUUAUCAAAUAAAUAACAAAAGUUCAUGACUUUUGAAACUUUUUUUUUAUUUGUUUUGUUGUCCUAUGGUUGCUAUAUUUCUCGAAAAUUCUUAGUUUUUAUUGUCAACUCAAUACAAGACUUAAUUUUCUUAUGAGUGAAAGUUAUUUUAUUAGUACAACCUUCAUGAAUGGUUUUAUGAUCAACAUUGAUUGUGUGGUUCUUCUCAUUGCACAAGAAGUCACAUGUGUAUCUCAUUGCACACAAAUUUUCUAACGAGUGUUUUUUUAUUAGUUGCUACACUGGAUAUAACAUUUUGAGGGGUCGACCAAGUGCAAGGUACCAGAAGCUGAUAUGGUUGUACCUUAAGGUUAUUUGUAAUUUUCAUUAAAUAAUUUCCUUCUUUUAUUUGUAAAAUAAAUAUCUUCACUAAGUUCGUAAUUAUUGAAUUGUAGUGCAAUAAGAAAACGUGUGACUAUUAUGUAAUGCAAUGGAUGACAGUCGUUGUAUGAGCCGAUAUUGAAAGAGGUUAGGAAUAGAUAAUCACAUUUAACUAAUUCUUUAUAUCAAAAACUGUGUUUAGUUUAUGGUCUAAUUUUAACUUAUUAUGUGUUGCGGUAUUUUAUAAAUAGUCAAUCACUCAAUUUCGAAUCAAUUGAUUAUGUGACGAGAUGAUCUUACAAUUGAUUUGAUGUUUUAUUUACUCUUCUUAUGUUCUUCAAUCUUAGAUUUAGUUUAUAUGUUUUUAGUCUUUGGAAAUUUAGACUUUACAUAUUAGUUUACAAUUUCAUUUGUUGUUUUAUUUAUUGUUCUUAUGUUCAUUAAUCUUAGUUUUAAGAAAUUUUGACAUUACAUAUUAAUUUACAAUUUGAUUUGAUGUGUUAAUUAUUUUUUAUGAGUACUAUUUGUUUUUAUAUGAUAUUUCUAAAUUCAGCUAGUGGUUUUAUUGAAUACAUGUUAAUAAAGAGAAUAAAAUUAAAUAAAUAAACUGAACUAAAAAAACACAACAUAAAAGAUUGUUCAAAUCAAAAUUUCCGUCUAUAUUAUACAUAGAUGACAAUUUUGGUCUUAAUCGUCGUCUAUAUGGUAAUUUUUUUUGUUAUUCGAAAGUCAAACGAUGACAGUUUUUGCUCUAACCUUUGUCUAUGAGGUGAAUUUGUUUGUUUUUUUUUUUUGUGUCUGGUUGAGAAAUAGGACGAUAGUUUACCCAAAACUUUGUUAAUUUGGAAGUCAUAACAAUGAUGAUUUGUGUUAUUAAUCGUUAUCUUUAUGAAAGAAUAAUGAUGACGGGUUAAACCGUCAUAUAAUUUUUUAACGACGGUUCCAUAAACAAUGGUUUGGAAACUAUUAUUGUAAGGCUUUUAAAAUUGUCGUCUUUAAAAUCUUUUACAGUAGUGCAAACUCCAUUGUCAUCGGUAUGUAAUGUGAUUCUCAUUUUUGUAAUUGAAUGUAAGACCCUACAGCUUUUAGAAAAAAACAUUUUUCAUAAUCUAUUAACACAAAUAAAUUAAAUCUAUUAUCUUAAAUUUAAUAAAAUUUUAGUAGCAUUUCACAUUUGUCUUCAAAGUAUACCAAAUGAAAAUGGUUAUAAAGAAUGCACCAAAAUCAAGUUUGCACCCAAAGAACAAAUUAAAUGGUUUGGACCAAAACUACAUCAAAGUUAUGGCUAGAUUUAAUGUGUAAAAAACUAUGAAAAAUAUUUUUUCCAAACUAUCCAAACGGACAAUUCAACAUUUAACACAAAUGUUUAAUUUAAUCACUGACCUUAAAUCUAAAAUGAAAAUUAAGGUUCGCUAAAUAUAUAGAUAGAAAAGAGAUGAAAUUAAAUAUAAAUAAAAUUACUUUAAAUAAACAUACAAAUUUCUUAAACUUAAAUUGAAAUAAUUUUGAACGAUAGGUUAGGUGAAUUAUUCGUAAAAUUUAUAAUGAAAUUUUAUUCGUAAAUACUAAAUAUAAUUUAUUAAAUAUUUUCAAUUACUUAAAAGGUACUAUCUAUUAUAUUUCUUAAUCUUUGAUUGUUUAAAAUUUUUCAUAAAGUUUAAGGAAUAUUUAAAGAGUCAAAAGUCCUAAUUACUAGAGUUAUAAAAGAAGAAUUUUAAAGACUAGAUAAAUUUAGACUAAAAUACUUUUAUUUAUAGUUACUAAUUUAUAUAUUAUUUUUAACAACCACAUUUAUAAUUCACUUUAGUUAUUGGAAAACAAUUUGAAUAAUAUUUUUAUGGAGUCUUUUGAUGGGAUAAUAAAUUUUUUUCAAUCACUACAAGAAACAGGACAACUAGCGUGAGUCAUAUACAAACACAAAUAGUCAAAAGUCAAUGCAAAAUCGUUUUUUUCAUAAGUCUAGUGUUCUAGAAAAAUUGAAGCUAAUACUUUGGAGCUAAAAAUUUAGUGUGAGACUAAAUGGCUGACAAUAUUUAAGUAGACUAAACUUACACAAAAUGUUCACAUAAUAGUUUAGGGAUACUUAAAAGUUACGAUUUUCAAUCCAAGUCCUGGCGAUGAUCUAGGCUUUUGGGAGAAGAACGCACUUUGUGCAUUUUAAUAUUUGUGAGAAAGCGAAGAUGUGAGACAGAUUUGGAAGAAGAACACGUUUUUUUGUGCAUUUUAAGUUAUUUCAUCAUAUGAGCAUUUUAAUAGUUUACUUGUUUUUCUCGAUAAAUAAUUUAGCGUGAGGUAAACUAACAUAAAUUUUCCCGUCAAUUUAGUGUUGGUCAGACCUACAUUACACAUAACAAAAUAUAAUUUAAUUCUCUAAGCUAAAUAUAUUAGUGUCCCAACUUACACAUUUACAUUAAAUACAUAGGUAUCCCAACUUGUGUUCCGAUUAUAGAAAAUAACUUGUUUUAAUUUCUUAUAAUUAUUGGUGUGGGUUAAAUGUUUCAAUAAUUGACACAAUAUUUUAUAUUUAUUUUUUAUGACCUACACUUUUUGUUGUCUUUUUUUAUGAGCUACACUUUCAGCUAAAAUGUGUUUUUUUAGUGAAUGCAAAAAAAUAUAUAAUCAUAAAAAACACACAUCAAGUUUUAAAAUAAAACAGAAAUUAUUUUCUUUUUUAUAAUAAUUUCAAAUAAAGAGUAGUAGAUAAAAUAUUUAAAAAAAUCAUUAAAUAGAAGUUAAUUUAAAAAAUAAAAAAUAACUAAUUAUUAUAUUAAUUAAAUUAAAUAUUAUUUUAUAUACUAUAAAAUUAUUAGUGUCUAAAAUAUUUAUUAUUAUUAAUAAAAAAUUUAAAUUAAUUUUUAAAUUAUUAUGUAAUUGUAGUUUGUAAUUAAUUAGAUAUUAAUUUAUAAAUUUUUAUUAACAAUAGUAACUAUUUUAAUAUUAAUAACUUUUUAAUUUAUAAAAUAGUAUUUAGUUUAGUUUAAUUAAUAUAUAAUUAAUUAUUUUUUAUUUUUAAAAUUAAAUUUUGUUUAACAAUUUCCUUGAAGUGUAAUAACAUUUUGUUUCUCUUGCCAUAAUAGUAAACAUAGCCUUAUGUAUGCAUUUGGGUUGGUGGAAUUUGGGGUGCACGUGCGUGGCACCUGAUUUUCACACAAACAUGACAAGUUUGACACAGAGAGGAGCAGCAUCAGCAUCUGUGUGCAGCCAUUUUGGUGCUCUCACUGUGUUCAUGCAGCUUUCCUUCAACCCACCAUACAAACCCUUUCGUCACACUUUCAAUGCUUCAAAAACACUUUCAACAGUGAAAACCAUUACUUUGGGAAAACGUGUGCUACACAAAAAUGCCUUCUUUCGGAAACUCCAUUUGGAGCCACAGCCUUUUAUUAAUUGCCUUUAUAAUUCAAUGCCAAACUCUUUCUUACUUUUAAAUGUUAGGGCAAAACACAAGUUAUUGUUUUCUCUUCUUUUUUUUCCUUUAAUGUCAUUUUUUUAUUAGAAUAAAAAAUAAAACUAAUGGUAGUAAGUGUAAUGAAGACAUAGUAUUUUCAGGAAAGGAAAUACUUUGCUGAGAUUGUUAUUAGGGUGUAUUGAUUUGUGAAUGUCCUGUGAAUGAGACGAUCAUGACUCUACUGAUAUAGUGUCACAUAGAUGAAGUUAUUCAGUUAGUGAGAGUUGAAGGAGAUUCAUUUGGCUGAGUCUGAGGUUUGGAAGAACUAAUUAGAACAGAUCAAAUGGAUUUUCCCUGUCGAGAUGAUGAGAUAUUGAGAUUGAUUAUGCGCAUAACUGUGUGGAUUCACAAUGAGUAGUAUGACAAAUGCAGGUCUCUGGAUGCUAAUUUCAAUACACGAGUCUUCCGAAAGUAGAGUCGAGUAUGUGAGUCAGUAGAAAUCUGACAGAAAUAAUGUGGAUGAUAAAUGUGAUAUACAAUUGAUGACUUUGUGCAAAUUAUGAGAAUUUGAUGAAUUAAGUGUUUUUAGAAAGCAAAUUUAUAUUAGAAUUCUCAAAAAUAGCUAGUUUACCCUGUCUUUUGUUUUGUGUUUGUUUUCUUUAAGUUGCACAUGUGAUAGAGCUCUUCAGUGAACAAGAAAUGUUUUAUCUGUAGACUUUUGUGUAUAUAUUAAAUUCCUAUGAAGAGAGAUAUCUUUUUGGGUACAAAUAUGAGAAAAUACUGUAUGUUUAUAUUUAUAUAUUAAUUAGAUAUUGCAGGCAUAAUAUAGCAAAUAUAGAUAAAAAUAGGGAUGUUAUAGUUAAUGAUUACAUACCAAUUUAAAAAUUAUUUUAUAAAUUUUUAUUAAUAAUAAAAAAUAUUUUAAAUAUCAAUACUUUUUUUAGUUUAUAAAAUAUUCUCUAAUUUAAUCAAAUAAUAACUAAUUAUUUUAAUUUGUAAAAUUAAUUUUUAUUUAAUAAUUUUUUUAAUGAUAAGAUUCAUAAAAUUAAAAUGAAAUUAACAUUCAUUCAAACAAUCACACAUUAUUUUGAAACUUAUUAUGAAUGUUAAUACUAAUUGUAUAAUAUAAUAUCUGUACAAUUUAUAAAUAAAAAGUUUCUUAUUUUAUAAAUUAUGUUGGGAGUUUAUUAGUAGUUACUUUGAUCAAAUCAAGCUAAUAUCAUAUUCACGCAGAUUUUUUUAUUUUUUUUUAUAAAUCAUAAAUAUUUUUAUAAAAGAAAAAUAAUGUUAUUAUAAUAUAAUAAAAUCUUUAUACUUAAACAUACACUCAGACAUACUCAUGAUAUAUUAUUAUGGUCAUCAUUUUUCUCUCUCUUUAUAUCCAAUCCUUUAAAGAUAUUAAUUAAAUAAUUAAUUUUUUUAUUAAUAAAUUUUUUAACGUAUAAAUGUAUAAAUUAUAUUAUAAAAAAAUUAUUAAAUAUAAAUUAAUUUUAGAUAAAAAAAAAUUAAUUAGUUAUUAUAUUAAUUAAAUUAAAGACUAUUUUUUUAAAAAAAAUAAUUUAUUUUUAAAUUAAUUUUUAUUAUUAUUAAAUAAUUUUUAAAUUGAUAUUUAAUUAACUAAUAAAAUUUUAAAUAUCAAUUAUUUAGAUUCUAAUAAGAUAUGAAUUUAAAAAUUAUUUAACAAUAAUAUAAACUAAUUUAAAAAUAAUUUUUUUUAAUUUUUAAAAUUGUUGUAACUAAAUAUUUUUUACUUUAAAAUUAAUUUUUAUUUAAUAAUUUUUUAAUAUUGACAAACUUUUUUCUAAUUUUAUAAUUUUCUACAAAUUUCAAACUAUUAAUAAAGUAUGUAUUAAAACAAUAUUAAAGGGUAUACUACUAGUCUACUUAAUAUAAAAGUAAUCAAUCACAUCAUAAAACAAGGUCAAAUUUUUCUUAUUUAGGAAACUGCAGCUUAUAAGGAAAGAAUUAAGUUGUUGUUUUUUUAUGAUUUUAGGUAUUUGGUAUGGGUGAUUUAAAUUUAUCUGUAAAAAUGGGAAGAAAGAGAAGAUUUUUGGAUAUUAUGUGUAAAUGACAAAUUUGCCCCAUUUUAAAUUAUAUUUAUUUUUAUUUUCCUUUCUUUUUUCAACUAUUAUAAAAAAACUUAUAAAUACCCAUCAAUAACAAUAUCUUGACUUAACAUAAAUAUAUAUAUAUAUAUAUUAAUUUUUAUUAAUUCAGUCAAAUUAAUUAUACAACCUAUAAACUUUAUAUUUAAAUUUAAUAAUUAAAUUUUAAUUUUAAACUAAAACUAUUCUAAAUAAUUUUUAUUUUUAUUUUUAAUUUGAAAGCUGGAUUUGACCAACUUAAACGUGCUAUAAUAUUAUAGCUUACUAUAACACAUCACCGAAUAUCAAUGUAACUCUGCAUCAUGCUGACUACUAUCAGAAGCAGAAAACUGUGGCAGGUUUUUUUGUUUGUUAGCUAAAGAAUGACGCGUCACAUAUUAUAUAGAUAUAUACAUUUAUAUAGAUACAGAUAUAAAUAUAUAGAUAUAUAUAUAGAUAGAGUUGUAGUAGUAUAUGUAUGUUGAUGUACAGGUACUCUCUCUCUCUCAGUCACGCUGAUAAUUGAGACAAUGAUGGGCCUCUGACCCCUCCUUUACACAUCCACCUCUCUCAUCAACUCCCAUGUCGACACCUCUGUCACAGGUUUUUGAAUAUUUUAACAUAAAAAGUUUUGAUGAUUUGAAGUUGUUUUGUUGUUGGUGAGAUGAGAUAUGAGAGUUGUGUGUUGGAUGGGGUUUGCAUGAAUAGGAAAUGGUUUGGAGAAAGUGUUGGCACUCUAUCAUAUGCGUUUCUGCCGCCGUAUUGCAUGUUACCAUUUCACCAGAGGGGUCCUCUUCUGUGAAGGGACACUGUCACUGUGACUGUCAUGAAGUUUUUCAUUAGAUAAACAAGUGUGGAGAAAAGUCCUGUGCAUACAAAUGGAUCAAGGUAGAAGAAGAACACAAUUAUAAAAAUGUUUAGUUGGUGUAUGUUGUUAGUGAACUACACUCACACGUUAUUGGAAUCAUACGCAAAGACAAAUUUGUGUCUGGUUUUAGUGGAAGGAGAAAACUUGUUAGAGUACCCAUACACGGAUAUGUGACUGUUACUCAGUGAAUUUUAAAACGUUGCAAUAAGAAAUUAAUAAGAAUGAAGAGGGUGUUAUAUCUUCUAAGAGAAUUUGAAAUGUUUUGUAGUAAAAUAUGUUUUUGAGUUAAGAAUUUUUUAAAGAAAUUGAGAAUCUAGAAUAUUAUUAGAGUAAUUGAAUUAUUUAGAAUUAAAGAAUUUUAAAUUCUACUUAGAAUUUGUAAUUUUUUAUAUUUUUAAAUUCAUAUUUUGGUCUCGAUCCAAUCUAGUUCGACAUGACUUUAAUAUGAUAUCUUGUCUGAUUAAACUCAACUUGGUCAAACCUGAUUCGAUUUUUCUCAAUGCCACCUAAACCCAUCUCGACUUGAACCUAAUCCAAGUUGGGUCUAGCUCAAGUCAGUUAAAUGUGAUCCUGUUUAGAGUUAACUUGAUUUGGAUCUGAGUUGACUUGGUUCAACCUAAGUUCGAGCUAACUCGCUUUGAUCUAGCCCGGUCUGACUUUACUCGACCUGAGCAUGGUUUGACUUCAUUUUACUCGACUUGAUUUGGUCUUAAUCGAGUUAGACCAGACCUGGUCUUGAUCACACUAGGAUCGACCGAGGCUUAGUCCAACUCAAUGGACUCGCCCCAACUUGACUCGAUCUAGGCUCAGACCGACUUGACUCGACUUGGGUCCAGGCCGACUUAGUUGGACCUGGGCUUAGGCCAACUUGGUUUGAUCUAUGUCUAGGCUUACUCAGCUCAAUCUAGAUUCAUACCAACUCGACUUGAACUGACUAAGGUUGACUUGACUUGACUCUGACUUAGACUGACUCCGUUUAACAUUGCAUGAAUUUGAUUUUGUGAUAUCUUAAUUGGGUUUAGUCAAAUCUAACUUUUCAUAACUUGAAAAUAAUCUCAUUUAAUAUAAAAUGAAGAGUGGCAAGUUGUUAUGAUUGAUUUCCUCUUAUGCCAUACUCUAACCAUUAAAAACAUAACGGUAUUAUUGUAAUUGAAAAAAAAAAUCUAAGAAUUUAUUUCUACUUUUUCAUGUCACUCUUAUUCUAUCCAUCAUAAUUUUAUUAUAUUAGAUACAUGAUUUUCUUUUUAAGUAAAUGAAAACUUUUAUAAUUAAUUCAUUCUUUAGUUUAUCUAAAAUUCAUCUUUCUAGAAAUAUAAAUUUUCUUUAUUCUCUUUAGAAUUUUUAGCUAACUAGUCAAUUGGUUUACAAAUAGAUUAUACCACUAAGGAGUUAAUAAUUGAUAGGUAACAAAAUAUUGGUUAGAAUCUUGAUUAAAGAUAUGUUUUCAUUUCCCUCUACUAUUGAUUCUAAAGAUCGAGAAAAACAGUCUUAGAGUAGGAGUGAUACAAUUAAAAUGACACCUGAAUAAUUUAUUAUUAAAGUUAAAAUAACAUAUAAAUCGAAAUUCAGUUAUUUAGAUUUCAUUUCUAAAGAACCAUCAUCUCUCUAAAAACUUAUUUUUCCUUUUUUUGCCUUCUCUCUAAGAUUCUGACCUUCUCGCUCAUCAGUUUUACGAUUGGAGUCUGCCAUUGGACUCCUGAUAGUGAACUCUUUAAGAUUGUCCGAUCAAAAUCUUAGAUAGAGUAAGUUCAUUCUUGACUCCUUUUCCUUUGAGUUAGUUUUGAUCUGGUUAGGUUUGCCUUUAGUUUAAUCUUGCAUGUGAUGUUUUUAUCUUCAGAAGUAGUCUUUGUUAGCUCAGAAGUAGUGGUAUAGUUAGAUUUGUUAUCAGGACUCUUUGGUGCAGGUUAAGAGACCUUUAAGCUUUUGGUAGAUUUGGAGUUCUUAGUGAGUAUCUGCUCAAGUUCAGGUAAGGGAAGCUAGUUUUAUUCUUUUCUAUAGAACCCUAGGUUAAAAGAUCUGGAUGUGGGGGUGAUGUGGUCACUAGUUCCAAUUUUUGUUUGCAGGAUUGUAUUUUUAAGAGUAAAGUAAUAUAUCAAUUGAAAUGGUUGAUUUUGAAUGUUAUAUAUUGAUUUUAAGGCAAAUAAGUUAUUGAAAGUGUUUGAAUGGUAAUACAAAUGAGUUGAAAUGGAUUUGAAUAGUUUGUUAAAUUACUUAAAAUGUGAUGUUAGAUGAGAAUUGAUUGUUUGAUCUUAGAUGAUGAUUGACUUAGAAAGCCUAUAUGAGCAGAAACUCUCAAUGUAAUGUGUAGAUUUAUAAAUUUAUCGAUUGGAAAUGUUGAUUUAGAAUUUAACAGGUAUAACAUGUUUAUGCAGAAUUUUUCUGCAUAUCUCGCUCAGGCGAGAUAAUUCUCGCUCAAGCGAGAAUAAAAUGAAAAAUGAGGUGCUCUCGAGUCUUUUUUUCACCCAAGCGAGAAGAAAUCUCGCUCAAGCGAGACCUAGGUCGAAAUUUUUGGUGCUCUCGGGUUAAAUCUCACUCAAGCGAGACCCAUUCUCGCUCAAGCGAUUAAAUUCUCGCUCAAUCUAGACUCUAUAAAAAAAACUUAAAAUUUUUAUUUUUGCUUUCGAAAGCCUAGUCUAUUAUUACAUAUUGUUUUUAAGUGAAAAUUCUAAAUUUUAUUUAAAAAAUAUGAUUAAAGGAAAUUAGUUAUGUGUUUAACUGAAUUUUGAGAUAUGUUUGGAUUGUUUAGAAAAGUUUAAAUUAUGAUGUGAUUGAAUGGUGUAUUGAUGUGCUACAUGAGAUUUGGAAUGAUGUAAAAGUGUGAUCAAAACAUAGUAUUUUCAAGAAAGGAAAUACCGUGUUGAGAUUAUUAUUAGGAUGUAUUAAUAUGUUAGGUCCCGAUCCAAUGAGACGAUCCUGACUCUAUUGAUAUAAUAGAAUUACAUAGAUGAAGUUAUUCAGUUGGUGAGAUUCGAUGGAGGUUAAUAUGACUUUGUCUACGGUUUGAAAUAUAAUUUGGUCUUUCAGGUCAUAUGAAUUUAAAUGAUGAGAUGAUGAGAUAUUGAGAUAUUUAUGUGCAUGGUGUGUGGAUUCACAAUGAGUAGUAUGACAGGUGCAGGUCUCAAGAUUCUAAUUUCAAUACACAAGUCUUUCAGAAAUAGAAUCAAGUGUCUAUGUGUUGUGAGUUAGUAGAAGUCUGACAUGUGAAAGAUUAAUUGUGAAUUUUAAUAGACACUUGAUGAUUUGAGAAAUUGUAUGAGACUUGAUGAAUUAUGUUUAUUAAUUUGAAAUUGAAAUUAUAUUGAAUUUUUUUAUAGCUAGCUUACCACUUGCUUUGUUUUGUGGUUGUUUUCCCUUAAUCUGUGAUGAUCGUGUAUUUACACGGGAGCAGAUGAUGUUACAGAUGAUAGAUAGUUUCUUGGUGAGAAGAUGGAUGAUGAAAUUUUUUUUUAUUUUUUUUUAAUAUUUGUUUUAAUUUUAUGUACAUAUUUAAAGUCCUAUGAAAAGAGAUAUAUUUUGAAACACUAUAUUAAAGAAUUGUAGACAUAUUGUAUUAUAUUUAUAUAUUUAUUAUGAUAUUUCAAGCAAAUUAUGGUUAUUAUAUAUGGGAAAAAUAUAGGGAUGUUACAGUUUUAGAUGUCUAAAACUUGUGAGGAAGGUUGAAAUUUAGUAGUGAAUUGUGUACUCAAUUAUUCAUUAUUGAUUUGGUUGUUUUCUACAACUUUCCUUGAGCAUCGAGUGGUCGCUCGAGUGACACUCAAGUGGUAAGCAAUCAUUGUUUAUACUAAAUGUUUUAUUUCAAGUUACACCAUGGUUGCUUAAGCAACAUGAUUUCUCACCUAAGUAAUGAUUUGUGGCUCGAGCGAGAGAGACCGAAUCAACUCUUUCUCCUUUAGAGCUUUUUUUAUUCAAAUAACAUAUUUUCGCUCAACUUAAGGAAAUAUUUUGGAAGUUGGUGACUUGCAGGAAGUCACAUCGCUCAAUCAAUAAAUGACAUUCGAGUAGGAGAGGUCAAAUCAACUAUCUCUCUUUUUGACAUCUUCAAUAGAGAAAGUUUUCUCCUAUUUAAAUAAAACACUUUGCUCAAGCAAUAAAAUGACAUUCGAUCUAGGGAAGCCAAAUCAAAUAUCUCUCUUUUAGACCUUUUUACGCUCAAGAGAGAAAGUAUUUCCUUUUUUAGACAACACAUAACUCAAGUGAGAGUAUCCCUCUCAAGUGACAUACAAUACUAUGAGAUGAUGUAUUGAUGAUAUAGGAUUUGAUAUAUGUUGAUAUUGUAUGUUUUAUGUAUGUAUUGGAGUGUGUGCAUGUGGAAAAUAGGAAAAAUGCAAGAAGGGAGGGUUGAAAUGUGUUUUAAAAACUUUGUAAUAGUUUUUGUAAGGUAUUGUCUGAUAUUGCAUAGUCAGAGCGAUUGUUUGUGUGACAGACGAUAUGUCAAAGAGUUCUCGGGAAUUUUUUUCACAAAUACUCUUUUUUUAUUAGUACAAACAUAAUAACAUGUAAUGUAACAAGGUAAUGAAAGGAAGAAAUUACUCAAGAUAUUAUUAUACUGGUUCGUCUGAUAGUGCAGACUACGUCGAGUUCUCUAUCAAUUGAUAGAGUUCUACUAAGCAUACUAAUGUUACAAGAUACGAAAGAGUAUUGUUUCAACUCAUGGUCACUCCUAAAUAAUCCAUACAAACAUUAUUUAACAACAAACAAAUACGAGUAUUUUUUAAACAACAAAUCAUUCUAGCUUAACAUGAUUAUUCUUUAAUCAACUAGUCACUUUUGGAUUAAGACGAGUAUUAUUUGAACAUGUAGUCACUCUUGAUUAACAACUAGAGUAUUGAUUAGGAAUGUAGUCACAUCUGACUAACACAUUAAGUAUUCUUUCACAUGCUGAUUAAAAAAAGAGUAUUUUUUCACAAAUAAUCUCUCGUGACAAAGACAAAGAAUAUGUCACAAUAAGGAUAAUGUCUCACAAUAAUGUAUAUGUGACAACUUAUUUUUUUUUAUGAAAUACUAUAAUAAACUCUAUUUAUGGAUAAUAGUUUUUUUAUAUAAUUAUAUAAACACCCCACUAAUAUAAAUAUAAUUUUUAAGACCUUAAAAUUAUAAACUUAUUCAUUUAUCUAAUAUUUUUAUUCUCUUUCAUUAAAUUCAAACAAUUUUAUUUUUCACUCCUACGUUUCUACUCAUCCAAAUACAUCUUUUUCUCACAUAUUCUCUUUCUCAUUGAGCAAGCAGGACACGAGUUUGUCUAUGGAACAUGUCAAUUAACUGACAAGAGAUUGGAAUCCUAAUAUAACUUGACAGCAAAUAUUGGAAGAAAGAGGUCAAAUAAUAAUGAGAAAGAAAGAAAAACGGGUAAAUGGGGUUUCUAUUUUAUUAUUAUAUUAUUUGAUGUGUGAUGUGAGGGCAUUGAGUUCCAGAAGAUGAUAGAUGACAGGCUUGGAAGGAAGCAUGGUGUUGCAGUAGUAUUAUACUCAUUACGUCAUGCAAACAUAUAUAUAUAUAUAUGUAUCACUCUUUCUUCCACAUACACACACCACCCACAUUCAAAUCUUUUAUUACUCUAAUAUAAUCUAAUGUUUAAUACAUUCUUUAAUUAAUGACCUAAUAAAACCACUUAACAGAACCUAAAUUAAAUAUAGUUAAGUAAAAUAUCAGAAUAAAACAUGAAUUUAACUAAAAAAAUGAAACUGAUUCCUAAGUAUCCGAGGAGGACAACACUUGUCUAUAUUCAUUCACUGUGUGGCUAAUGAGUUGUUCUUGGAUAGAUAGAUUCAUUUUUUCUUUCUCUCUGUGCUUUUCAUGAUGAUGUCAUCUUCUCACUGACUCUCCCACGCGUCUUCUCUCUUCAGCAACUCCAUCUUCACGAAAAGGGCAGAGAGAAGGAAGAGAAAAACGAGAGGGUAGAGGGAUGCACGCGCUGCGGUGGUGGUGGUGGUGUAAAAGUUGCAGGUGGGUGCAGAGUUCGAUGUGUAUAAGAAGAGGGAGCGUAUGAAUGGAAAGUAAAGAUUGGCAUGGCAUGGCAUGCAUGGGCACUGAUGGUAUCAGAUGAGAAUCAGAGAGAAAGGUAAUGCAUGCAUGGCACAGCAUAAUAACAAGAAAGAACAGCAUAUGAAGCAUUAGGGUGUUCUCUUCUUCUCCCUUCCAUGCAUGAACUGUGUGAUUCUCUGUAACUUUGCCACAGAAAGAACCAAGAAAAAUGCAAUAGUGUUGUAAAGGCAUUGAUGUUGUUUGAGAUGGGAAGAAGAAAGGGUCCCUACUAGAGAGUGUUAAGCUGGCUGACACAAACAACACAUGGAGAUAUAUUGUUACUGCAAAAGAGAAAGACUUGUCAAUGCCACCUCCUUUCUGUAGCCUCUCUUCUCUUCUCUAUCUCACUCACUCUCUCAAACCUUCACACCUUCCCAAAAUUAUUAUAUUAAUUACUAUAUCACACAAAACCUCUUAUUUAACUCUUUUUUUUUUCUUUUAAUAAUACAAACUAAUUAAUUACUAUCCUAUUUAUAGGUUCAUUAUGUUUAGAUUAAUGGAACUCAUCAAAUUUUUUACUAUUCCUUUCAAUAUCUGAUUUAAAUUUACAAAUACAAUAUAAAUCUUAAAACAAUAUAAAACAAUUCUUACUAUCUAAAGUAUUUUUUAUUAUUGAUAAAAUUUAUAAACAAAUUAGUUAUCAAUUAUUUUAAAUUCUAAGAUUGAUAAUUAAAAUUUUAAUAAUUAAUUAAAUAUUAAUUUAUGAAUUUUAUUAAUAAUAAAAAAUAUUUUAAAUAUUAAUAAAAAAAUAGUUUUAAAAUAGUAUCUAAUUUAGUUAAUAUAUUUUUUCAAAUAAAAUUGGUUUUUAUUAUAUAUAUAUAUAUAAUUUUUGGUCUAUAUUGUGUAGUUUACUUAAAUUAAUCAGAAUAAAAAUGGUUAUUUAUUUAUUUUUAAUAUCACAAGUAUAUGUGAAUUUUUUAAUAAAAUUGUGUAUUUUUUUCUUAAAAUGUCAUUUUUUUACCUUUUUUAAUGUUUGGAUCUAAUUAAUCCCAGUCAGAUUGAUUUGAUUUAGAUUUUUAAAUAUUUUUACAAAAUUUGAAUGCAUCGAAACCCAUAAAAGUUUAUUAGUUCAAAUUUUAUUUUCUUCUAAAUUUGAUCCCAGGCAUGAAUAUUCAUCUUAAAUGUUUUAGAUUAUCCUAAAAUGAAAAACAAGGAUGAAAAGUUAUUCUUAAAAAAUAAGUUGAUACUCUUUUUAUUAUAAAUUAAUGUAUUAUUGGGUGUAAAUUCCAAUCACGGUUCAAUCAUUAUUUGUUCAUGAUGAAGAAUGUUUGGGACAGAAAUAUUGAACUUUGUGUUGUUUUAUCUAAAGCUAUUUUACCUGUCUUUUCUUUUCAAUCUGUUAUAAAUAUGUUAAAAAUGUUUUUAAAUAAAAUUUUAAAUAACAAAAUUAACAAUGAAAUCACUAAUAUUUUAUUAUUGAAUAUUACUCGUCGACUUUGUGCAGCUAAAUCUUGUUUAUUAGUGUCUCGUUUAUAAACAAAAAUUAAUUCGUUUCCACAGAUUUUUUCACAGGCACUAAUGGAAUUUAUAAUCCUUUGUAUUCAGUAAUUUCCUUAAUUAUUAUCAUCAAUAGGUGAGGUUAAUACUUUUUGGUUGUUGAUAAGAAUGUGUGAUUUUCUAAAAUUGAUAUUGUCUGUAAAAAUAUAAUGGUGAUAUCUUCUAUUGAGACAUUGUUAUAUUUCUAUUUUGUGUGUUAUUAUAAUUUUAAAUUAUAAUAUUAUAAAUUAUAAAUUUUUAUUUUUAUUUUUAUUCACAUUAUGGAUUGUACACAUUAAAUAUAAAAAAAUACAUGUAUUUUAUUUAAAUAAAUAUAUAAGAUUAAAAGUAAUAUAAAUACUAAAUUCUAACUCAUUAAAAUAAGAAAACAUGAUAAAAGAAAUAUGAACAGGUAAAUACAACAGUGCAUGCAUUUCUAACAGAAUAAAUACAACAAAUUUGAGCUAAAUAAAAAAAAUAAGGGAGUUUAAAGAGAAUGCAAUUUGUUUUUGCACUAAUCGUUGCAUUGCAUUGAAUAUUAUUUAUUUUUUAAAAAUUCAUAAAAUAAAUUUACAUGUAAAUUUAAAGGAAGAAACUCGAAGUGUGACCAUUAUCAUUUAUUUUUAACUGUUAGAAUAUAAUUCCAUGGUGAAAAACAAAGUUGAAGAGAAAAAUAAGACUCUUUCUUCCUACACCUCCAUACUUUUUUGUGCCACCCCAUACUAAAUAUGAAAAUACCAUUUUAUUCUUUUUUUUCACCCCCUUGGAUUUAAAAUAAUAAGUCUAUGGAUUAUGUAAUCCGGAAUGUAAUCCGGAUAAAUUCCGGAUUACAUAAUCCAGAAGUCAAUUUCAUAUUUAGAAAAAACUUCCAGAUUAUGUAAUCUGGAAGCUAAUAACACAUCUGAAAAAAAGACUUAUGGAUUACAUAAUCCGGAAGCUAAUCUUAUGUAUAGAAAAUACUUCUGAAUUAUGUAAUCCGGAAGUUAAUCACAAAAGACUUCCAGAUUACAUAAUCCGGAAGCUAAUUCUGAAUCUAAAAAAAGACUUCCAGAUUAUGUAAUCCGAAAUAUUGAAAAAGGUAUUUUUGGAAUAAGAAAAAUUUAUGGGGGUGGCACAAGAAGGUGUGGAGGUGCAGGAAGAAGCAGCCGAAAAAUAAUGGGGCUGCUUAGUGGGUCGGGAAAGCCCAGAAAGAUAAGUAUUUCAUUUCAGUAUUUUUUUUUCUUGCACUCCCAUAAUUACUAUCUUCACCUUUUACUAAGGGUGUGUUUGUUUGGAUUAAGAUUUUUAAGGGAAGUGAGGGUGAUAUUUUCCUAUCUCAUAUGCUGAGAAAGAAUAAGAAAGUUAUUAGAUAAGUGGAUUUUAGUAGUGCACUUUUUCAUGGUUUUAUUUAUUGUGUGUUUUGCAUGGAUAAGUAUGUAUUAGUUUGACACUAUAAAUUUGUUUUUAUUAACAUAAAGUUUAUUCACAAAUAAUAAUAUUAAAAUGAUAAAUACGUAUACUAAUAUAUAAAUCAAUAAAUUACGUUUUUAAUAAUAUAUAUAUAUAUAUAUAAUUUAUUAGUGUUUAAAAAAACUUAUUUUCUUGAUAUUAUUUUAAUAAAAUAUGUUAGAUGAACAUCAACUUAAAUUUAAUAUUUUUUUAAAUAAAUAAUUUUAUAAAAAAAAAAUUGUUAUUUAUGAUUGCUUUUAAUAAUUUUUAUACUAUCAACAUUAUACAUGUUGUUUUUCUCAUAUAAAAACUAUUUUUUACAUCCAAAUAAAAUUAAUUAUUCAAAAACUAUUUUCAAUAAUUUUUUCAUAAGAACAUUUAACUCCACUUUAAUAAAUUAUAACAAAUAUAUAUAUAUAUAAUCAAUUAUUUAAAUAAUCUAACCUUUUUUUGUACUUGUUCCUCGUACAAUGUUUACUAAUAACUUUUUUUAAAUACUAUAUUAAUAAAUAUAUUUUAAAAUGAAACGAAACACAAAAAUAAGGAUUUGUUAAGAUAUGAAAUUUAUUUUGUAAGUUUAUUAAAAUAUGUAAUUAACUAAAAGUUAUAAAAAAAUGUCUUUUAUUUUAUUUUUAAUUAUUUUUAAAAAUAAAAUAAAUUUGUAAUUUUGCAUUUUUAAUAUUUUUUAAAAAAUAAAAAUUCCGAUAAUCUCAUCCUAUCACUCACAAACUACAAUAAACUUUUUUCACAAAUUCACUUUAUUAUAUUCAAUCCAAACAAACUUACUUGACACUUUUCUCUAAAAAUUCUCACACAUUUACUUUAUCAAAUUUUCACACAUAAUCUAAACAUAAUUUAAGAGCAAAUUGCAAUGUUCUAGAUUAUUCUGAGACACUUUUCUAUAUUUUCCAAUGUUUUUGCGUUACAAAUUCUGAAAACUUAUUUUAGAUUGAGUGUUUCAUGAUAGUAUAGAAUAUAUAUUUUAUAAAACUGGAAGGUUUCUAAAAUAAGUAUUCCAGAAUAAUGUUAUGUCUCAUUAAUGAAAUAAAUCAUAGAGAAUAGAACCAUGAUUAAUUUAAAAUUAUGAGAGUGCAAAUAGUAAAUAUAGGGCUGCAGAAAGCAAAUGCCUCUUCUAUAAGUUAUUGUGAAGUGGAAAAGAGGCUUUGUGUGGUUAUUUUAAGUUUCUAUGGCCCUUUCACUAGGACUGUUUCUUCCUGCACCUCCAUAUGUUCCUCUCCUACCUUCAUAAAUUUUUGUAUUUAAAAAAAUAUUUCUUUGCAAUAUUUUAAAUUACGUAAUUUGGAAAUUAUUUUUCACGUUUGUAAUUAGCUUCCAGAUUACAUAAUCUGAAAGUCUUUUUUAUAUGCAUGAUUAGCUUUCGAAUUACAUAAUCCAUAAGUCUUUUCGGAUUAUGUAUUCCAUAAGCCUUUUUUCAAAUGCGUGUUUGGAUUACAUAAUCUGAAAGCUACUAUCAAAUUUAGACUUCCGGAUUAUAUAAUCUAGAAUACCAUUCUGAAUUAUGUAAUCCAAAUUAUGAAGGUGGCACAAUAAGGAUAAAAAAAAGUAUUUUUCAUGUUUUGUAUGGAGUGACAAAAAAAUAUAUGGAGGUGCAGGAAGAAACAGUCUUUCACUAGUCUUCGGUUUGACAUAUGAGUGAUCCAUACCAACUAAUAUUAAUUUACUUUUUGCACCCUAUAAUUAGCCAUUCCCUUUUCUCGCUUGUUUUCCCCUUCAAUUUGAACUUUUUUUGUUAAGUUAAGAAACUAAUAUUUUGAAGUUGAUAAUAUGGUAUGAAAAAAUGAAUUUUCAAAGUAAAAAAUUUUCUUUCUGAAACAAAUCUUUUAAUUUAAACUAACUCAUUUAAAAAAAAAACAUUUUUUUAUUGAGAAACUACUAUAUCUCCUUUGCAUUCUGAAACUAAAAUGUAGUUCAACUUUCUCAACCCUCUUCUAAUGCUUCUCCAACUAUAACUAUUAAUUGAAAUAAAUUUCAUUUCUCUAUAAUCUAAUUAGACUAGUUUUCAAUCUCUCAACUUUAUCCCUAGUUUUAUUCACAAAAUUUUAACUGAAAAUGUCUCUUCAAAAAAUACUUCUUGAAUAUCUCUCAUGUAUCACAGAAAGACUCAUUUGCUCUUUAUUUGAACAUAGAUAUUUCAAACUUAGCUUUAAUGUAAUGAGAGAUUUGGAAAAAUCUUUGCAAAUUUUUUUCAUCCACAUCCUUCCAUAUGGUUAAACUCUUAUUAGGAUGAGAUAUAAGGCACUCAUUUGCUUUCCCUACAAAAGAAAAAGGAAAUAAUCACAUGUAUACACUCUCAAGAUCACCUAACUGGAAACCCAUAAUUACCACCAAUUCAUAAAAAGUAGCCAACUGUGUAUGAGGAUCCUCAUAAUUCAUCGUGAUCCAUCGCCGUGAAUUGAUUGGUACUAAUGAGGGUAAGGAACGCAAGCUUCAUCUCCAAGGCUUUGUUAGUUGCAGGCACUACAAUGCUAGAAAGUAUGGGCUCUUGAUGUAUGGCGAAAUCUCCAAGAGUUCUCCUAGGAGAUGGUGUUUCCUCCCCGCCAUGUUGUUGUUCUCCUAAAAAAUAUCAAUGGAAAAAGAAGAAGAUGUUGAAGAGUCCUCUCUAUUAUCUUCUUGAUUCUCUUUUGCCUUUGAUUUUCGAUUUUUUCUAGUCACCUUCUCAAUCUCUGCUUCAAAUAACAAGUGAUCUUUUGGAAUCUGGCCUCUCAAUAUCAUAUAAAGGUUAGCAAGAAAAAUUCACAAGUAGUAACCGAAAUUUUAUAUUUAAAAAAAAAUAAACAAGAAUUUAAAUAGCUAACUAAAAUAAAAUCAAUAACUGCCUAAACUACAAAUUAAAACUUAAAAGAUAAAAUAAAACAAAAACAAAACCCUAAAAUAACGUUAAGAGAAAAUAUAACAAAAAUAUUCAGAAAAGAAGAAGAAAAAUAAAUAAAUAAAUAAAAUAAAACUUACGUAAAAUAAAAAACUAAAAAUCAAAUAAAAAAAUAAUAAAAACUAAAAAGUAACUUACUUACAAAUAUCAAAUAAAUACAAGGAAUAAAAUAAAAACAAAAUAAAAUAAAGCUAAGACAAAAUAAAACUGAAAACUAUAAUUGUAAACAACUAACUAAAAUACUUUAAAGAUAACUAAGUAACUUACGUAAAAAAUAAGAACUAAAAUUAAUAAUGAUAAAUAAUUAAAACAAAUAAAUAAAAACUACCUACGUAAAAAAUUCUGAAAAAAAUAAAAAAUAAAAGCAAUUCAAAGAAAUAAAAAUUAGACCAAUAAAAACAGAAUAAAAAAUCAUUAAAAAUAAAACAAUGAAAACAAUUAGAAUAUUAACAAUAUUUAAGAAACAAAUCAAACAUGUUCCCCUAAAAACUUCAGUACAAUAAAAUCAUGAAAUAAAACCAAUUUUUAGAGACAAAAAAAUAAUUAGUUGUUAUAGUGACUAAAUUAGAGACCAUUUUAGAUAUUAAAAAAAAUGUUGGUUUCUAAAUUAGUUUAUAUUAUUGUUAAAUGGUUUUUAAAUUGGUACCUAAUUAGCAACUAAGGUUUUUGCUACCAAUUGCUAAUUAGACACUAGUUUAGAAAUCAUUUAACAAUAAUACAAACUAAUUUAAAAACCAAAUUUUUUUUAGUCUCUGAAACCAUCUCUAAUUUAGUCACUAUAACAACUAAUUAUUUUUUUUCUCUAAAAAUUGUUUUCUAUUUCAUGAUUUUCUUGUAGUGUUUGAUGAUUUUUUAUGACAAGUGCAUCACGUUUGUCAGAAGUAAUAAUUGUCCCUAAGGACGGAUAUCGAUCCCACAAGAAAUAAUGAAUUAUCGAGUAAAGUAAUUGCUAAAUAUAAAAGAAAAUAAUGAAUAGUGUUGAAUUGGUUAUGUUGGUAAUGAUCAAUAAGAAAACAAACAAAAAAUUAGUUUUCUCAUUUGAAAAAAUAGGGAUUAUAUUUCAUCUCUCACUCUCAUGUAUUUGAUUAAAACUGAUGUAUGUAGAAAAUUAAUUUAUAUCGAUCUCUUGCACAUAAAAUCCUUAAAAAUGUUUCCUAAAUAUCGAUCUCUCGUAUACUUAUAAAAACAACUUAGAAUCAUACUUAGACGUUAAUGGAAAUUAACACUUCAAGUCUAUCUCUAGCACUCAAAUAUGUUAAGUAUUACCGUUUAGGUCCGAACCCUAAAAAUACCUCUCGGUCAGAUUGAAAAUUCUCAAUUUGUCACGAAAAGUUAGAAGUAAAGCAACAAUACCAAUAAUCAAUCAAGAAUCGAAUAUUUUAAUAUAAGACAUCACCUCAAUACAUAAUAGUUUAAGCAGAUUACUCUCAAUCCCAAAGGGUAGACUUAGCCACGCAUACUUCUAACACCUUCCAUUCUCCCAAUUGAGUUACAAUUCACUUAAUGGUAUUUUCCUCUCAAUCUGACACCCUAGGGUUGAGCCUCUAGCCCCCUAUUUAUCAUAAUUUUCUAAGGUUAGGUCGCUUCCUAUGUCGCGCUAAUGAGUUAAGUAAUAAAACAUAAAAAAAAAGUUCAAUCUUUCUAACGCAUUCUCGCUCAAACGAGAUACUCCUAUUGCGAAAUAGUCUUUUUCUACAUCUUUUUUCCAUUUUGGGACCUUCUAACUUUCUCUUUUUAGCUCAAAUUAUUCUCUUUUACUCCAAAUCUUCAAUCCUCACUAAAAAAUUGCAAUUAACAUCAAAUUUGGGAAUAAAAUGCUCUUAUUCAAAUAAAUAUCAUAUAAAAUGUAUAAGAUAUAAAUUCAUAAAUUAGGGAUUAUUUUAUAUGUAAAUUAACGAUAAAUCCUCAUAGGUGCCUAUAUUUUAAUAUGAAAUAUUACUGAAAUUAUACAUUUAUCCUUGGAACAAAGAGAGAAAAAACUUAAUUUAACCACACUUUGAAUUUGGUUUGGUUUGGUUUGAAUUGACGAGGCUCCAACCAAAACAAAAGUGGGGAAGAUUUAGUUUGGCUUGGUUAGGUUGAGAUUACAUUGGAUUGAAUUGAAUUGGAGUAAGAAAUGAUAGAGGAAGAGAGAAGGAAGAAAUGGAAAAGGGAUGUGAAUAGUGUUGGGUCUAUUAGUGUCUAAGUUCAAGAGGGGAGGGGUGAAUUGAACUUAUAAAAUUUUCGCAAUAACACACAAUUUUCAGUAUAUCAGAGGCAAAAAGAACAAAUUGUUUUUACAUGAAACAGAUUGAUUCUUCAGAGCAGUCUAGCACAAUUUGAAUUUGUUCAAUAUAAAAUUGUGAUCAACAGAUAAUUAUAACAGAAUCAGAUCAGCUGGAUAUUAUGAGGAUGAAGGAUACAGCUAUGCUUAGAAAUCAAACAAAUUCACUCAACACAAGGUUUUAAGGAGAAUGACUCUUUCUCAGAUUUUAAUGAAUAGACUGUUUGUUCACAGAUCACUUAAAACAUCAUAUACAACUGCCUUGUUUGUGAUUAAAGAGCUUUAACAAAUAAGGAAGAACAAUUUUUACNNNNNNNNNNNNNNNNNNNNNNNNNNNNNNNNNNNNNNNNNNNNNNNNNNNNNNNNNNNNNNNNNNNNNNNNNNNNNNNNNNNNNNNNNNNNNNNNNNNNNNNNNNNNNNNNNNNNNNNNNNNNNNNNNNNNNNNNNNNNNNNNNNNNNNNNNNNNNNNNNNNNNNNNNNNNNNNNNNNNNNNNNNNNNNNNNNNNNNNNNNNNNNNNNNNNNNNNNNNNNNNNNNNNNNNNNNNNNNNNNNNNNNNNNNNNNNNNNNNNNNNNNNNNNNNNNNNNNNNNNNNNNNNNNNNNNNNNNNNNNNNNNNNNNNNNNNNNNCCAGAAUAAAGGAAAGAUUACACCUGAAAAGAAGAUGCAAGAACUCAAAACUAGUAGUUCAAUUUGCUGCAGAACUGCACUAGCACCUUCACCAAGAUCAAAGGUUUCCUAUAACAAGCACACUUGAAAAUUCCUUUGGAAAACCUUUCAAUCCUUCUUCUCACAUAGAAAAUGUUUGAUCUCUGUCAAAAACGUAAUUGUUCAGCAUCCUUUCAUGUGAGAGAGGCUUUUCUUUAUAUAGAAAACAGUUUCAAACUUCUUUUCAAAAAACAGUUGAAAAGCUGUUAUGAAAACAACAGAUUCAAUUUUAAACUUAACAGAUUUAUUUUGUGAAAACUGCCAACUCAGCUAACUGAAAUAACUGUCUGAGUUGUACCUUUGGUGCCCUAACUAACUUUCGAAAAAUCUUUCAGCUGACCAAAGAAUAAACCUGUUCUUUCACAGAGAAACAUAUUUAAAAGAUAACGAACAGACCAGCUCAGCUUAACUGAAAUAACGAACUAAGCUUUACCUGUGAUGCCCUAAUAGAAUGUUAGAAAAAACCUUUUAACAGAGAAGAAAUAAAUUGAUUCUUUCUCCAUAAAACAAAUUUAUUUUUGUACUGAUUUAAAUCUUUUAUGAGCACUUUUAAAAGCUUUUCAAAAACCAUUUAACCACAUCAUGUGCUUGAUCUAGGCUUGGUUAGGCAUCUAGGAUAGAUCAUGUAGCAAAAGGCAACCUUACACAACCACAAGCCUAAAUACAAGAUCAUCUAAGCCUAUUACAAACUUUACAACAAACUAGCAUUUUCUACAUCAAACACAAACUAACACUAGGUAGAGAAGAGGCUUCAUCCAUCUUCAACAAAUGGUACUGGAGGGGUACUUAUUUUGCUUAACUUUAUGGAAGGAGAAAAAGGAGAGUAAUGUGUGUGAAACUUACACUUAGGGUUCUACGACUAUUGAGCACUUAGUAGAAUGAGAAAAUGAAAUUAGUGCAAAUAAUUAUGAGAAAAAUAAUAAUUGUGACACUACUUAUCAUAAUAAGUCAUACUAUGAUGAUUAUUGCAAUAAUUAACAUAAACUUUGUCUUACUAUGAUGGUUGUGACCCUACUUAUCAUAGUAAGUCAUACUUUCUAUAACGAUUGUGACCCUACUUAUCAUAGUAAGUCAUACUUUCUAUGACGAUUCUAAAAAUACAUGUUAUAGAAACUCAUUUACUCUGACGAUUCUAUAAAUACAUGUUAUAUAAAGUUACAUAUGUAAUAUAUACUAUGCCAAUUAUUAUGAAAAUUGUCAUAGUAAAUUAGAUUUUCUAUAAUUAUUCUCACCAAAACUGUCAUAAAAAGUGUUGCACAACUAUCGUAUUUUACAUUAACUUUAUACAUUUUAUGACGAUUUAUAUAAAUAGACAUAAUAAAUUUGACUUACUCUGAUGAUUUUCAAAUUGACAUAGAAAGUGUAAAUUUUUUAUAUUACUUAUAUUUAUGCUGUCUUUAGAGCUGACAUGAAAAGUCCUAUAGAACCGUCGUAAAAAAAGUUUUGUCUAUAGUAGUGGCUAUAGUAAUAUAAAGAUCAAACACUCAAGUUAUUUCUUAAUUUAAAAAGGAAAAAAAUCUAUCAAUUGAAACCACAAAAAAUCAAUCUAACAUGAUGCUCUUUGAGCACUCAUAUCCUUAUUAUCAUCAUCAUUAACUCGAGACAAACCAUUGCAUCAUUAACUCGAGGCAAACUAUUGCAUCCUUAAACCAAACAUGAAUCAAGAUUUAAACCUCUACAAAACUUCAUCACCACCAAAUAAAGUCUCGCAAUUUGCCUCUAAAAUAAACAUUUGUUGCAAACCAUUAAACGAUGUAACUUCCAGUAGAAUAAAAGAAGGUUAAAUGUUCAUGCAUACAUCUUGUUACUUUCAUAUCAAACUCUCAACCAAUGAUAAUAUUAUCCAUCAAAGAAUUAAGAAUAAUGACCUUAGUUAGUUCUAUGAUAUCCCUUCCUAUAUUUUAUUGUGUUUGUAUUCUUGUUAUGUUUGAAGGGUUUAAUUUUUUUUUUAAUUUCCAUAUUGUUUGAUAUUAAUGAUGAAACAUGAAAAUAAGUGAAUGGUAGUAGAUUUGAUGUUAGUAGAAAAAUGAAUAAAAAGACUAUCAGGAAUGUGUUUUUUUUUGUCUGAGAGUUAAAUGUGUUACUAAAUAGUUAAUUUAAAUACAUAAAUUUAUUGAUGAAUCAAACUUGCUAAAACAAAUGUCAGUGUUGUUUGGUUUUAAUAAAAAUAUAAAAAAAUCACAACACUUUGAAAACUUGUGGACAAAAUGAAUAGAAAAAGGUCAGAGUAAAUUCACAAGAAAGUAAAAGAUUGAAAAUAGGUGCAAGUACAAUAGUAAGUCUUAGUGUAGAGAAAUUUGAUAAAAAAAAUUAAACUAAGUAUUUGAAAAUAUAUGUAAAAAUGAUUUAAUUAUAAAUAAUUACAAUUUUAGUACUUGACGAUAAAGUUAGUAAAGAGGAAAACAGGUUAAAAAGUGAAAUAAUAUAAAUUUUUAAAUAUUGUCUCACUUAGUUUAUUUUUUAUUAAUUGUUUAACCAGUACAAAAAAAAAUUCAAAACAAUUUUAAAAAAAUAAAUAAAUCAAAACAAUUUUUAAAAAGAAAAAGUUACUUUGACUUUAUUGUAGGAUUUCAAGGCUAAAUAUCAACCUUAAAUUGAAAACUUUUAUUACUUUUUCAGCCUAAACAAAAGUUUUCAAAAUGUUUUAAUUUGUUUCACAGCACCUUAAAAAAAAGUGAAGAAAAAAGCACAAGUCAAUUCCUUUCAUUCUUUUGUUUUUCUACUUUUACAAAAUGAAUGAAUAUCCAUUAUUCUUUGUUCUAUUUUACUACUUUUACAAAGUGAAUGAAUCUCCAUUAUUGAAUUACCCAAUUCCUCUUAUAACAUUUCAUUCACAUCCUUAUUUUUAAAAAAAAAUUAUUAUUCAAAAUUCAUGAAAUGAUGCAAAAGAUGGAGAGAAUAAAAAAAGAUGCAAGACAUUAUAAAGUUAUCUAUAAUCAAUUUAGGAAAAAUGUUGAUAAACUUUAAAAAAAAAUGUGACACUUUGUAAAUAAUGUCAAAUAAACUAUUUUGUCUCAUUAAAUUCAUUGCAAAUUUGUUCAAUAUAAAUAAUUUAUAAGAUAUUUUUCUAAUUCUUUUUAUAUAAUUAUAUAAAAUAAUAUUUUUUUUAUAAAUGUAUUGAUAUGCCCAAUAAUUUUAUAUCACUUAUAAGUCAAAAUCAAACAUAAUUUAAAAUAUUUUUCUUUAUUAAUCCAUGGAAAUAUCACAAAAUCAUAAAUAAAAUUUUGAGUUUCAAAACAAAUAGUAAUUAGUGAUAUAGUGGUCGAAACAAUGUCAUAAUUAAAUAAAAAUAAAUUUAUUAUUUUAAAAAUAAUUUUAUUAUUUAAUAAAAUAUAUAAUAAUAUAAAUUUUCCAACUAAAUAUAUUCACUCAAUCUUUCAUAGUAUAUACUUCCUCAAUUCUUAUUCUUAUAAAAUUAUUUAUUUUCUUUUAAAAAUAUAAAAAAUAAAUUAACUGUUUUUAGGAUUUUAUAUGACAAAGAAUCAAAACUGUGAAAAGAUUAAACAUUAAAAUAAUAACAACCUUUUAAAUUAAGUAUAAAAGAAAAUCUUAACCAAAUAGAUAUUCUUUACACUGUACAAUAACAGCACUUUUCAUUCACCAAAACCCCUAAAAAUAAAAAAUAAUUUCCAGAACUCUGCAUUGUAAGCUGAAAAGAAUAAAAAAAGAGAAAAAACAACAAUUAUUCAAUUUUGGAUAGAAAAGCAUCUGCACCAAUCACUUCACUCAUUUCUUUUUUUUUCAUAUUUCAAAUAUUGACCAAUGAUUCCAAAUUUUACCCUUGUUGUUCAUUACCUUUUUUUUUAAUUAUAUAUAUUNNNNNNNNNNNNNNNNNNNNNNNNNNNNNNNNNNNNNNNNNNNNNNNNNNNNNNNNNNNNNNNNNNNNNNNNNNNNNNNNNNNNNNNNNNNNNNNNNNNNUUUUUUUUUUAAUUUUCAAAGUAAAAGUUGAUUUUCCAAACAUUCAAUCAGAAACAACUUAUUUUACAUGGAAAACAUAGCUAGAAAUGGGAGAAUAUAUCUUUUUACGAAACAUAUUCUGUUUUAUUGUCUGUAUGAUAUUUAAAUAUAUAAGCCAAAAUAGAAAUAAUAUAAAAUUCCAAAAAAUUACUUUUUUUGAAAAAUAAUCUAUUGUAGAAUAUAAAAAACGAAAAAAAUAUAAAAAUUCCAAAAAAAUGUUUCUUUUCAAAAAUAUUUUAUUCUAAUGCACGUAUAUAAAAUAGCAAUAAUAUACAAUUCCAAAAAACUGCUUCUUUUAUUUAUUUUUAUUAUAAUGUAUAAACAAAUGAUUUAAAACAGAAAUAAUAUAAAAUUCUAAAAAAACUGUUUCUUUUUAAAAAAUAAUUUAUUAUAAUAUAUCCUAUAAAAAAUAAGUUGAGAAAUCAUAUAAAAAACUGUUUCUUUUUGAAUAAUAGAAGACAUUAACGUUAACAUUAUAAUAAUUUGAAUACUUUGGUUCUGGUUCUGACAUAGAUAUUUUUGGUCAUCAUAUAGUUUAUCUUAUCAAUAAUAAAUUAAAGGAUUAAAUAAAUUAUCAUUCCUCUAAAUUUGAUCCAUAUUAAAAUUUUAUUUCCAGAAAUUCUUUGUUAUUUCUAUUAUCCAAUAUUUAAUUAAUAUACUAAUCUUAAUAAUAUCACAUACUAAUAUACUGCAAACACAAUACUUACUGAUAUGUUACAAAUAUAAUACAAAGUCAAUUAAAAAAUAAUAUAAGAAUCCUUAGUACCAAGUUAAUAUGUUUAUUAAAUAUGAGGAUAAAAAAUAAUGAAAUUUUGGUGGAAUAACGGAUUUCAGAUAAUUUGGAAGACAGUGAAAAUUGAAUUAGUGAUAAAUUAGAUGAUAUUAUUGUUAUUAUUAUAUAUAAUGAGAGUUAUGCCUAGAAGAAGACUUUGAAGCUUGCUCUAGUUGUUUACCCUUUUGAUUUUUUUCUCCUAAAUCCUCUCUCUUACUUGCUUCUUUUUUGUGCUGUGCCUCCCUCGUUUUCCCUUUCUCUCAGUUCCCCUUUUUCUCUGUUCUUUUUUCUCAUCCCUUCUGUGUCUCUUUGUCCCUCUGCUGCAUCAAAAGCUCGUGUCUUUUGCAAUUGCAACUGUUCACUUUCAUAAACAUUCACAGAACUAAUUCAUUCCUUCAUUACCCAUCAGUAUUUGUUCUGUCACCAUGUCUCAGACUAACUGGGAAGCUGAUAAGAUGUGAGUGUUAUUGCUCUAUUCAUGUUUCUAUUUCAACUUUCAAUUGCGGGAUUGAGUUUUGAAAUAUGGGAUUUUGUUCAUUAAAAAAAAAAUAAUAUUUUUUUAUUGAUUUGGGUUCUGGGUCUGUUUGUUGCUUUUGUUUCUUUUGGGGUUGAUUUGGGUUGGUCUAUUUCCUUUGGGUUGGUUGUGUUGUUGUGAAUGUGUGAGGAUGUUUUGAUGGGUGUUAGGGUUUUUUUUUUGCCUCUGCAAGUAUAAGGGGUCUCUUUAGAUUGGAUGAAAUUGUACCCUUUGGUUCCUGCAUUUAGGCUUGUUGUUGUGUUGACGUGGGUUUUGGUCUACUGCUUUGUAUGAUAUGCAUGGUGUAAAGAUCCAAACUUUGGUUCUCAUAGUUCAAACUUUGCUUGCUUGCUUGCUCUGAAAAAUUUUCAGGUUAGAUGUUUACAUCCAUGAUUACCUAGUGAAGAGGGAUUUGAAGGCCUCAGCUCAGGCUUUUCAAGCUGAAGGGAAAGUGUCGUCGGACCCUGUUGGUGAGUUACUUAGAAAGGAAGUAGUUUAGUUGGAUUUAAUGUUCCUCUUUUUUUAUAUUUUAUUUUAUUGGUUUGGCUGCUUUUGUUAAUGGGAAUGUGGGGUUGCAGCUAUUGAUGCACCCGGAGGAUUUCUGUUCGAGUGGUGGUCUGUUUUCUGGGACAUAUUUAUUUCCAGGACCAAUGAGAAGCACUCUGAGGUUGCUGCAUCUUAUAUCGAGGUUGGUUGAUUAACUUUGUACUGGUUAGUUAUACCUAGCAUAUUUCUUCUUGCACCGUAAACCUGAGUAGUUUGGUUGUGCUAGUAAGUUUAGUGAAGGAAAGGUGGCAUUGAGAUGAACUCCCAGUUGGUAUUCUUUUGUUGUAUUUCUUCAUGUAUUUAAUGAGGAAGUGUGUACAUUCAAUUAAUUAUAACUUUAAAUUGUGCUUCCUACUAAUGCAUGGCUCGGUUUAGCUGCUGGGGAAUUUCGGAUCUUUAGAUUCUUUUUUGAUUAAAUAAGAUCAUAGUUAGAUCUUUAUUUUUUAAUUCCAGGAUGCUGACUAGGUGGCUGUAUGAUUUUGAAAAAUAUCUUGUUUGAGCCUGUGAUUAUUUGUUCAUUGGUGAUUACUUAUUAAUGAUUUUUGUUUUUUUCUGAAAUAAAAUCAUAAAUUAUAUGCCAUGCUUCCUAUUAAUGCAUGGCUCGGUUUAGCUGCUGGGGAAUUUCGGAUCUUUAGAUUCUUCUUUGAUUAAAUAAGAUCAUAGUUAGAUCUUUAUUUUUUAAUUCCAGGAUGCUGACUAGGUGGCUGUAUGAUUUUGAAAAAUAUCUUGUUUGAGCCUGUGAUUAUUUGUUCAUUGGUGAUUACUUAUUAAUGAUUUUUGUUUUUUUCUGAAAUAAAACCAUAAAUUAUAUGCCAAAAAUUUAUUUUAUUUUGUUGCCUGUAAAUUUAUGUCAAUACUACAAUUGCAUAUUUAUAUAAAUCUAGGAAAAGAAAUUUGAGAAGUUGAUUAAUAAACUGGUUAAUGAGUCUCUAGGCAUAAAUGUGUAAUAGGCAUCAUGUCCUGUUAUAAAUUCAUGUUCCUCACUUGGUUAAUAAUAUUUCUCAAUUUGUGAGGACUGCUUGCAUUUCCUUUUCAUCUCAUGAUUCUUUUUUAAAAUUUGUAUUGUGCUCAUGGUAGUAAGUAUCCUGCGAUACACAAUACGAAUCGUACUAUACUAUUCUUCUCCCCCAUGAUAGGAAUUGUCAAAACACUUGUUUUUCUCCCGAAUAAAUCUUGGAAUUGCAUGGAUUGCGAUUCUUGUUUGAAUCGUGCCCUGAAUCAUGGUGAAAUUGCCUUCGGGUUUCACCCAAACUGGUUCAGGUCGUGCAACCUGGUUUAAUAAAACCCUAAAUUUGCUUUGUAUUUUAGUGUGAACUGAGCGGAAAUAGAUGCUUAAUGGUUUGUCCGUGCUUUCCCUUCAACCAUUAGCACGAACUGAGCGGGAAGAGCAUAAUAUCAAGAAUUAAGUGGGUAGUCCUUUCUAUUCUUCAACAACACGUGUUGGUGCAGUGGUGUUAUUCUGUUACAGCUGGUCCCAUCCCAUGCUUUACAUGUGCUAAUGCUGCCGAGGGAGUUUUCUGCUGGACUCUUGCUUUAUAAAAAUGGGUGAAUAGAAAUGGGAGCCUGAUAUUACUUGGAAGCUAUGAUGCACAAAUAUGAUACAUGUAUCAGAUACGAUGUGCAUCCUAUAUGGCGAUAUGUUUAUUUUGAAAAUAUCAGGAUACAUAUCUGACAUGUGCAUGUUUAAAAAAUGUAUAAUUUUUUUUAAAACAUAAUAAAUAUAUAAUUGCAAUAUUGCAAUUCCAAAUUAAAAUCACAUUUAUUAGACCCUAUCAAAAUAAAAAAAGUUUAAAUUAUUGUCAUCAUAAAAGUAUUAGUGUUUACAGAUUAGAUACUUCACUGAUAAGUGUCGAUAAAUUAUCUUAAGAGGAUCGGAUACAGAUCCGUGGCGGAUACAAAUAUAUGGCACAAAUUGAAGUAUCCGUGCAUCAUACCUUGGAAGUAUUGUGAAAAUAUUCCUACAAAUAGCAGCAGCAAUAGCACUUAUUUUUAGAUGGCUAUAAUGCAAAAUUUGUUUAGUAACAUGUAGCCAUGGUUAUAGGAAUCUCAUGCAGCAACAACACUCUUUUUUCGAAGGUUGUGUUGCUGAACUUAUGUAGUAAAUAAUACACAUUGAUACAACCACUCCUUUUGACUAUGUGGUUGUUUUGUUAUUAAUUGUAUCUUUGCAUGUUUAUAUGUCUUAUAUACUUAAGUAUAUGCUACAUUUUUUAAUGUUUAUGAAUCUUACGAUUUUCUAUACGAAACGAUACCUAAUUCAAAAUAUAAGCUCUCUGAUACAUAACUUGUAUCUCAAUUCAGCUACCAUUUAUAAUGAUUUUAUGUAUCUUUUAUCUUUGGAGAGGCCUUUGCUUGUUAGUUGUGGUUCUAAACAGGAAUACUGAUCCAUGCAGGUCUGUUUGUUUCUUUUGGUGAAUUGCAGAAAUUUUUAUAGUACAUACUAAUUUUAUUGUUUUUGUCAUAGGCAAGAAUAAUUUUCAAACCAAACUCAUGAGCUUAGGCAUAGUAGUCAAUUGCAUGCUAUAGCAGUGUUUCAGAGUGUCGCAGCUACAAGAUGCUCUAUGGAGCCUGUUGCAUUGCAGUUUGUUGUUGAGUCUUGAGUGACAUGAAUCAUGGCUGCUAUUGCGGCUGUUGUGACUGUUAUUGACUCUGACAAAAAUCCUUCCCCCCUUGAACGAUGAUGUUUGGUGCUGUUUAAGAGGGCAAUCUUGUGAUUUUGGCUCCCCUUUUUUCAUUUGACCAUACAUUUCCAAUCCUCACCCCUUUCGAAGGUUGAAUGACACUGGUCUCAACUUUCUUUGACACCAAUCGUCUGACCCAUAGCUCCCAGCCAUGAUUCUGUGAACCCAUGGAACUUCAGUUAAGUUUCUGGUCAACACUCAACACAAUGCUGCAACUCUGAAAUAUCGUUCUCUGAUCUCUCUCUGUUCCACAUCCUUUGGGAUGUUUUUUGUUCACGUUGAAAAGGCUUCUAUGCUUUAUUUUGUAUUUUCAUUGAGUCUAGAUAGGCGAUCUUAUGUAUUUCUUUUCUUUAAAAUAACUUACUCUUUGAACUUGUCGUCAUAAUAUCGGUCAUUUUCCUAGCUACUAUCACACUGUAGCGAUUUUGUGGUUGGCUGAGUGCUUUCUUGGACUGGUAGCUGUUAGCAGGAUAUAGCUGUUUUUCUGAUCAUAUUAUGUUUAUGCUUCCCUAGUAAAAUUGUUGGCAUGCUGAUCUGUACAUUUUAACAAAGGAAAAAUGUGAGUUACCACUUCAUGUUUAUGGUUUGUGAAACUCUUUUUGCAGACACAAUUUAUGAAGGCUAGAGAGCAACAACAGCAGCAGCAACAGCAACAGCAGCAGCAGCCACAACCUCAGCAGUCGCAACAUCAGCAGCAACAGCAGCAGCAACAACAACACAUACAGAUGCAACAAAUCCUGUUACAGAGGGCUCAGCAACAGCAGCAGCAGCAACAACAACAGCAACAGCAGCAACCACAACAGCAACAGCAACAGCAACAGCAGCCACAACAUCAGCAGCCACCACCUCAGCAGCAGCAGGGUAGGGAAAGGACUCAUCUCUUAAAUGGUGGUACCAAUGGGUUAGUUGGAAACCCUAGCACUGCAAAUGCACUGGCAACAAAGAUGUAUGAGGAAAGGUUAAAACUUCCCCUUCAAAGGGACUCUUUGGAAGAUGCAGCAAUGAAGGUUAGGAGAUGUUCUGUUGCCUAUUAUAAAGAUGAACUACUUUUUUUAAUGGCAUAUACAAUCAUAACUAUCUUUUUGGUAUUUUGUACAGCAAAGAUUCGGAGGCCAACUCUUGGACCCAAAUCAUGCCUCAAUAUUGAAGUCAUCUGCAGCUACCGGCCAGCCUUCAGGGUAACUUUUUAGAACUUAGCUUUUAUUGUUUCUUGUUUUAGUCUUUAAGUUAGUAAGGUAUAUGCUUGGUAAAGAAGGUAGUUUUGCUUGUUUAGUCUUGGCUGUAGCUGAGCUAAUUUAAGUUCGAUCUGAAAUCACAUGAGCUGAAUCUUACUUCACCAACAUGAGACAAAAAAGGGAUCUUGUAUGCUAGGCAAUGUAUAAAGCCAGAUUGACCUUUCUGGAGGGUAGUAGGGACCGUAGCUGAAAGGGUCUUCUCCUUCCGUGACUUUGAAUUAGUAGUUAUUUGCUUCUUUAUUUUUUUUCUAGGUUUUGAAAUAUCUAUUUGGCAUUCCAUUAAUUAUAUUAGCUUUUGUUAUUCUUUAAUCUUUAUAGCUAUGCAUGUGACUUUGUUAGUACUAAAUAUCUUGAAUUCAGCCAAGUUUUGCAUGGUGCUGCUGGUGCAAUGUCUCCACAAGUUCAAGCACGUAGUCAGCAAUUACCAGGGUCUACUCCGGUAUGCAAGUGUUCUUAAAUUAAACUCAUUACAUCUUACAAUAUUUCUUAUGACCCGUUUAACCCUGACUUUGCUAAUCAGGAUAUAAAGAGUGAGAUCAAUCCUGUUUUAAAUCCCAGAGCUGCAGGUCCUGAAGGAUCAUUGAUAGCUAUGCCUGGUAUUAUUUCAUUUAAUGUAACUGGUUGUUCUAUUAAUUUGUAAUCUAACUUGCAUGCAUUUAUUGGGGAAUAUUUUGGGUUUAAUGUUAAAACUGAUAUUUUUGGGAUAUCAUUACACUUGCACACAGAUUGAGUUAACAGGAGAUUUUUCAUGUCAGGUUCAAAUCAAGGUAGCAACAAUUUAACUCUAAAAGGGUGGCCACUAACGGUGAGUAUUCUUUUUAUUUUAAUGGUUAUUUUGAAUUAGAUGGUACUAUUAUUGGAUAAAAUCAUGUCUUCCUAAACUUUUUUUUAAACUUGAGAGUUUGUUUUUAUAUUGUACAUUGGAAUUGAACCAAUUAUCUUUUUAUCCUAACCAUAUCCCAUCCAUACUGCUUGAGCCAUUGUCAGGUGGCAGAAGUAGCCUUUUUUGUUAACCCUGCACAGCCUCCGUUGUUUGAUAGAAAUAGUGGCCUCUUAUCUGAAGUCUCGAGCAACCACCCUGCAAACUUUGUGUCUUUGACAUCAUUUAGUCUUUGUUUAGGGUGAUUUGGAUAGAGGGAUUUCGAAAGGAGAGAGUUAGGACGAAUAUUUAAAUAUUUCCAUUGUUUGUUUACUAGGAAAUUUGAAAGGAGAAGUGAUAAAAAGUCCAUGAGCCCCACAUAUUUUUAAUCUUGGUAUAUUAUUAUGCAUCCUAAAGACUAAUUUUAAAAGGCAUGAACUAAAUAAUACAAGUGUUAGUUAGCCAUAUUUUUGUGUUAAAAAAAUUAUUAUAAUCUAAUUUAAUUUAAAGAACAUAAAUUAGAGCAAGAAAAUGUUUUUUUUUUAAGUAAUUAGUUUUAAAUAGUUGUUUUAAUUUUAAUAUACUUUUAUUAGAAACUAAUUAAAUAUAAAAUAAGUAAACAUGUCAUAAUUAUAAUGCAUAUUUUGUGAGAUUUGAAUUAAAAUUAUAUUUGAUUUAAAAUUAAAAUUCAUCAUUUAGACAAAAUUAUAUUUUUAUAACAUUUAUCAUUUGUUUUCCUUCAUUUUUCCGUAUAACCAAACAGAUGAAAUGAAAUCACCUUAUAUUGUUCCCUACUAAUUAUACCAAUCUACACAAUGCGAAAUUCUACUAAAAAACCACUUGAAUUACUAUUCGUUCAUUUUUCUCCCCUAAUACUUUCUUCUCACUUCUCUUUCUAUCCCAAUAGAGUGCUAAUGAUUAAACUAAAAAUUGAGUUAUUAAGCUGCUCUGUUUAUCCUUUUUUUUAUUUCUUAUUAGGGGUUGGAGCAACUACGUUCUGGUCUACUUCAGCAACAGAAACCACCUUUCAUACAGUCUCCUCAACCAUUUCAUCAACUUCCAAUGUUGACACCACAACAUCAGCAACAGCUAAUUCUGGCACAGCAAAAUUUGGCAUCACCAUCUGGCAGUGAUGAUAAUAGAAGACUCAGAAUGCUGCUGAGUAACAGGAAUAUGGGUGUAGCUAAGGAUGGUCUUUCGAACCCUGUUGGUGAUGUUGUAUCAAAUGUUGGAUCACCUCUUCAAGCAGGUGGCCCCGCUUUCCAGCGCAGUGAUACAGACAUGCUAAUGAAGGUGUUUGCUCUCUUGAAGUUGAAAUUUGUCUUUCCAUAUUCUUAAUCAUUCUUGCAUAAUUUUUUCAAAUGUCCUACUUGUAAUUGCUUGGAGUUGCCGCAACUGUCAUGAGUUGCAUCUUAAAAAUGUUUUUGUUUGUGUAGUUGAAACUGGCACACUUACACCAACAUCAACAACAGCAGAAUGCCAAUCCACAACAGCAGCAACUGCAACAGCAUACUCUAUCAAAUCAGCAAUCUCAGUCUUCAAAUCAUAACAUGCAUCAGCAGGAUAAAAUGGGGGGAGGUGGUGGUAGUGUCAAUGUGGAUGGUAGCAUGUCAAACUCCUUUAGAGGCAACGAUCAGGUCAGUCCUUUUAUUGUUGCCAUUAAUAUUAGAGAUUGAGGCUUUGUAUAAACUAUCAUUUGCUUUCUUCUUAUCAAAUCAUUAGUGUAAUACACCAAUAUAUAUAUAUAUUAUGUAUUUGUGGGGAGAGAUUAAAUUACAUUUAUGUGACUUUUACCAGUUAUUACUCUAUUCAAUAACUUUCUAUAAGAUAAUAUAUAUUAUGUACAUAUAUAUUAAAAUUGACAUAUAUUUACUUUUCAAAAUAUACUAAAAUAUGAAACAUUUGAUUAACUUUUUAUUGUUGUUCAAAUUUGACCACAGUUGACAUAGAAAAUCUUGAUAAUAUAAAAUUCUGACUUGUAAUAUAAUGCAGAACUAUUGACAGUUUGACAUUGAGCGACAGGUGAAUUUCUGUAAAUAAUUCAUAACUAUUAAUUUCUGUAGUUCUUUUGAAUUUCUAUAAGCAUCUAAAUUUAAAUUUCAUGUGUAUAACCGAGUUUAUAUUUGAUUGUCAAACCUCUCCUAUUAAAUAUUGGCAUUAUCUUAUUUGGACUGAAAAAGUUGUUAAAAAAUAUUUUAUAGAGAUUUUAGAAGUAUUUUUUGAAAUGCAAGAUAAUUUUUUUUCGUAGUUACCCAAAGAAUAAGUUAGCGACUCGUUAAAAAAUCAGCAAUUAUAGGGGAUGAUUUUUGUUUUAUCUGUUCUACAGGACAUGUUUUUGUUUCAGGCUUAUAUACAUUAUAAUAUGACACUUUGCAAAUUAUGUUAUAGGUUGUCAUUGGGAGAUAGUGUAAAAAGAGUUUUAUAACAUAAUAGCUUUCAUGAAUUUUACUGUUUAUGCAAUUUUGUUAAUUUUAUGUAAACUCAUUCUUGGUCAUGUUUGAUAACCUUUUUUUAUCACAUUUUAAAUGAAAGCUUUAUUAAAUUUGUAGUUUCACUUUUCCAUGUAUAAAUCAUUUUAAGAUUGACUAAAAGUAUUUUAUGCUGAAAAGAAUUAUGUGCUUUUUAGUUAUGUACAAAAUAUAUUUGAUAUUUUAAUAUUUGAUUAAUUGGAUAUAUAUAAUAGUGUCAUUACUUGAUUCUCAUAGCUAUUAUUUUUCCUAAAUUAGUGGUUAAUAGUUUGUAGCUUGUUAGUUUCUUUAAUGUUUGAAUGGAAUUUUCAUGUGUAUGGGUAUAUAGAUUCUUGGCAAUUAACGUGUAGUAAAUAGUGAUUUUCUGAUGCAUGGAUUUGUCUCUUAUGCUGAAUAUAUUGAAAAGCCAUUCAUUUUAUUGUUUUUGUGUUCUCCUUUUCUCUUAAUUUUGGACACUGCGGAUUAUGUUUUAUGAUUUUUAUAAUUUCACUGCAAUUGGAUUUCGAAGCUGUUUUGAAAUCCAUCAGGGAUGGUGUAUUUGUUUGCUUGUCAAUUCCUGAAUUGGUUGAGCUCAAGUAUUAUACAUUAAUUUCUUUAACCUCAACUUUUCUAAACUUGAGUAGUAAGAAAAGGAUUUUGUGAUGCUUUCAGAUGAGAUAUACAAUUGUAAAAUGCAACUUCCACUACUUGUUCGUUUCAUUGAGUUUUGAACCCUAUGUAUAAAUGGAUGGUGACUUGUUGGAUGAUUUUGAAUUUAAUGAAUUUACUUAUUUCUAUAAGUUUGAUCAUCUGAGCAUAAAUUUUGCCCUUGGAUUUGGUAGACAUUAAUCUGGUGUAUGUUUAUAGUCUUUCUUUAAUUUGAUUCCUAACAUGGUUUCUUCUAAAUGCAUUUUAAGGUUUCCAAAAGCCAGACUGGGAGAAAGAGAAAGCAGGCUGCAUCUUCUGGUCCUGCCAAUAGUUCUGGAACAGCUAAUACAGCUGGCCCAUCUCCAAGUUCAGCACCCUCGACUCCCUCGACACAUACACCCAGUGAUGUGAUGUCAAUGCCUGCUUUGCCUCAUAGUGGUAGUUCUUCAAAGCCAUUAAUGAUGUUUGGCGCUGAUGGUGCUGGAACUCUUACAUCACCUUCAAACCAGUUGGUAAGUGGCUCCUUCAAUUGAUGGAAGGAAUAAUAAGUUCCUUGCAUGUAGGCUCAUUGUCAUUCCAUUUUGGCAGUGGGAUGAUAAGGAUCUUGAAUUGCAGGCUGAUGUGGAUCGCUUUGUGGAGGAUGGAUCUCUAGACGAUAAUGUUGAGUCUUUUUUAUCCCAUGAUGAUAACGACCCGAGAGAUACUGUUGGUCGUUGUAUGGAUGUAAGCAAAGGUGCAGUACCAUUGUUUUUGUUGACAAUAAAAUCUUCUAGCAUUCCCAUUGCAAAGGAGGUUCUGAAGUGCAUGUAUUAUUUUCCCUUGCUUGCAAUGCAAUUUUUUUUUCUUUUUCUCCUUCAUAGGUUAUUGUUUAUUAGUAUUAGACUUUUGUGAAGUAUCUUAAAUAUUAUUUUGUUCAUAUGCCUUCACCCAAUAACUUAAGCUUUUAGCAUUUUGGAUAGUUGGUUCAUUGAUGGUGUCAAAGCCACUGAUAAAUGUGGUCUAGAGUUUAAUCCUUGACGCCGUUUGUUCUGGUAAAUAAGAAGUUAAUUUCAUCAUAAAGGUAGGUUGGGAAUAGACUAGGCAGUCAACAGUGCUCGUAGUUGUUGCUAUCAUAUUAGAGUGGUGCAAAGUGACACUUUAGCAUGACAACAACUUCAUUAGGUUGUGCUUUAAAGUCGCAACCGUGUUUUCUACAGUUGGAGGAAAUUGUUUGGGCGUUGACACAUGAAAGUUGGAGGAAAACCUGACUCAACCCUGUCAACAUUUGCCUCCAAAGCUUCUAAUUGUGAAGUCAUUCUUGUGUGCAUACACCAUUUGAUAGCAACCAACUACUAUCAGUAUUGCAUAUAUUUCUAUCUGACUAAUCAAAGAAAGGAAAAUAACAGAGAGCAGUAGCUCCCAGGUCAGAAAAGAAUCUAUGGCCCUGACAAUUCCAUUCCUGACAACAUCUCUCUCUCUCUCUAACUAACUCAUCACCUCACCUAUGAGCUGUUUGGUAAUAAUGAGCCUAAUUAAUCUUAGGCCUAUGAGUAUACACUUGAAGGGGUUUAGGGGCUUUUGGAAUUAGGAUUAGGUUCCUAUGAGUUUCCAGGGAUAAAACACACUGAACAAGAAACAGGUAGGAGGUGACUCUAGAUCUGGAACAAAUGAUGCAUAUCUGGUCAAUACCACCCCCUGGAGUGGGUUGGGAUGGCUUUGGUGAGUCUGUUUGGGCUCAACUGUGCCAUUACUCAAUUCCUGAAGCUAUCUGUUCAGAACAAAUCUCCUUUCUUCCCUCUUAUUGUUUAAGCUAAACCCCUCUCUAAUAAUAUAACCAUGUUGCUAUUUCUAUUGGCUUUUCUAUGGAAUCGAGAUGGGAUAAAAAGUAUUUACAUAAAAGUUGUAUAAAAAACUAAUAAAAGUGGUAUAAAAAGCUGUUUACAGAAGGGGUGAUUUUGCAUGGGAUAAGAAAGAGGCACUAACAAAAUUGGCGCCAGACUGACUGACAAUUUCAUCAGAGCUGCAACAGCAGAGAUGCCACUUUGGUUUUGGUCAACCAAGGCUCGAGAUAAAAAUUAAAAGCAUGGAAUCCAAAAAGGUGGCCCAACUAUGGUGGCACUUCUGCUGCUGAGCUCUGAUGGCCUUGUGUUCGUCAAUCCGUGGCACCAACUUUGUUAGGGCUUGUCUUAUUCCAUGCAAAACACCCACUUCUGUAAAGAGUUUUAUUUUAUAAUUUUAUGUAAAUACUAUUUUUCCCUCCUAGAUUCCAUACAAAAGCCAAAUAUUUAACUACUUUGUAAUUAGUUAUAUAACUUCUGGGGUCCUAUCAACCUGCAUGUCAUCAGUAAUAUUUAUAUUAAGGGCUGUAUUUCUAACUUCAAAUGAAAGGCUGGGCCAUAAAAUGUUUUGGACAAAAACACCCUAGAAUGCUCAUUAGGCCAAAUUCAUUUAUGCCAAAAGACUCUAUUAAUUGAUUGUAUUGAAGCUAUAUACUUUGUUUGUGAAGGUGGGUUGUUGCUCUUUAAUUUAUUGACUGGCAUAAAUAGUUAUACCUGCAGAAACUGAGGCCAUGGGUUCACUUUAUUUUCAGGUUUCACAUUUUCUGAAAUAAAUUCUGUACCUGCAAGCACUAACAAAGUUGUCUGUUGCCAUUUCUCGUCUGAUGGGAAAUUGCUUGCUAGUGGUGGCCAUGACAAAAAGGUUAGUUAAUGCAUUAUUCUGGGAAAUAAUUUUCUUUAUUUUUUCGUUUUUCAACCAAUUUUACUCAAAUUUUCGUGAACGUAGCAUUUAAUCUGCUUCGAAAUUUAAAAACAAAAUUAUAAAUGCCUCUAUUUUACUUAAUCUGUUUAUAUAUAGAAUGUGACAUUUUCUCUGUUUUUUUUUUGUAAUGCAGGCUGUUUUAUGGUUCACAGAUUCUCUAAAACAAAAGACUACUCUUGAAGAACAUUCUUCUUUAAUCACUGAUGUCCGUUUCAGUCCAAGCAUGCCUCGCCUUGCUACAUCUUCAUAUGACAGAACUGUCAGGGUGUGGGAUGUUGAUAAUGUUAGUUCAUAAUGUUUAUUUUACUCUAAUAUUUCUGCUUUUUGAGAAUGCCCCCCUAAAGAUUUAGUAUGUAUAUUUUGUAAUAACUUGGCUAUGCAUGUCAUACAAAUAAAAUUUUCUCUGAUUCUAAAGCAUGACACAAAGGUGCUUACAAAAUGUGUUUGCUUAUCUAUUCCUGAAAAUAUGUACUUAUUGAAAUAAUUACAGUAUAACGAUUUUGUGCUUGUUUCUUAUUAUAAAUAUAAUUACUUACACUAUAAAGGAGGACAGAAUAUAUCAAAUUACUCCUGUCCUUGGUGAAUUAUGGAUUUGAAACAUAUUGUGUUUGCUGAUGAGUUCCUGGGAUAUGAUUUCUUAAACAUGGUUCUGCUGUAGUAUAAUGCUACAAGGAUGAUGCGAUGGAAAUGUUUAUUCAUGGCUCUGGAUAGGAAUCUUAAUUGGUUACAAGUUAUCAUUAAAACAUUGUAAUUAUCACUGUGAUAGGGACACAAUGGUUUGAUGUUCUUUGUAGAUAGGAAGUUACCUAGUGAAGUUAUUGAACUUUUUUAAUGAUAAAAUAUGAUUUGAUUUCAAGGUGCAAGCUUAGUGCUUCAGAAGCAUAGGAAUUUCAGUUUUUGUGAUAUUUAGUGUUAGCAGAUGUAGCUUAAAUUGCAUUAUGAAUUCUAACAUCCCAAUGAUCUGUGUACAAAUCUAUGACUGCUUUUGUCUAUUUAAAGUUAUAUGGGAUCUGGAAAUUUCACUAGUUAUUGUGGGUAGAUUUUAAUGCCAGGUCUAUUUGUAAGAUGACGGUGUUGCUAAUGAUUGCACAUUAUCUGGAUUUUGAUGGAUUAUGUGCUUGUGUUGUUCUUUGUUUGUGUUCUGCUUUAGCUGAUAUUUAAUUUCCAAUGCAGCCUGGAUAUACGCUUCGUACUUUUACUGGUCAUUCUUCAUCUGUUAUGUCACUAGAUUUUCACCCUAAUAAAGAUGAUCUUAUCUGCUCUUGUGAUGUUGAUGGUGAGAUACGAUAUUGGAGCAUUAACAAUGGCAGUUGUGCUAGAGUCUCAAAGGUAGAAUCUUAGCAUAUGCAUUUGUUUAAUUGGUUGUGCAUUGUGUUUUCUUUUCAGUUUGCUAAACUGACAAAUUUUCCUUCUGGUUAGGGUGGCACUGCUCAGAUGAGAUUUCAACCACGUCUAGGGAGGUUCCUAGCUGCAGCUGCUGAGAAUGUUGUUUCAAUAUUUGAUGUGGAAACGCAAGCAUGUCGAUAUUCAUUAAAGGUUGGUUUGAAUUUGUUUACGUAUUGCUAGAGUUAGGAUAAAUUCUUUCAGUUAGACAUGCUCUUAUUCUUGAGCGUGUCUGUGCUUUAGUCUAAUGCUCCUCACACUAUCUGGCUUAAUUGUUUUUGCUUGAGGAGAGGUCUAGGAACAACGUUGGUUAUUCUUUCUAUAAGAAUCAAAUACUUGUAACAUUGUAUAUAUUUCAAAAGCAACUUUGAGCUUAGAUAUUUGUUGUUUUGGCGACUUCAACAGUAAUUUCUGAUUCUUGUAAGUAUUGUCUUAUUCAAACUUAUGCAUAUUUUAUUAUGAUAUGAUUAUAGGGACAUACAAAAUCAAUACAUUCUGUGUGUUGGGAUCCUUCUGGGGAGUUCCUGGCAUCUGUCAGUGAGGACUCUGUCAGGGUUUGGACUCUUGGAUCAGGGAGUGAAGGGGAGUGUGUUCACGAGCUUAGCUGCAAUGGCAAUAAGUUCCACUCAUGUGUUUUCCAUCCAACAUUUUCUUCGCUGUUGGUAGUUGGUUGUUACGAGGCAAGUAUACAUCCUUUUCUUAUUUUGUUUCCUUCAGUAUGUUUGGACUCACAUAUUUUGGAAAUUAAUUUGAUUCAUGAAUGGAAUUCUAUGUUUGAAAUGUUAUGAAGUAGAAUUGAUUUUGAAAUCCUUUUGGAUUUAAGUUGUGUAUUCAGAUAUCCACUCAAAUUUGGUUUGAUUUGAUUCUCAUUUGAUCUAGUUUUAAAUGUGAUUAUUUGAAGUGAUGAUUUCAUCCUCAUUAGUUUACCCACCUUGGCACCCUUCAAUUCAUCGUUUAGACUUUCCAAACCUGAUCUCUGAAUGAUUUCAAAUCAUAUUCUUUUUAUAAUGAAUUCUAAAAACAUAACAUUUGAUUAUAUUUGACCAUGUUUCAUGUCCAUGAUAAAUAGUAUUAAAUACAAUCCAUAGUAAGAUUUUAAUUUUGACUUGUUACAACUGAUACCAUGAUGUGCAGUCAUUGGAGCUCUGGAACAUGACUGAGAACAAGACAAUGACUCUAUCCGCUCAUGAAGGUCUUAUUGCUGCAUUGGCGGUUUCUACUGUAAAUGGUUUGGUUGCUUCUGCCAGUCAUGACAAGUUUGUGAAGCUCUGGAAGUGAGUUGGUUGUGUCAUCAAUACAUGUUGAUUUAUCAGUGUUGAUAAUGAUGAUGUUUGUAGUUUGUCCCCUUUUUUGUAGUUUGAUCAACCACCCCUCACAACAUAUUUGUAGUUUAUGUUCCCUUUUAUGUAGCUUGAUCAUUAGUUUAUGUGCCCUUCUUUUAUGAUGUAGCUUGAUCAGUCACCGUUCCUUCCCCUUUUGCCGUUUGGUAUAAUCUGAUUUUCUAUGUAAUCAUAGGUACUGACUUUUGUAAUAUUGUCACCCCUGUUGUACUCUGUUUCAUAGUUGUUUUAUUUGGAGAUUUCUAAUCUUGUGUCAUCCAGAUUCACUUUUAUAAUUAUGAUUGCUACCACCUCACUUUUGGUAUUCAUUCUAAUAUACUUUACUAUUCAUAGUGGAUUGCAAGCAUUUUUCUUGUUAUUAAUUAGGCUUAAAAGUUUCUGGUACCUGAAAUAUGAACAUAUUUUGUUUUUGCCUAUAAAUGUUUUUCUUGACUUUUGGUAUUUGGAUUUUUGUUUUGGUUUUGGUGUUUCUAGUCCCUCUAAAUAUUGGGUUUUUGUAUAGAAGAUUUACUUUUUAGUUCUCGUUGAAUAUUUUUAAAUGCACAAUUUCAAAAUAAUCAUAAUACUGGAAGGAUUAAACUAAUGUAAAUAAUUUACUGGGUUUAGAACAAAAUAUCAUGAUCCGAAUUGAAAAUUAGUUUUACAGGAAUCAAUAUUUAAGAUUUUUCUAUACGAACCAAAAGCAAAAUGCAAAUAUAUUUUAAGUAGUGAAAACGUAUUUAAGUUUCAUUAUUGGUACCCUUUUUUUGUUGUGCAUAGUCCAUAUCUGCAGCAACUCAAUGCUGAUAUGAAAAGGGAAUAUUCAGAAAUGCAUAGCAGCAUUAUGUCCUGCAUCUUUGUGCCAAUUUAGACGUCAAUAGUCUUGUGUUGUUUACCAUUAAUGUUGUUGAACGUAGCAUUGAUAAAAAAGUUAACAAUUUUAAUUGUACCCUUAUGUAGAGUCAAUGUUUUUCUUUAAAAUUAAUGGAAAAUUCUUGAGAUCAUUCUUUUUAGAGAUGAAAAUGUGUUGGGGUUAGGUUGUAUCAUAAGGGUUGUCUGAAAGGGAUCGUGCUCAUUUUCUCAAUAGUUUGAUCAACAUAAUUAAUACUUUAGAUUUUCAUUUUUUUUUGGUCUAAAUUAGCAAUGUUUUGUGUGUGAGACUACAAAAUCAAAAAUACAUGUUAUCUUAAUUGAUAGUAAGACUCAUUUGAAAAGUAUAAAGUAGAAGGGUAAAAGAGAAAUAAACAAACUCACCAUACCAUAAUUUUCCAUGGCACAUAAUUUUCCAUGGCAUGAAUUUGAAGUUAUGUGAAUACACAAGCCUAAAGAGAGAAAAUGCAAAAGGAUAAAAAAAAGUAACACAGUAUUGUGGUCCCCUUCAACUGCUGGAAUCCUCUAAUUAUGUACUUAUCCAUGCAUAAUGGGAAGAGUUAUUAUACUGUUAGUUUGGACCACAUGAGAAAGUGCAUGCUUUGCCACUGCACAAAGCAAACAUAACAAACACCGUGCUUACAAUGUCUCAAACAUCCACCACUCUUUUCUUUUCUUAUCCUUUUUCAUUCAGACAUUCACUCAAUCAAACUUUUUUUUUGCUUCUCUUUUUCUGUCAUUUCUGCAUAACUUAGCAUUCUUCUAGUUAGGACAACCCAACUAGGACCAUUUCCUUUGCCUCAUCAGAUUGGGAAAAAACUGCAAAGUAUAUACAAAACAUAAACACAACAACUUUCUUUAGAUGUAUGCACAAAGAAUAUAACUAUGACUACAACCAUACAUGUUUUUAAGAGAAAAAGAAGUAGAAAAAUAAAAUAAGCUUCUCCAUAAACUAAAAUUACCCUCUACCAUACUUUGCAAGUUCUCCAAAAUCUUAUGCACAAAUCAUUUUUAACAUAUGAAAAAAAGUAUAUUCAGUUUUUACCUGAAAAAGUUCAUUCAAAUUGAUUCCAUAAAGUUGUAGACACUACUAAAACUGAAAAACCAUGAAAAUGAAUCUGUAUAAUAUAAAACAAGUUUCAAACUUAGCUACUUAUUAUUAUUUUACUUCUUAAUAGCAUGUUAAUAUUAUCAUUUUUAUCACAUUUUUUUAUCGUCAUAUGACUAAAAACAAUUAUUAAAUAAAAUUAAUUUUAUUGAUCAAAAGAAUUAAUUAUUAUAUUAAUUAAAUUAAAAAUUAUUUUAUAAACUAAAAAUUAUUGAUAUAUAAAUUAAUUUUUGAAUUAAUAUCUAUUCAUUAACUACCAAGAUUUUAGUUACGAACUACUUUAUUUUUUAAAUUAGUCUCUAACUAAUUUAAACUUUAAAAUAUUAGUAGCUAAAACAUUUCUAGUUAAUUUAGAUAACAAUUUAGAAACUAUUUUAUAAAUUUUUAUUAAUGAUAAUUUUUUUUAAAUAUCAAUAAUUUUUUAAUUUUUAAAAUAAUAUUUAAUUUUAAGAUUUUUAUUAGAUUAAUAUAAUUUAGGAUUUAAAACAUAAAAUUCAGGAACUAAAAUAAGUGUUUCCUUUCAAGUUGAAAUAGUGUGGAAGUGUUUCAUACAAUUAAUUAUAUGGUUGUGAAGUCAUGAUCAAACAACUAGAUGUGGUAAUGUGUUCACAUAACACAGUGCUUGGAUGAAGUACCAAGCCAUUCAUUUAUGUCAAUUACGUGUACUUCCAAAGUCCUAGAGGCUCUAUUUUUAUUACUCUAUAUGCAAAUAAUAAAACAACUUUUCUUAUUUAUUAGUGAGGGAGUUUUGUUGGAUUUUUUCAUAGAUAUAAAUUAAAAUAAUUCUUUUAUGUUUUACUAUAUUUUAUAUAUUUAAUAUCUCUAAUUUUUUUAUAUACUUUUAAAAUAUUUCCUAAACAUCUGUUAUUGUUGAUUAUAUAUAUAACCUGUGAUAUUUCCCUCUUGUUAUAAAAUACGUGUUUUAAAAUUGUUCAUUUAAAAAUUAGUACAGAACACUACUGUAUAUAUAACAUUUAAUAAUAUUAAAAAAUGUUACUAAAAUAUAAGAAAUGUUGUUAGUAUAAUUUAGUAAGUUUUUAUCAAAUAUUAAAUACAUCCUAUAUUAUUAAUGUUUUCUCUAGAAAAAUGUCACUAAAAAUAUGAUAUUUUUUUUUAAAUAGAAAGGUAAUAAUAUUUUAAAAAUAUUUUUAAAUUUCUUAAUAGAAAGUAAUAUUAUAGGAAUAUUAAUAAUUUUUUUAAAAUAAAAGAUAACAUUUUAAAAAGUUACUAUAAAAUUGUAGUCACGUUUUUUCAAUUAAAAGAUAACAUAUAUAUAUAUAUAUAUUAGAAUUAUAUAAAUAAAUAUUAUUAAAUUAUUUAUUUAAAAUAAAAUAAAAUAUCCUUUAUAUAAUAAAAAAAAUACACAUUACUAAGGUAUGCCUUCAUAAAAUUACAAAAAAUAUAUGUGAACAAGUUAAAAAAUAUAUAAAAUUUGAAAUGUUGAAUGAUUCAAUUUGGAAACAUGAGUUAUGGACCCAAUUAUUUCUUAAUCAAGAUUAAACAUCACUAAAAAGUCCCAUCACUAACAAAAAAUUAGCAUAAUGAAACAAAACAAAAUAAACAAAUUACAUAUUUAGAACCAACAAUAAAUAAAUAAACAGUGACAUAAAUCAUAAUUCUUAUAAACGAAAGCUAUAAUGUGAUAAUAAAUUACAGAAACAAUAUUUUCUUAAUGGUAUGAAAUGUAGUUUUCCUUUAAAUUUAGUUAUAAUAUUAAGAUAAUGUUCUUUUUCCCAAUUCAAAUACGGUAAAUAGGAAGCUCAAUUAAUAUUAAAUUUCUUAAAAAUAAAAAAAAAACUUAGACUUAAUUAAAUACACACUUUAGAGUGUCAUGACUUUCAAGAAGAGCUCAAAAAUAUUGAAUGAAUAUUUAAGUUUUGAAGAUAUUUUUCAAGUGUGACCACUUCAACCUUAGAAUCUUCAGCCGCAUUAUCAAAACUAGUUAAUAAAUGAUAUAAAAAUAAAAUAAAGAUAAAUAUGUUACACAAUUCAUCUCUUAGUUAACUUUCGGUUAUUUUUCUUUUUUUUUCUCUCUCAUAAAGGUAGUAUGACUUUGCUUCUAACACCAAAGUAAACAAAAAAUAAUUUAAUUUAAAAUAUCUAAUUCAAUAAUAACCUCAAUGUAAAAUUAUAUACCUCAAUAACAACUCUUCUUUUAGGUAUUUGAUAUUACUAAUAUUUUGCUAGUGAAUAAAAGCAAUUUUAAAAUGUUCUAAAAGUUCAACUUUCAUGACUUUAACUUGUUGUUUUAGUUUUACUUCUACUUCUUUUUCUAUUUAUUUUUUAUACUUUAAUUUUUUUUAUAAAAAAAUUUAUGUUAAGUAUUAUUAUACAUCUUAGCUAAACUAACCCAUCAAGUAACAACAAUCAUAUGUCAUCACAUAAAAAAUAUAUUAUUAAAAAAAAUACUUGAACAUUUGAACUUUAUCAAUUAAUUUAUAUGUUUCAAGAUUUAGUUUCUCAUAAGUUUGUACUACUCCCAUUUUUUGCUUAACCAUGUCAAUCUUUUUAAAAACUUAAAAAAUAUAUCUUUCGGAGUUGAGCUUUUGUGGUUUUUUUAAUGAGAAACAUUUACAUCCUCAAUAUUUUAAUUAAAAAAAUAAAAGAAAUUAAAAUUAUAAUUGUGUUUCAAAUAAGGUUAUUAUAAAAGCAGGGAUCAUGAUUGAGGUUAUCAUACAAUAAUUCUUUUCGUAUACUUAUUCUUAAGCUUAAGCUUAUGUAUCAUGAUCAACCUUUAUUCACAAGAUAACCACCCUCCAUCAAAAUUCUUCAUUGUUUAUCAUAUAAAAGAAAAAUGUUAGUCUAAAACAAAUAAAGCCAUUAGUUAUGUCAUUAGUCUAACCUCUUCAUAUGUUAUCUUUGCAAAAGUUUUAGUUAUCGUGUUAUGUAUACCAAUAAUUUUUUCUCUACUUAUUCUAUUCUUCUUGCUACAAUAAUUAAUGAUAUUAGAAAAUAUAAUAGUAAUCAAAAUAUUAGUACAAAUAAUCCUAUAAUCAAAUUAAAAUGUUAGAUUUGAAAAAUUUAAGAAGAUUUUUCAUUGUUGAAGGGAUACUUAGGAAUCGAUUUUUUAAGUUAUAAUCAUUUGAUUAAAAUAUUCUUCUUGCUACAAUAAUUAAUUUUUUUUGCCUUCAAUCGACGUUUAUGAUUCUUUCAAAUUGAGCAUAUACUUUUUAAAACACACAUAUUCUUCAAUAUCAAUUUUGACGAUAUCUUUUAAUCAAUUAAUAAAUAUUAGAAUUUAUGCAAAAUAUAUAUAUAUAUAUAUAUAUAUAUAUAUAUAUAUAAUUGAAGAUAAAUGUGAGCAAAGUUAAAUAUUAUGAUUGUUUUUCGCAGGUUAUCCCAAUAUUUUUUUAGUGAAAGUUAAAGGAGCUAGGUUGCACUCUAAGCUAAUAUUCCAAAAUAAUUGCUCAAUGUAGCAAAAAAGAAUACCAAUAGGUUGGCCAAAAGCAUUAAGUUUAAUUGAAAAAAAUGCUCUUCAUUGAAAAGGCAUGAGUCUUGAGACAAUGUCAUGACCUCUUUUAAUCUUGCUAGUAGAACAUAUUAAUUAAGUAUAUCUUUAGGAAUUGUUUAUAAGGCAUAUGGUAUAUCUUUAGGAAUUGUUUAUAAGGUAUAUGUUAGAGAAAAAAAAUCAACAAACACAAUAUUUAAUUUUGAUUAUGUGCUUACCAAAAAAUUAUAAAACAUGAUUUUAUAAACAUUAAAUCCAGACAGACGCAAAUACUUCAUCUAGCUAAAUAAAUGCAUAAACAUUUUGGUUAUAUACUUUUAUCUGAUAAGCUUUUUGCAUGGACAAAUGAUAAGUGCACAUAGUCUGAAGCAUUUCAUGGGAUACAUAAAAAUAUUAUAAAUGCUUAUUUUAUGUUUAAAAAUAAUGUUCAUCUAUUUGUUUCUUACAAGAGGAUCUCACAUUUAAGUGUCUACAUAUAGAUCUCUUGAAGAACGUGCCUAAAGUUGUUUCACCAAAAUAACCAUUUCGUAAAGAUGGAAUGAUAGUUUUGUAAAGACUGACAACCUUGUUAGGUCCUACUCUUUACUCCAUUUUGAAAAAAAAAACUAUUUGAUCUAGGCUUGAUAAGUCAUGUUGUGUAUAAAAGAGUUGCAUAAAGAAGAUAUGUACAUUUUCUGUUGGAUGAAAAUCAUUUAAUGCAUCUUUUCAAGUUUGGACGUGGACAAACACAAGAAAAAGAAAAGAUCUACGCAAAAUCUCUCAGUGAGUCUAAAAAUAUUUGAAUAACUCUUUUCUUCUAAACAUCUCCAUAAAGAAGACCUAUUUGAAGAAGAACUAUUGACAACAUUGACAAGAACAAUAAAACUCUUAAAAUCUUUAGCCAUCUUUAAGUCUUAGUUUUUGAGCAAGAAUACUACUAUGUUCAUUAGAAACCUCAAAGAGUAUUUUUAAUCUUGUAUUCGUCUUAGGAUGUUACCCUCUCUUAGUGAGCGAAAUCUGUGAUCGUUUAGAUCACACCUUUUCUGUAAACAAAGUUGUUUAGACAAGCGUGACUAGGUGUAAAGAAUACUAAGUUGUUUGGCUAGGAGUAACUGUGUUCCAAAUAUUACUCAGUCUUAACCAAUAGUGAUUGUGUUCUAAAGUAUACUUUUCCUAGACCAGGAGUGGUUGUUUUCUAAUGAAUACUCAAUCUUAGUUAAGAGUACUGUAUUUCAAAAAAUAGUUGGUCUUAGCCAGGAGUGACUAUGAUUCAAAUAAUAUUUGAUUUUAAUUAAUGUUGUUGAGACACUAGAUGGUCUAGUCACCUAUAGACGGUCUAAGACCCUGCUAGACGGUCUUAUGUAUAUAAGUUAUCUAUGAAGUUUUGAUAAUAACAAAUACUGUAAGAAAUUAUAUAUACUAAAAAAGUGUUUUUAUAUGCAGACAAAAAUUAAAACAAUAGAAGUUCAUAUAAUUCCUUAUGUUGAUUUUGGCUUAAUCCCAAGUCCCACAUCGGUGGGUUCAUUGUUUGGGAAGGAGGUUUGAGGGUUAUAAAUUAAACUCUCCUCCUUCACUGUAAUAUAUCCCAAUUUGUAAUAUCUUUUCCCAUAAUAAUAAAAGUGAGCUGUUUUUGCUGUGCUCGGAGAUUAGGCUAAAUUGGCCGAAAUCCGUUAACAAUUUUCUGGUGUGUUUUUUCUUUUAUCUCUUUUAUUAUUCCGCUCUGUUUAUUCAAUAUUAUUUGUCGGCAGCUCUGUUAGGGUUCUGUUUUAGUGGGAAAAUUACCCUUUUUCCCAACAAGUGGUAUCAGAGCCGAAAGUUCGCCUUGGGUUAUUUGAAAUUAUUUGUAAUAUUGAAUAAUAUAUUUUGAGUUUGUAAUGGCAAAUCAAGAAGAAGAAACGAAGGAUGUAUCCAGAGUGUCGGGCUCCUCGUCAUCAUGGUCGAGGUUCCCGGUGUCCACUUUGAAAUUGGCGGUGGAAAUAUUUGAUGGCACUGGACAUUUUGGCAUGUGGAAAGGAGAGGUCUUGGACUCUCUUUUUCAGCAGGGUCUUGAUAUUGCUAUUGAAGGAGAGAAACCAAAAGAGGUAGAGGAUAAAGACUGUCCAAAACUGCAGAAGAAAGGGAAGACUCCGCAAGAUGCAAAUGUUGCAGAAUGCAAAAGUGAUGUGGAAUCAGAUAUCUCUUUAAUUGUCUCGCUUUCAGCAUCAUCGUAUCCAGAUGAGUGGAUAUUGGAUUCAGGUUGUACCUAUCAUAUGUGUCCCAUUCGGGAUUGGUUCUUUGAAUUUCAAGAACUUGAUGGUGGGGUUGUUUACAUGGGUAAUGAUAAUCCAUGUAAGGCAGCUGGGAUAGGUUCAAUCAAGUUGCGGAAUCAUGAUGGAUCCACCAGAAUUUUGCGGGAUGUACGGUACGUGCCAAAGUUGAAGAAGAAUCUCAUCUCAUUGGGGGCUUUAGAAUCUAAAGGCCUNNNNNNNNNNNNNNNNNNNNNNNNNNNNNNNNNNNNNNNNNNNNNNNNNNNNNNNNNNNNNNNNNNNNNNNNNNNNNNNNNNNNNNNNNNNNNNNNNNNNCAGGAGCACUGGUGAUGUUGAAAGGCGUGAGGAAGAACAAUCUGUAUUACUAUCAAGGUAGUACAGUGGUGGGGACAGUAGCGACAACAACUUCUAGCUCUAAGAAGGAUGUUGAGGCAACGAAGUUGUGGCAUAUGAGGUUGGGACAUGCUGGAGAGAAAUCCUUGCAAAUUCUUACCAAGCAGGGAUUGUUGAAAGGUACGAAGGCUUGCAAACUUGAAUUUUGUGAGCAUUGUGUUCUGGGAAAACAACGACGAGUGAAGUUUGGCACUGCAAUUCACAAUACCAAGGGUAUUCUGGAUUAUGUGCAUUCAGAUGUGUGGGGACCUGCCAAGACUCCGUCAAUCGGAGGUAGGCAUUAUUUUGUNNNNNNNNNNNNNNNNNNNNNNNNNNNNNNNNNNNNNNNNNNNNNNNNNNNNNNNNNNNNNNNNNNNNNNNNNNNNNNNNNNNNNNNNNNNNNNNNNNNNNNNNNNNNNNNNNNNNNNNNNNNNNNNNNNNNNNNNNNNNNNNNNNNNNNNNNNNNNNNNNNNNNNNNNNNNNNNNNNNNNNNNNNNNNNNNNNNNNNNNNNNACUUCACUGUUAGAAAAACACCACAGCAGAAUGGGGCUUCAGAGCGUAUGAACAAGACACUUGUGGAGAAAGUUCGUUGUAUUUUGUCUAAUGCUGAGUUAGGCAGAAAGUUUUGGGCUGAGGUUGUGACAUACGCUCAACAUCUCGUCAAUUGUUUGCCAUCAUCUGCUAUAGAUGGCAAAACCCCGUUAGAGGUAUGGUCUGGAAAACCUGCAACUGAUUAUGAUUCUUUGCAUGUUUUUGGUUCUAUUGCAUAUUAUCAUGUGAUUGAAUCAAAGUUGGAUCCACGAGCAAAGAAGGCUCUUUUCAUGGGCUUUAGUCCUGAAGUGAAGGGAUACCGUUUGUGGUGUCUAGAGGCAAAGAAGACGAUUAUCAGCAGGGAUGUUACCUUUGAUGAAUCUUCCAUGUUAAAGAAGGUAAAUCAAGAAGGAGCUGAUAGUACUCCACAACAGGUGGAAUGUGCCCGGAAGCAGGUGGAGUUUGAGCCGACAGUGGUGAUCACAACACGAAAUACCACAAGUGACUCUCCUAUGGCAGAAGAAGAGUCAGAUGAGGAAGAGGUUCCUACCCAAGAAUCUCAACAGCAAUCAGCGCCAAUUGCAGUUAGAAGACAAAGACGAGAUAUUCAGAAGCCUACUCGUUUCAUGGAUAUGGUUGCCUAUGCACUUCCAGUUGUUGAUGACAUUCCAUCCACUUACCCAGAAGCCAUUCUGAGUUCAGAGAGUGGUAAUUGGGCAGGUGCGAUGGAAGAGGAGAUGCAGUCUUUGAAGAAGAACAAAACGUGGAAGCUGGCACAAUUACCAAAAGGUAAGAAGGCAAUUGGGUGCAAAUGGGUAUUUGCAAAGAAAGAAGGAUUUCCUAAUAAAGAAGAUGUUCGCUACAAGGCAAGGUUGGUUGCUAAAGGCUUUGCUCAAAGGGAGGGAAUUGAUUAUAAUGAGGUAUUUUCUCCAGUUGUUAAACAUUCCUCCAUUCGAAUUUUGUUGGCCUUAGUAGCACAGUUGAAUUUGGAGCUUGCUCAACUUGAUGUAAAGACCGCGUUCCUACACGGUGAUUUGAAUGAGGAAAUCUAUAUGACUCAACCAGAAGGAUACAAGGCUGAUGGUAAAGAAGAUUGGGUUUGUAAACUUAGCAAAUCGUUGUACGGACUGAAACAAUCUCCUAGACAGUGGUACAAACGAUUUGAUAAGUUCAUGAAGGAUCAGAAGUACAAGAGAAGCAAAUAUGAUCACUGUGUGUAUUUGCGCAUACUUGAAGAUGGUUCCUACAUUUACUUACUCUUAUAUGUUGAUGAUAUGUUGAUUGCAGCAAAGAGCCAAGUUGAGAUUGACAUGUUAAAGGCUCAGUUGAGUAAAAAGUUCGAGGUGAAGGAUUUGGGGGAAGCCAAGAAGAUUCUCGGCAUGGAGAUAAACAGGGACAGGGAGAGGGGAAAACUUUGGCUGUCACAGAAGCAGUAUUUGCAGAAGGUACUACAACGUUUUGGUAUACACGAAGAUACAAAACCUGUAAGUACCCCACUUGCUCCUCAUUUGAAAUUGAGUAGCCGUUUAUCUCCGACGACUAAUGAAGAACGAGAAUACAUGGCAAAAGUCCCAUAUGCAAAUGCAGUUGGAAGCUUGAUGUAUGCAAUGGUGUGUACAAGACCAGAUAUUUNNNNNNNNNNNNNNNNNNNNNNNNNNNNNNNNNNNNNNNNNNNNNNNNNNNNNNNNNNNNNNNNNNNNNNNNNNNNNNNNNNNNNNNNNNNNNNNNNNNNCAGGUACAUGCAUAAUUCGGGCAAGGCACAUUGGCAAGCUGUGAGAUGGAUUCUACGGUACCUCCAAAAUACCUUAGAUGUUGGAUUGACAUUUGAGCAAGAUGAAUCACUUGGUCAAUGCAUAGUUGGAUAUUGUGAUUCUGAUUAUGCAGGUGAUUUGGAUAAGCGACGGUCUACAACUGGCUAUUUGUUCACUUUAGCAAAAGCGUCAGUUAGUUGGAAGUCUACCUUGCAGUCUAUGGUGGCUUUGUCUACGACAUAGGCAGAGUAUAUGGCGAUUACAGAGGCUGUGAAGGAAGCAAUUUGGCUUCAUGGGUUGCUUAAAGACUUGGGAGUNNNNNNNNNNNNNNNNNNNNNNNNNNNNNNNNNNNNNNNNNNNNNNNNNNNNNNNNNNNNNNNNNNNNNNNNNNNNNNNNNNNNNNNNNNNNNNNNNNNNUUCAUGCACGGACGAAGCACAUUGAUGUUCGUUAUCACUUUGUGCGUGAGAUUCUUGAAGAAGAGGAGAUUGUUCUCCAGAAGAUUCACACUACGGAGAAUCCUGCAGAUAUGCUCACCAAGGUGGUUACAAGGACCAAGUUUGAACACUGUUUAGACUUGGUUAAUAUCUUGCACAUUUGAAGUUGGCGCCCAGAGGCACAAAUUUGAAGCACUGCAAAGUUUGUUUUUGUUAUGUUUUGAGAAGAUUUAUUUUAGGUGGGACUUGAAAUUAAGCCAAGGUGGAGAUUUGUUGAUUUUGACUUAAUCCCAAGUCCCACAUCGGUGGGUUCAUUGUUUGGGAAGGAGGUUUGAGGGUUAUAAAUUAAACUCUCCUCCUUCACUGUAAUAUAUCCCAAUUUGUAAUAUCUUCUCCCAUAAUAAUAAAAGUGAGCUGUUUUUGCUAUGCUCGGAGAUUAGGCUAAAUUGGCCGAACUCCGUUAACAAUUUUCUGGUGUGUUUUUUCCUCUUUAUCUUUUUUAUUAUUCCACUCUGUUUAUUCAAUAUUAUUUGUUGGGUAGCUCUGUUAGGGUUCUGUUUUAGUGGGAAAAUUACCCGUUUUUCCCAACAUAACACUACAAAAAAAUCAUUAAAUAGAAAUUAAUUUUAGAGACAGAAAAUAAUUAGUUGCUAUAUUAACUAAAUUAGAUACUAUUUUUGUUAUCUGAAAAAUCAAUACUUUUUGAAAGUCUAACCUCAUUAUAACCAUGUAAAAGACUUUAAGAUUCAUGUUUCUAAUAAGAUUGUGAUAUGAAGAUGAAAUGAAAAGCAACUGUGAUUUGUUAGGAUUCAGUGAAAAUAGAGAGAAACACUUAUGUGUGAGCAUAUGAGAAGAAAUUCCUUGAUGAAUUGUCAUUUUAUUGUUUUAGUUUAAUUCUGAAAGUUGAUUGUAUCUAUAUUUUGCUAUAUUUGAAGAUGUAAACAAGAUAAGUUUCUAAUUUAAGCAGUUGUUUAGUGAAUGAAGCUGUUUUGAUAUUUAAAUUAAAAUAUGAUUUAUUUAUAUUCAUUUGCUUUGCUUAAGGACAAACAAGAUUCUAGGUUGGGGGGAUUUGAUAAGUGUCAUAUUUCAGUAAUAUUUCAUAUUAUAAGACAAACACUUAUGGAUAUUUAUUGAUAAAAUAACUAUAAUUUAACCCUUAAUUUAUGAAUUUAAACCUUUUUACAUAUUUUGUGAUUAUAAUAUGAAUAAGAACGAUUUAUUUGUGUUAACUUCAGGAUUUUAGAGGAGAAUGAAGAUGAAAGGGCUAAAUGGGAAUAAAUAAGAUGAAAAAGGAAAAUUGGAACGCUCAAAAUUCGCUCAAAACUCGCCCAAGCCAGCUCACUAGAGAAACUCGCCCAAGCAAGCUAUAACUCGCCAAGACGAGUUCAUUCUAGAGAAGUUGGGCUUUUUCUUGUCCAACUCUCCCAAGCGAGAAAUCACUUAGCUCAAGCCCAACUAGGUUAAAUACGAGGCAUGAGGCAUAAUCCUAGACAUUAUUGAGAGAAUAGAAGGAGAUAUAAAACCCUAGAGACAUCCUGGAUAUUCCUUUCUUGCUUUCCAUGCUUGUAAUGACCAACAUGAAUGGUUAAUUUGAUCAUUUGGGAUUGAGAGUAAUCUGUUCAAACUCUUAUGUAUUGAGGUGAUAAAUAAACAUAAUAUUGUUCUUGAUUGAUGAUUGGUAUUGUCAUUUUAUUCUUAACGCUUGUUUUAUCAUGAUUUUGAUCCUUAGAUUUGACUGAAAAAUAAUUCUAAAUAUCUGACCUAAAUAAUAAUGCUUAACAUUGAAUGCUAGGAAUAGAUUUGAAAUAUUAGUUGCUAUCAACAUCUACUCGUAACGAUAAGGGGUUUUUAGAAAUAUGUGAGAAAUCCAUAUUUAGGAGACUAUGUUAAUAAUUUUAUACGCGAGGAAUCAAUAUAAAUGAAUUUUAUAUGGGCGUCAGUAUCAAUCAAAGAUAGAAUAUCACAUGCUUUUCAAAAUACAAAAGAGUGAGAAAGGAUGAACCCCAAUCUCAAAUUUCCCAAUUGAAUCAAACAACUCUUUAGUUUGCUUUAUUUACAUUAUUGCAAUCUCAUACACAACAAAUAUCCAACAAAUUUUUAUAUAUUGUUUUCUAUUUAGUGAAUACUAUACUUGAGAAUUCAAUUGUUUCUUAUGGGUUUAAUAUCCGUCCUUAGGGAAAAAUUUAUUACUUCUGACAUGGUACACUUGUCGUAAAAUAGUCAUCAACGGUCACAAUGUGUAUAAAACAUACACAUUGCAUGUAUGUGUUGAUUAACAAUGAUUAGUAUAUGUAUGUAUUCAACACGUUGAUUAUGUGUCCGGGAGUGUCCGACCCUCAACACAUUUGAUUUAAUUAUAGUAUUUAUAUUUAUUGAACACGUUGAUUCUGAGUCUGAGGGUGUCUGACCCUCGACAAUUUUGAUUUAAUUAUAGUAUUUGUAUAUAUUGAACAUGUUGAUUCUGAAUCCGGGGGUGUCCGACCCUUGGCAAUUUUGAUUUAGAUUUUCUUAGUUUACCAGUUCUGUGGAUCGGAGUUGGAUUAAUACAUCAUGGAUAAGUGAUGCUUACAGAAAAAGGGUGGAAGAAUUCACAUAAUUUACACAACAUAAUGCCGUUAGUAAUCAUAAUGGAGUAAGAAUAAAGUGUCCUUGUGUCAAUUGUUUGAAUGGAAGGAUAUUGAGUAUUUCCGAAAUUAGAGAAUAUCUUUUAUGUGAUGAUUUUUUUUUUUAAAUUAUACAACAUUAACGUGACAAGGUGAAUUGUUACACUUGCCAAGUAUGCACGGAGCUUCAGAGUUUAUUGAUUUCUCAAUGGACAAUAGAUUAGAGGACAUGAUUCGUGAUGUGGUAGUAGGAUCUUUUGCUAAUGUAGUUUUCAAAAAUAUGUCUAAUGAUACAAAGACUCCUUUGUAUCCUGCUUUAACUAACUUCACACGAUUAUCAGUAGUGUUAAGGUUGAUGAAUUUGAAGGCAAUGAAUGGAUGGACCGAUAAAGCGUUACAAAAUUGCUUCAAUUGUUGAAGUACAUGCUUCUAGAAGGAAAUACAUUAUCCAAUCGAAAUUACGAGGCAAAAAUAAAAUACCGUGUGAUGGGUAUGAAAUAUAAAAAAAUACAUUCAUGUCCUAAUGAUUGUAUUUUAUACAAAAAUAAGUAUGAAGAUUUAAGAAGACGUCCCAGGUGUGGUUUGUCACGUUAUAAGGUUAAGUUGGUCAAAAUGAUAAAAUUGAUGAGUUCAUAAAGGAAGGUCCUCCUGCUAAGGUCAUUUGAUAUCUUCUAAUAAUUCCAAGGCUUAAAUGUUUAUUUGCAAAUAGAGAUGACGCUAAAAACCUUAGGUGGCAUGCAGAUAAUAGAAAAUGUGAUGAGCUAUUUGAUCAUCCAGCUAAUUCUUUGCAGUCGAAGAACAUUGAUAAAGAAUUUUCUAAAUUUGGAAAAGAAUCAAGAAACUUAAGACUUGGAUUGACAACUGAUGGAAUGAAUCCCUUUGGAAGUUUAAGUAGUAAUCAUAGUUAAUGACCCGUUUUGUUAGAGAUUUACAACUUACCUCUUGCUUUGUGUAUGAAGUGCAAAUACAUGAUGUUAUCUAUGACGAUCUCUAGUUCAAAACAACCUGGAAAUGACAUAAAUGUUUAUAUGAAUCCAUUAAUUGAAGAUUUGAAAUUAUUGUGGAAUGAAGGGGUUGAUGUGUUUGACGCGUUUAAGAAUGAAUCUUGUCGAUUGCAUGCAAUGUCAUUUUGUACUAUCAAUGACUUCCCUGCAUAUGGAAACCGGUCAAGUUAUAGUGUGAAGGGUCAUAAAGCAUGUCCAAUAUGUGAAGAGAAAACAUCAUAUGAGCAGUUGGAACAUGGAAGAAAGACUAUGUAUCUUGGGCAUCAUAGAUUUCUAACGUAAUACCACCCAUAUCGUAGAUUGAAAAAAUCUUUUAACAGAUACCAAGAACAUGACAUUUGUCCCACUCCCUUAAUUGGCCUUCAAAUUUAUGAAAAGAUAAAAAAUGUUAAUCUGACUUUUGGAAAAAUGAAGAAGAAAACUGUGACUAAAAUAUGGAAGAAGAGAUCAAUCUUUUUUUAUCUUCCAUAUUGUUGUAAGUUAGAUGUCAGACAUUGUAUAGAAGUAAUGCACAUAGAAAAGAAUGUGUGUGACAAUUUAAUAGGAACACUUCUGAACAUUAAAGGAAAAACAAAUGAUGGUGUGAAUGCACGUCUGGACUUGAUUAAGAUGAAUAUACGAGAGGAAUUGACACCACGAGAACUUGGUAAACGUACAUACUUGCUUGCAACAUGUUACAUUUUGUCGAAGAAAGAGAAAACAAGUUUUUUGUGAAUGUCUUAAAGGUGUUAAGGUACCACAAGGCUACUCUUCAAAUGUUAAAAGUCUUGUAUCUAUGAAUGAUUUGAAACUAAUUAGUUUAAAGUCUCAUGAUUAUUACGUUCUAAUGCAACAAUUACUACCGGUGGUUAUUCAUGGAAUCUUACCAAAAAAUGUUAGACAUACAAUCACUCAACUAAGUUCAUUUUUCAAUUCGAUAUGUAGUAAAUAGAUUGACUCUCAGAAGUUGGAUGAACUUGAAGAAGAAAUUAUUGUUAUCUUGUGUGAACUCGAGAUGGUUUUCCUCCAUCCUUUUUUGAUAUCAUGGUACAUUUGGUUGUUCAUCUCGUAAGAGAAAUCAGAUCGUGUGGGCCAGUUUAUAUGCGAUGGAUGUAUCCAGUUGAACGAUACAUGAAGAUUUGGAAGGGAUAUGUGAAGAAUCAAUGUCGUCCGGAAUCUUCCAUUAUUGAAAAAUACAUUUCAGAAGAAUCUAUUGAGUUUUGUUCCGAGCACUUGUCAAAAGCCAAAUCUAUAGGAGUUCCUAAAAAAUGUUGGCACUCUCGUAGAUUGAUAAGUAAAUCUUCAAAAGAUGUUCAUGUUAUAAGAAAAUCUACAGAAGAGGUUCUGCAAGAACAUUUGUAUAUCCUGAAUAACACUAGUGAGGUGUUACCAUAUUUAGAUACACACAAACAUUGUCAAAUAUAAGAAUCUAAGGCAAUAAAAAAAUGGGUAUUAAUUGAGCAUAACAAAACUUUCAUGUCAUGGUUUAAGCAACAAAUCAUGAAGGAUCCAUCAGUAUCUGAAACAUUAACAUAUCUUGCAAACAGUCUAAAGUUUGAUGUUUUAUGUUGUUCUGGCUAUGAAGUAAAUGGUUAUUUGUUUUAAACAGAGUCUUGAGAUGAUAGGAGUACAAUGCAAAAUAGUGGAGUCACUUUGGAGGAAGAGUCCAUGUACUUUUCAACUUCAAAAGAUCAAAAUUCUGUUGUGGGAUCAAUGCCUUGUUAUGGUGUCAAAGUAGAGAUUUGGGAAGUUAAUUAUACCAAUUUUACUGUACCUGUUUUCAAAUGCAAGUGGGUUGACAAUAAGAUUGGUAUCAAAGUUGAUGAAUCAUGAAUGACUUUGGUUGACUUUCGAAAGAUAGGUUAUCAUGAAGAAACAUUCAUAAUGGUAUAUCAAGCUUCCUAAGCUUUCAAUAUCCAAGUUCCUACUUCUGAAAACUGGUUUGUUGUGCUACAUGUAAAAAAACAACAUAAUGACACUUGUGAGAUUGAAUCACUUACAAGAAUGACGAUCAAUAAAGAGUACGAGGAUGUUGGUGAUGUUGUACAUGCAACUCGAAAUGAUCGUGAUGAUGGAAUAUAUAUUUGUAUGUAAUAUGUUUCAUGUUUAGUUUUAAAAUAUAGAAUUUUUAUUAUGUUUCAUAUUCUUAAUGCUUAUCAUAUUUGUUUGAUAACAGGAACAUGGAUAAUGAUGAAGUUCCUCGUUCAAGAAUUGGUAGAUGACCUACUAGAUUAAAUACUAUGUGUAUGAAGAUAAAUAAAGGUCAAAAAAUGCCAUUGAUUAUUGAUGUCAAUGCUGGUGUGGCCACUAGGCCAAAUUCAAAAAAAAUUAGCAGUUAUCUCAGAAUAGUUGUUUGUGAAAGGAUCUCUAUCUUAACUGAUUCUUGGGAUAAUGUCACCGAGCACGAGAGAAACAUGAUUUGGAAAGAUAUUUUGGUAUGUAAUUGUUUUUACUUUGUUUAAUCUGACGUUUGUUUAUACUUUGUUCAAUAUGAAGUUUAUUAUGAACUAAUUAUCCCAAAUGUGGAAUGUACACACAUUACGAUAUCCUGAAUGUGGAAACGUUGAGAGUGAAGGUUCUAUCUUCAGUGAGUGUCAUAUUUUGUCAGUUUAAAUCAGAAUUGACAACAACUUAUAUAUAUGGUGCAAGGAAAGGAGAAAACCCUUGUACAAAAUAUGCAUGCCUUGAUGAAGAAACUUGGCAGCAGUUUGUGAAGAUCCGAGAAACUGAGAAAUGACAGGUUAAUAUCACUUGUUUUAUUUAGAUGUAGUUUAAAUUAACGUAUUAUUAACUUUUGAAUGUUGAUGAUAAGAUGUUCAAAACAAAGCACAAUCUAAUCAGGCACAUAAUGAGACCCCACACUUAUUGUCCCGUGGUGGUUAUAAGAAGUUAAAGCAGAAGUUGGUUGAACAAAAGAGUAAAGCACUUUCCGCUUAUAUUGAGGAAGGGAAUAAUGUAGAUUCUUUGAACCCUCCAUCCCCACCAUCGUGACAUGAGAAAUGGAAGAGUGCCCGUCUAAAGCCAUCAGGGACAUGGACUUCUGAGGAAUCACAACGAACAACUGAACGAAUUGUAAGAAAUAUGUUCUCUAUAUGUUAUUUUAAAUUCAUUGUGUGUGGAAGUUUUACAAUUUCUUUUCAGUUGUUGUGUGAUUCUCUUGUUGAACAAACAACACAGGGGACUUUUAAUCCAUAUGGUCAUGAGGAUAUUCUUAAUGUUUCUAUUUGAUAACCUGAGCACCCUGGACAUGUUCGUGUUGUUGGAUACCCUCACAUAACAAGGAACAUUCGUUCAGUCAACCUAACCGAGAGUAUUUACUAGAAUUACGGAAACAGAUAAAGGUGGAGGUAACCUAAGAGAUUAAAGAAAGCUUAAUAGAGGAGUUUAAUAAACGGAUGGAUAGAGAGUUUGAAAAAUGGUGGGAGGGUUUAGGAAUCUCGUAACAACCACCUACUAUGGUCCAAGAUGACCCGCCUCCUAUUAAGAGAGUCAACAUUAAAGGGAGCUAUUCAACGAUUGAUCUAUCGGGGGAUGACUUUGGCUCAACUAGACAAUGUUACACAAUGUGCCUCUUCCUUUUAAUUUGAUAAAGGUCACGGUGGAGAAGGUCCUUUAUGGUGAUGUUGUAGUUCCUGUGUCAACAUCAGAGGUGACAAUUGUAGUAGAGGCAUUACAUACUUUCAUUGCCUGACCUAGACAUCUCGUCAGACCUAUAUCAUACUCUACGAUAUAUUUUUGCACUAAUAGGAUUAUAUACCAAAUAUUUUAUAUUAUAACUAAUUUAAUUAUUUGUUUGUUUGUUGAUGAGUAGCAGGAACCUAAGACAAAACUGCCUUUGCAAAAAAAGAAAAAAUUCUCCAUUGAUGAUCAUAUGGUAGCAUUGGUGGAAGUUGCUACAACUUUAGAUACAACCGUCGUAGAGGUUCCAUAAGAUGCAAAUGUUUUUGGAAGCCAUAGUGAUGUACCGUUGUACUACAAAAUCCGUUAAAGUUAGAAGUAAACUGCAACAUGUGGGAUUCGAAACCAAGUCUCGAGGAAUGACCAAAGAAGCUUUAACUAUUACACUAAUCAAGUUUUGUUGUCAUGUUAUGAUUAUUAUUAUACUUAUUAGUAUGAUUAUCAAUAUGCUUAUAUUAUUAUUAUUAUUAUUAUUAUUAAUAUUACUAAAUAUUAUUAAUAUUAUUAAGUAUUAUUAAUAUUAUUAAAUAUUAUGAAUAUUAUUAAUAUGAUUAAAUAUUAUUAAUAUUAUUAAAUACUAUUAAUAUUAUUAAAUAUUAUUAAAUAUUAUUAAAUAUUAUUAAUAUUAUUAAAUAAUAUUAAUAUUAUUAACUAUAUUAAUGUUCUUGUCGGUUGACCUGGUCACCGGUUGACUUCGAAGACAAGCUUUGGCUCCGUUUAUCUCCGUCGGAAACUACACCUCUCUUUGUCACGCUUGAACGCGGCUCCGCUGAAACAGAAGGGAUCCUAUCUGUUGAUUGCAUUCCGACGAUCACGUCAAUAUAGGGCUUAUAAAGAAAUAAAGUUUCAGUCUUAGAAACAAUGUACCUUUACCUGGGAUCUCAAGUCCCUUUUAUAGCCUACCUCUUGUAACAACUUCUAUAAGGAGAAUAUCAUCUCAACUGAAAGCAUACUCAACAGGAAAAUAUUAUGUUUAGGGGCAUACUCUCUUAGUGCCGCAACCGAACAAAAUUCUCUCACUGGAGUGCACAAAACCUUAACAGAAUAACCACCAGGUACCAAUUCAUGUACCAGCAUCAAGGGUCCAAUCUGUUUCAAGUAGGCGCCCUCAGCGUGGCGCUACGCAUUAUACAUGCAACUUAAGUGGAUCUGGAGGUUGGGCUCGGUUGAGGUAGGCCUUUGGAAGGAAAUCAUUUUUUCUAAGUACGGUGGGUGGAGAUAUCCGGGAGAGGCAGGUAAUGGUAGGAGUUGUUCUCUUUGGUGGAAGGAUUUGAAGGAAGUUUGGUCUUCGGAGGGGUGGGGGAGAUGUUUCGAAGAUAGUUUUGAGUGGAAGGUAGGUGAUGGGAAGGACAUUUAUUUCUAGAAGGAUAGCUGGUUGAUGGGUGAGGCGUUGAAGAAUGUUUUUCCAAGACUUUUUUCAAUUAGCUCUAACAAAAACGCAAAAAUGUCGGAACUUGGAUCUUGGUCUAAUGGGAGAUGGGUUUGGGGACUUUCGAGUGGGAGAAGUCGGCGGCGGAUCAGUUAAGUUAGCUCCUGCUUGGGGUUGAGGUUGUCAUAGGAGAGACAGAUAGAUGGUUUUGGAAGGGUGGGGGUAUUCAGUCUUUUACAGUUAGCUCUGCUUACAACCUUAUCAGGAAGGAUAAUGAGGUGGUUUCCUCGCAGAUGUUUAGAAAGUUGUGGAGGAGUAAGGCAAUUCCAUCUGCAAUGGUUUUGGCUUGGAGGGUGAUGGAAAACAAGCUUGCUACUAGGGUCAAUCUUAGGGGUGCAGUUAGAAAGCUUGAAGUGCGUGUUGUGCGGGAAGGAGGAGGAGUCGAGUAGCCAUCUGUUCUUUGGAUGUUUGUUUGCUUGGCGUGUUUGGUGUGUAUGUUUUAAGUGGCUAGGAAUCCUGUUUGUGACUCAUAUUGAGCCAAGGUUCAACUUUGAUCAAUUUAGAUUGAGCUUACCUUCGGAGACGGGUCUGGUUGUUUGGAACACGAUCUGGGUAGGGGUGAUUAGUGAGAUUUGGAGCCACAGGAAUCGUAUAAUUUUUAAUAGAGGAGUGGUAGACGAGUAUGAGGUCUUUGCGUUGGCACAGGUAAAGGCAUGGUCUUGGGUCUCAACAAAUUCCCGGUUAGUUUCGUUCUCCUAUUCUGAUUGGUGUUUGGCUCCUUUGGAGUGUACGAGGUUAGUUUCUUGAGGUUUUUUGCUUGGUUUUUAAGGGUAAGAAGAGUUGGGUUGGUUUUUGGAAGUUAGUAGCUGGAACUGGUAUAACGUUAUAUGUAUAAGGGUUGAACCACCCCUGAAGUGGUUCUAUUUUAUUUAUUAAUUAUUGCCGAUAAAAAAAAAAACUUACCGUGCCCUAACACACAUUGGCUUAAAGAGAACAUUUUACUUGUGCUAGACACCACAUAUACUAAACAUACUCCUAUGUUCACAAAUAUCCUUCAUUAGUAGCCUUAUGCUUACAUAUAAAAGAUUACUUCAAUUAUGACAUACUGACCAAACUGUGUCCAACCAUGUGGCCCAUUUUCUUGGCCCAACAGCUGAGCUGACCUGCUUACACCAUGCACCAAGAUCCGACCCCCGAGCAUUGAGCCUUGAGCACUCUGUCCAGUACAGUUAAUAUUAUUAAAUGUUAUUAAAUAUUAUUAAUAUUAUUAAGUAUUAUUAAAUACUAUUAAUAUUAUUAAUUAAAUACUAUUAAUACUAUUAAUAUUAUUAAUAUUAUUAAUAUUAUUAAAUAUUAUAAAUAGUGUUAAUAUUAUUAAUUUAAAGACAUGUGGGUAAUAGUUGGUAGGUAAUAGAUAUCCGUGGGUAAUAGUUGGUAGGUAGUGCUGAAUUUACCUACAGAUUCAGUUAUGUGGGUAAUAUCCGUAUGUAAUGUUGUCCGUAGGUAAUAUCCGUAGGUAAUGUUAAAUUUACCUACGAAUUCAGAUCUGUGGAUAAAAAUACGUAGAUAAUACUGAUUUUUUUUGUAGUGUCAAUACAACCACUUUAAAAUUUGGGGUUUAUUAUUCAUGCACUAAGUCAAAAAAAUUUCAAAUGUCAAUUUUUCAAUGACCCACAACCACUAGAUUCAGAAGCAUUAGAGUAUGUAAAGACAAAAUAGUAAAAAUAUUUUGUAACCAUAUAUAAUACCUUAGGAUAGAUAAAUGAUUGGAAUAAUAUAGAACUUUUUCAUAUAUUGUGGAAUAUUUUGUAGAAUCUAAUAUGUACUUAAUUUAUUGUAUGUAGUCUUUCAUGUUUAAAUUAUGAUAUUAUAUGCAUUAUUGUUCUGAAAAUUUGAUAUUUUAUGCAGGAUUAGAAUAUAUAUACAAUAAUACAACAAUAUUUUUAGAAUAAUAAUUAUUUUUACACGUGUCGUUAAUAUGUUUUUAUAAACUAUUGAUUUAUAACAAUAUCCAAAAUAUCGAAAGUUCUCAAAUAAUUUUUAUAUGAUCUUUUUAACCGUCGUUACACUAAAAAAAAAUCAUCAAAUAGAAACCAAUUUUUAGAAACUAAAAUAAUUAGUUGCAAUAGUAACUAAAUUAAAGACCAUUUUAGAAACUAAAAUAAAAAUUAGUUUCUAAAUUAGUUUAUAUUAUUGUUAAAUAAUUUCUAAAUUGGUAUCUAAUUAGCAACCAAGGUUUUAACUACNNNNNNNNNNNNNNNNNNNNNNNNNNNNNNNNNNNNNNNNNNNNNNNNNNNNNNNNNNNNNNNNNNNNNNNNNNNNNNNNNNNNNNNNNNNNNNNNNNNNUUGUUAAAUAAUUUCUAAAUUGGUAUCUAAUUAUCAACCAAGGUUUUAACUACCAAUUAUUUAGUUUUUAAAUUUGGUCUCUAAAACCUUGUUUGCUAAUUAGAUACUAAUUUAAAAACUAUUUAACAAUAAUAUAAACUAAUUUAGAAACCAAUUUUUGUUUUAGUUUCUAAAAUAGUCUUUAAUUUAGUUAUUAUUGCAACUAAUUAUUUUGGUUUCUAAAAAUGGUUUCUAUUUCAUGAUUUUCUUGUAAUGUUAAAGUAUUUUUUUCUUGCAGUAGUGAAUUUGAUGAGAACGAAUAAAGUAUACAAACGUGUAUUUUGUUUUAAAUUCUCAUAAAUGAUUUCUUUAAUGAUGGAUAAUUAUAAAUGCUGUCAUUAAAUAUACGCGUUGGAAGUCAAUGUUUGAAUUUAUACAUUUAAUUUGAUUUAUGACCACACUAAAUACAUCUCUUUCAUUUUCUCUAUUCCCUAAAUAGAGUUUUCCGCACCUAUGCUUAUGUGUGACCAACUCUCUUUAAAUACCGAACCUUGAGCAAGAACUUUACAACAAAGACAUAGAAAGACAGAGAAUUUAAGAGAGUGAGAAAGAAAUCAUGACAAGUGAGGGUUUGAGGAUUCCAUGUCUGGAGUUUUCUGGAGUGGAGUUGGGAAAGAAAGAGGGUAGUGAGGAAUGGAGAGAGAUGAGCAAGAAAGUGAGGGAUGCUUGUGAGAGCCAUGGUUGCUUCAUCAUGGUUUAUGAUGAUAAGGUUUCAAAGGGUCUAAGAGAUGACAUGUUUUUAUGCAUGAAAGAGGUGUUUGAUUUGCCUGAAGAAACAAAGAAGAAGUACAUAAGCUCCAAGCCCUAUAGGGGUUACAAUAGUGAAUGUCCAUUUAUUCCUCUCAGUCAAAGUUUUGGAAUUGAUGAUGCUCCUUUACCUCAAACAUCUCAGGCCUUCACUAACCUCAUGUGGCCUCAGGGAAACCCUACUUUCUGGUAUACUAUUCAGACCUUAACUUUUCACUCCUUCAGUUACAUAUUAUCAUGCUUCAAAACGAUGAUUUAUGUUCAGAUGAGUGUAGAAAUGUUCUAUACUCUUAGUAUUAUUAAAUGUUGUUAACUAAUAAGAGAACUCUACCUGAUGCUGAGAUAUCAUUAUAACUAGUGAUAUGAAUUUCAAGAUGCCAUUAGCCAUAAAAUUAUAUAGUGCAUGACAGUUUGAAAUUGACUGUUUUUGUCAGUUUAAGUGCUUUUCAUUCUUUACGUUUAUUUAACUAUUUUUUGGUCUUUUUUUCAUAAAUUAAUUAGAACCUCUCUAUGAGCAUACCCGAGGGAUGCUUACACUAACUCGUUUUGAAAAAAACUUUUAAUUUUUCUCUUACCUUUAUGAGGUUUUCAGGAGAAGUUUUCCCUUAAAACAUCAUUUUCUUUAGAAAAAGCAAUUCAAAACAUGCACUCAACUAUUUGGUUUCAUUCUUGAUAUAGAGAGAGUUUAUUCUAUAUCUAACUCAGCUUGAUUUUUCUCAAAAGUGGUAAUAGUAAACUGAAUCGUGGCCUUUCGAGUUUAUGCCAUAAGUGAUAAAAGUUCACGUCCCAGAAUCAGUGCACUGAGAUUUCUUAUAGAAUAUUAUUAGACUUUAUUAAUUCUUAUAGAAUAUUUCUGAGAUAUAAGGGUUGUUUUAAGGCAAAACUAUUCUUAAAAACUAAGAUAUUAUAUUUAUUGUUAUGUCAAGGUAAACUGAUUUUAAACGAAAUAUUCCUUAUGAUAGAGCAUUGAUUAGUUUGAUAGAUGGGUUUAACGUGAUCUGGGGUUGGUGUCUGUUUAUGUAUGCAGUGAGACAUUGAACUCGAUGAGCUCCAAGCUGCUUGAUCUGAGUUUAGAGGUUCUGAAGAUGAUUGUGGAGGGUUAUGGGCUUCCCAAGGAAUACAGUUCGGAGAUUCAGGAGUUGCAGAGUUGUAGUAAUUUUCGUUUGAUGAAGUACAAAGUUGGCCAAAAUAGUGAAGUUUGUGAAACUGGACUGUUGCCUCACACAGACAAAAGUGCCUUAACCAUUUUGUGCGAAUUCCAAGUGGAGGGUCUAGAGGUGCUGACCAAAUCAAACCAAUGGGUUCCAGUGAAGAUACCCCAGGAGGGUUUUGUGGUCAUCGUUGGUGACGUAUUGAAGGUAUGCAUGUACAUGUUCAUGUUCAUCUCAUUUUUUUUUAUCAGCAAAGAAUGAAAUUAAAUUAAGAGGGAUACAAAAGGGUAUCCCAACCCUUUUACAUAAACCAAAUCACACUAAGAAUCUCCAAGAAAAAAGAGAUGAGCAAACACCCCAGAAACAAUAGAUAGAUAAUGUUUGCUGCAUAAGCUAGACAUCCUAUUCCAGCUAGCAUCGUGCUCGUAUUGGAAUGCUAUAAGCACUGCAAACUGCAGCUACAAAACCAUCAAAAACACCCUGCCUCUAUUGGUCUUAUUAUAAGACACAUCAAAACAGAAUCUUCCAUCAUGUCCUUAACAAUCCAUUUGACUCCCUGGCAUACAAGCACAUAUGUCCUUUCCAUUUUGCACCAGCUGCAGGCCGUGACAAACCCACCAACACCUCCAACCAACUAUAAAUCCAGUAUAGGCCGUAGUCUUAAAACUCUUGGCAUCUGGGAGUCCUAAUUAUAACUUCUAAUGCAAAGCAUUGGAUUAAGAAUCCAGUCUACGAAGGAAUAAGUAAAGGAAUGCAUCUUGUGCUUCAUCCAAAGCCAGGAUUUGAGUUGAGCCUUCUGAAACACCUCCUCCGCAUCUACUAGCCCUUUUUUUAAAUACAAUCAGGUUCCUUUGGUCCUAGAUACACCUAAUAACAGAUGCCCAAACACCUUUCCAUACCAGAUUUUGCUUCUUGCUAGCAUUGCUCAGAUAAUUGAUAUUUUGUCUUAUGAUUGAUUCACAGGCAUGGAGCAAUGGGAGACUUCAUUCUGCCACACACAGAGUUAUGAUGAAAGAAGGAAAAGAGAGAUACUCGAUUGCACUAUUUGGAGUGCCAAAAGAGGAGACGAAGAUUGAGGUGCCUGCUGAGUUGGUGGAAGACAACAUUCACCCUCUUCGUUACAGGCCAUUCACUUAUGGAGAUUACUUCAAAUACUUUGUUUCUACUCUCCAUCACAAUGCUUUAGAUGUCUUUGCUGGUGUUUCAUAAAUAGGACUAAUUGCUUUUGCAUGUGAACAUCAAUAUCUCAGUCCUAUGUCUCACUAAUAACAGUUAUGCUUUCUUGUAGUUCUCCAAUGUUGUAAACUCUUGUUUUUAAAGAUAUAAUAAAUGUUAACAUGCUUCAAUAUACGUGAUAUUCAUACUCUUUUUAUGUGAGGAUAACAUUCAAAACGUGAUGAUUUUAAGAUGCUUUGAAGUUGUUUCUAGAUUAAAAGUGAAUUUUCACAAGAGCAAUAAUGGUUCUGCUUGGUGGGAAGACAUAAAAGGAGUGUGGAGCGGGGAAUAAUGAUAACUGGUUUGAUAAUAGUAUUAGCUGAAAUGUAGGUAAUGGAUUGGAGAAAACUCUUUAACAAUAAGGUAUCCAAAGUUAUUUAAUAAUAGUGAUCAUAAGCAUGGUAAAAUCUCAAAGAUGGGGUUUGGGAGAAUGACAGGUGGAUAUGAGGUUAGGUCGGGGAGACAACGGUUUCGAUAGAAAUUACAAUCAUUAAACAAUUUUCUACAAGAGAUAGAAAAUCAUAAACAUUUAAAAGAUGGGAGUGAUAAUUGGAAGUGGAAAUAGUGCAACAAGAAAAUCUCGAAAUAGAAAUCAAUUUUUAGAAACCAAAAUAAUUAGUUGCAAUAGUAAUUAAAUUAGAGACCAUUUUAGAAACUAAAAAAAAAAAAUUGGUUUCUAUUAUUGUUAAAUAGUUUCUAAAUUAAUAUCUAAUUAGCAACCAAGUUUUUAACUACCAAUUAUUUAGUUUCUAAAUUUGGUAGCAAAAACCUUGUUUGCUAAUUAGAUACUAAUUUAGAAACUAUUUAACAAUAAUAGAAACUAAUUUAGAAACCAUUUUUUUUAGUUUCUAAAAUUGUUUCUAAUUUAGUUACUAUUGCAACUAAUUAUUUUGGUCUCUAAAAUUUAGUUUCUAUUUCAUGAUUUUCUUGUAGUGGAAGGAAGCUAUAUUGUCAUAUCAACUUACAAAAAUAUAAAUAAAAAUGAUAUAAGGAGGAAAUAUUUGAAUUUUAUACUAUGAUUUGGAAAGUAAAAGUAAUCCUUAAAGCCGCUCAGAUGUUGAGAUUGAAUAGGUAGCCACAAAGGGCAAUCUUAAGAAAAAAGAUAUACCUAUAGUCCUCAACUUGUUGUGUUAUGUGUAGGUUAGAAAAGGAAUCUAUGAAUCAAAGUAGCAUGUUCUGUUUGGAACAUGUAUUAUAAAUGGAUUUUGAAGAAUUUGGUGUGUCUCAUAGAACAAUUUUUUUUCAUUUUAGAGAAUGAGAAACUUAAACACAUAAAAAAAAAUGAUUUGGAAAGUUGUUUUUUUUUUAUUGACAAAAAAAGAAUGAAUUAAAAUGAAGAUAUUUCAGACAUAGCUCAAUCCUUAUACAAAAACAACAACGUCCUUUAGCCUACCACUCAUGUUGUGAGUUUUAAAGAAGACAACACGAGACAUGUAAACACGACGUCUAUCCUUAUCUAUCUACAAAAAUAUAAUCUCUAACUUGAAACAAUCUUGCUCAAGUUACGUGGGUGAUAAUGGUGAGAAGUAUUUAAAACAAAAGGACUAAGAGCAUAAGCAUGAAUAACAAACAAAAUUUCAAAGACAAUUUUUUCAUAUUCGGGCUGGUGCAUGUGUCCUAUAACAUGUAUCCGAAGUAUAAAAAAAUAAUAUUUUUGGGCUAGCAGAAGUGGGUACUUCGAGGGUAAGGCAACAUGGGAUGGACUUUAGGUGCUGAAAGGUUAAUUGUAUUUAAACAGUUGUUUAGGCUUUUGAGCAGUACACAAAUUUGUUGGGAGUUUUGUUGGGUAUGAAGUCAGGACCAAUUGGGUUGGGCUGACUAGACACCAUGUUUAGUGAGUGGGCUUAAUCAUUGUGUCCCUUUUAUAAUCUCUAUUUAAAGAGAUCAUUGUACUUGUAAUUUGGUGUGCAAUAGGAUAGAAUGAAAACCUAAUAGUUGCCCGUGUGGAUGUAGGUUGUAGUUGGUGACCGAACCACGUUAAAUCUUGUGUUGUUUAUUUUCUGCAGUUGAUUAGUGAUUAUGUGCGUUGCUUCCGCAUGCGUGUUUCCUAUCAAGUGGCAUCAGAGCUUGGUACAUUUACACAGUAGAAAUCCGAUCAGCAGAAUUAAUCGACGAGACUUGAAAAUUGCGGUUGCAGCAGCGUCCCAAAGCUAGGGUUUCACAAGGGCUGCAGUAGCAUCUCAAAGCUAGGGUUUCACAGAGGCGGCAACAGUGUCCCAAAGUUAGGGUUCACAAGGACUGCAGUAGUGUCCCAAAGUUAGGGUUUCGCAGAGGCGGCAUCAGCAUCCCAAAGUUAGGGUUUCAUAGAGGCUGCAGUGAUGUCUCAAAGUUAGGGUUUCACGGUGGCCCAAGAUUCGCACAACCCAGAUCUGCGACUCGCGACAGGUGCACGCAGUAAGUAGUGAGACGUGUAGUGGUGUGGGUCGCGGCAGGAGUGGUGGCGGCUCGUGACGUUGUGCAGGUGGCUUGCUCAGAGUAGGGUCGUGUCCAGGCAGUGCGACAAAGUGCGCCAGUAAGGCGGCGGAUCGUGUUUCACGACGAACAGGUGUAGGUGCUUGCGGUAAGCGAGAUGACACGGAGGUACAGUGCAAUGACAGUGACGAAAGACGUAGGGUGGUGCGUGCAUUUUUUUGCUAGUGUAGCAGUGACUGUGUAGUGCUAAGCGCGGGGUGUGGCUGCUUUUUGCUACGACACGAAGUUAAGACAAUUCAGUUACUGAGAACAUUACUAAAAUGAAUUCGAUCUUAGCCAGACUUAUGUCAGUGGGCAUUAAGUUCGAUGAUGAAGUUCAAGCUUUACUACUGAUAUCGUCAUUACCUGACAGUUGGUCCAGAUCGGUUACAGCAGUUACCAGUUUAGCGGGACCCGAUGGAUUCACUUUAGAGAAGAUUUGUGAUCUCAUUCUUGGCAAGGGCGUCAGAAGAAGGAGUUUUGAGAAUUAUCUAGUGAAUCACUAAAUGCCAUCAGAGGUAAGAGAAAUAUCAGAGGUAGUGGGAGCAAGACUAGAAGAAGGAGUCUUUGGAAAGGUAAGACUAUAAGACAAUAAAACUUUUGAUGUUACGGGCAUGAGUGACAUAGUGUUGAAGACGCCAGUCGGUUUCUGGACUUUGAAGGAUGUCAGAGUUGUUCCAAGCUUAACGAAAAGUUUGAUUUUUGUUAGGCAGUUGGACGAACAGGGACAUGAUGUGAAGUUCGUUCGGAAAUCAAUAGUGAAAAUUCGUCAAGGGAAAUAUUGUCAUGGCCCGCGGAAGAAAGAGAGGUUCGUUGUAUAUGGUCGGCUUACCAUCUGAGGGAGUGAUUGUCCUAGUUCGGAAGAUAAACAAAGUCAGGUUCACAGAAUCUCAUGGGCAAAAGAGGGUUGUCUUUACAAGAGAGAAACUCAGAGCCACAGGUCAGAUUCAGAAUGAACGAGCAUGGAAAGGUUCAGGUAGACCAAUCAGUGGUACUUAUGGCAGUGGGAGCACGGGUCGUGCUUCAACUGAGGUUCCUAGAUGAUAGGGGUUAGGAGAACCAGUAUUCCAUCUGUUGAAACAUCUCUAGAAAAUUUCUUGUUGCGUAUGAAGUAUGUUUGUUCUCAGGCUAUUCCAGGAUCCGGUAGUUCGUGUAAGUGGGAGCCGAUAGGAACAGAGGAUGGAUCAGUGGCAGUUUCAGUCAUGACGAACAUGUUGAAACUCAGGGGAGUUUCAAUGAAGUCUUCAAGAUGAUUAAGAAGGCUAGUAGCAACUAGAGGUGGAACAUUGAGUUCCGUCGACAGAUUACAGAAAUACAUGUACACAGUUGAAGCGCAAGUGAACAUUGUUCUGUGACUUCAAGUGGGAGAUUGUUGGGUAUGAAGUCAAGACCAAUUGGGUUGGGCUGACUAGACACCAUGUUUAAUGAGUGGGCUUAAUUAUUGUACACAGUUGAAGCGCAUGUAAACAUUUUUCUGUGGCUUCAAGUGGGAGAUUGUUGGGUAUGAAGCCAUGACCAAUUGGGUUGGAUUGACUAGACACCAUGUUUAGUGAGUGAGCUUAAUCAUUGUGUCCCUUUUAUAAUCUCUAUUUAAAGAGAUCAUUGUACUUGUAAUUGGUGUGCAACAGGAUAGAAUGAAAACCUAAUAGUUGCCCGUGUGGAUGUAGGUUGUAGUUGGCGACCGAACCACGUUAAAUCCUGUGUUGUUUAUUUUCUGCAGUUGAUUCGUGAUUAUGUGUGUUGCUUCCGCGUGCGUUUUUCCCAUCAAGUUUCCCUUUUUCUAUAUGUACAAAGGUACUGAUUGGUUCUUUUUCUUAAUUGCAGGGAUGAAUAGAUCAAAACAGAAGAGUCAUCCAUCAUGCAGGAAAAUUUUGCAUAAUACAAUGUCUAAGUGAUGGAAACCUGUGAUGACGACAAUGUGCCUUGAUGAUUUAAUCAUGAAGGAGUUCUACUUUUGUUUUUAUUGGUUGAUCAUUUAAUAAGGUGAUGCUUGACAAUGUCACAGAGAUAACAUCUUUUCUUUGAGAAUUGUCAUAAGGAUGAAAAUUUAGUCAUGUUGGGAAAGGACAAACAAUAGGUUGUGUAAUUGUACAAACUUUACGAGAAUCCGUCCUUGUUUUGUUCUUUUUCUUCUUCCUUUCUCCGUUAACUCAUUCUCUCGGUUACUCGUGUUUUUGAAAUUAUUUUCCGGUCUCUCAGUAUGAGGUGUUGUAUAGGUAGGAAUUCUCCGAAGCUUAAGUCAAUAUUUUGUAUUAAUAACUCAUUAAAAAAAUUAAACUACUAAACUAAAUACUCUAUCUAUUUAUACUACUUGUUAAUAGGCUUAUUGGGUCUGUAACAUCACAUUAAAAUUUCUACUUAUCGUUUAUUAAUUGAUUUCCAACACUUAGUUAAUUUCAUUUGUCUUUUGUACAUGUCUCUUAUUAAAAGUGACACAUAUAUAUUUUUUCACGCAAGAUUUUCACUAACUUUGUUCUUGUUCUUUACUUCUUUCGACUUCUCGACUUUAUGACCUUUGGACAUAUCCUUCCGGUAUGACCGGUAUGAUGACUAGUUGUUGUCUGUUAUUUUUUAAGGAUGAACAUUUUGUGAACAUAAUUAUAUGUAAGUGUCUCUUUAUAAAUGAAUUGAAAUAAUCCAAAUAUCCUUUUAUAUAUUUAUAUAUUUUUUUUACACUUUUUUCUCAAACUUAUUAAUAUAAUAGAUUGAGCCUCCAGAAAAUGUGGAGGAAGAGAAAAGAUGGAAGGAGUUUUAGAUAUUAAUUGAAAUGGAAAAAUACUAAGCUUCACAUAUUUGUUGUUUUUCAAAAAUGUACCUGAGUGGAGAGAUGGGGCCCAGGCACGGUCGGUUGACGUAGUGUAAUUGCUGACGUGUCGAUCUUCUUCUCCUUCGGUCGAUCGUUCCUUCUUGGUGUCUCCUUCGGUCGGGCGGGAGAGGGUACCUACCGGUACACUUGCCUCCCAGGCUCGAGGUGAAUAAAUGUCGAAGAGUCAUAAUGAUUGUUGUGCCUUUCGAGGUGUCAGGCAUUAAAUGUAACAGAAUGACAGGACGUUCGCUUUUUGUCGAAGACGGCGGAGAUGGAUCCGGCGGUGUGGAUUAAGUGACGCUUCGACUUCCGGCUAAUAUAGGUCGUAGGAUGAACGGGAAUCUAACGGAUGAGGGUGAGAGGGAAAUGCUAUAAAUAGCGUCUCCAGUUGCAGAGAGACCACGUUUCCUUGAGUUCGGCAUCCGAGUUGCUCCGAUUGCCGAGUCCACAUUGCGAGUUGUUGCGCUGUACGAACCAUAGUUGCCGACCGGGGUGUUAAUUUGUGAAUGAAAGGUUAGUUAUGUCUCAACUUUCUUCAAAUAGGGUAGGUAGUAGAGAGUCGAGUGCGAGUGGGGAGUCAUUGUCCGGAAGUGACGAAAGUACGAGUGGGCCAAUGGGUCCGAGCUAUGAGUGGGUAGAUAUUAGCGUUAGGAAUAUACCCACUGUUUUUAGGAAACCGGACGACCUGGAUAAAGUGAUAGCUAGGGCCCCUGUCGUGCGGUCGGGUUUACCUUCAGAUAUUCUAAUUGCCGAAAUAUGUGGGUAUACCGACCGUGUCUGUCAUGGAAGGGAGAACGCUCCGGUAGAUUUCUUUUAUGUUUAUAGUACGUUAUUUGCUGAUUUGAAAGUGACGUUGCCGUUCGAUGAGUUCACGAUGGACGUGCUACGGUUUCUCAACCUAGCUCCAACCCAACUUCAUCCGAACUCAUGGGCGUGCAUGCAGGCCUUCCGAAUGGUGUGUCAACUUUUUGACUUGACGCCCAGAGCGGAAGUGUUUUUAUUUUAUUAUAACACACAUUCGUCCAACCCGGUAAGUUGGGUGUCAUUGACCAGCCGUCCGGGGAGUGUGCGUUUUGUGGCCUUCACCACGUCCUACAAGAACUUCAAGAAACGAUAUUUCAAGAUAUUUGUGGAGCCGGACGAUCGAGAGUAUUUUUAUAAUGAUGAUGUUACCAAGUUUCCGUUCCAUUGGACCUAGAAUCCGACUGUGCUUAACACGAGUUCUCGUACGGCCCUGUCGGCUUUGGAUAAGGCCGUUAUGGUGGUGUUUGACCAACUCCCUCACAAGUUACCUACGAGGGAGAUAAUUUCGUUAUAUGCGUCGUCCGAUCCCUGGGCGGAUUUUAUUGGUAUGUGAUUGUAAAUUUGGUUUGAUUGAAUAACUUCAUUAAUAGUGUUUAAUUCCUGUGUGUUUUGCAGAAAUCCUGAGUCGGGCUGACGCUUCUUUGCAUGAGUAUAUGAACAAGUUGCGCCAGAGUAUGGAUGGUCAGUCGGCCUCUGUCGACACGGCCGGGGCGUUGGCGGCCGUUCCGUCUACAACGGUUCCUGCGGCGGGGGCCUCGGCUGCUGCGAAGAAAAGGGGUCGACUCCCGAAGGGAAAUCAGGAGGGCCGAGCUGGGCCAUCCCGAACGACCUCUGAGCCAACGCUGUUGGCGGUCGGCCUGGACAUAGCGGCCCACCUGCAGGCGGAGCUGACCUCCGAAGAGAAUGAGAUUUUUGCCACCAUCCCUACAACUAAACUGAUGGUGGAAACAUUAGAGUUACAAAGCCGGGCACUUAUGGCAAGCCGAAUGGUGGUUGAAGAGCUCAAGAGAGUGACGACCGUUACCAUACCCCGGUUAAAGAAAGAUGUGACCGAGGCCACUCAAGCCACCAAGGUGUCGACCGAGAAGGCAGAGAGGUUGAAGGUCCAGUUGGAGGAGAAGCAGACGGCUUUGAAAGCGCAAGAGGAACUCAACAAGAGUCUUGAGGCGCAACUGAAAGGAGGAGCCGACCGGGAGGAGGCUUUGAAAGCGGAAGUGGCCAAGUGUCACGACUUCAUGCUUCGCAUUAGCGAAGAAUACUUCCGGUUGGGCAUCCAACAAGUGGCUUGUCUGCACGGUGCGCCGCUGGAGGACGACCGGUAUGACAUUGAGAAAAUGGUGGUCGAUGGAAAACUUGUGCCGACCAACCCUGGCGACAUUAAUGAGGAAGCUGAGACGGAGACUCCGGGACCACAGCCGGACGCCUCGUUUGAAGAAUUAAUGAAUAUCCCAUAGAAAAUUGCUGGACUCGGCAUGUGGGCAUCGUACAAUGAUGGUUUUAGUUUGGAUGUAAUAUUUGAUUGCUGAUCGACCGGAUUGGUAUUUUUGAACCUUGUUUGUUUGUUGUAAGUAGAUUUUAUUAAUUUGGAUGCUGGACGAGGCGUAGUUGAUUUCGUUAGUAAUAAUUCGAAUGCCGAACGAGGUCUGGAUGAUUCUGGUUAUGUGAAAAGUAAUAAGUUAAUCCUGAUGUCGAACGAGGCAUAAAUAAUUGCAAUUUCGUUAAAGUAAUAAGUUAAUUCUGAUGCCGAACAAGGCAUAAAUAAUUCUGAAUAAUUCUGAUGCCGAACGAGGCAUAAAUAAUUCCGAAUAAUUCUGAUGCCGAACGAGGCAUAAAUAAUUCCGAAUAAUUCUGAUGCCGAACGAGGCAUAAAUAAUUCUGAUGUCGAACGAGGCAUAAAUAAUUUCGAUUACGUUAAAGUAAUAAGUUAAUUCUGAUGCCGAACAAGGCAUAAAUAAUUCCGAAUAAUUCUGAUGCCGAACGAGGCAUAAAUAAUUCCGAUUACGUUAAAGUAAUAAGUUAAUUCUGAUGCCAAACAAGGCAUAAAUAAUUGAAUAAUUCUGAUGCCGAACGAGGCAUAAAUAAUUCCGAUUAUGUUAGAUAAUUCUGAGGCCGAACAAGGCAUAGAUUGAGAGAAAUAAAAGGAAUAGGAGACUUGGAUUUUAAUUUAUAGUGCCUCGUUAAAACCUUCUCGGUCGUAAACCCUCCUUAGGGAAAAACCGACCGAGCGAGGAAAGAGUACACUUUUAUUAUUAAGUUCAACUGUAAUAAAAUUUGAGAUGCGUGGCAUUCCACGUUCUUGGUAUGUCCUUCCCAGAUAAAUGUUCUAAGUAAUAGGCUCCACUGGCUGCCGUAUUUGCUAUGCGGAAUGGUCCUUCCCAAUUGCUAGAGAACUUGCCUCCUUCCUUCCGGGUGCUACUCCGUAUUCGCCAUACUAAGUCUCCUUUGUGGAACAGUCUCAGUUUGACCUUGGAGUUGUAUCGUCCGGCCGCCCGAAUUUUGCAUGCUUCUUCUCUAAUUCUACACUUGUCCCGAAGUUCGUUGAUGAGAUCGAGACCGACCGAGAGACUUUCCUUGUUUAGAUCAAGAUCAAGGGUUUGUCGACGGAGAGAAGGUUCUCCAAUCUCGACGGGAAUCAUAGCUUCAGUGCCAUAUGUUAGGUUGUACGGCGUUUCUUGUGCAGUCGUCUGAGGAGUACAGCGAUAUGCCCAUAAGACCUCUAAGAGUUCUUCAGUCCAGUUACCCUUUGCUGGGCCGAGACGUUUCUUCAGUUCGUUCAGGAUGACCUUAUUUGCAGCUUUAGCUUGUCCGUUUGUUUGCGGAUGUUCGACUGAACUGGCGAUGUGUUUGAUGUGGAGUUUCUCGUAAAAUUCAGCUAACGUUCGGUCGGUUAAUUGCUGACCGUUAUCGGUGAUGAUGAUCUGUGGAAGCCCGAAGCGGCAAACAAUAUUUUUCCAUACGAAAUUUUGAACAUUGCGGGCGGUGAUUGCAGUCAGAGGCUCGGCUUCGAUCCACUUGGUGAAGUAAUCAAUGCCGACCAGUAAGAAUUUACACUGGCCUUUCCCGGGGGCGAAGGGGCCAAUGAUGUCCAUACCCCAUUGGGCGAACGGCCAAGGUGAUAACAUAAAAUGAAGUUCUUCAGGUUUUUGAUGUGACAAAGUGCCAAACUCUUGGCAUUUAAGGCAUUUUUGGACGAAAUUGGUGCAGUCGCCUUAGACGGUCGGCCAGUAGUAUCCGGCCCGGAAUACUUUGGCAGCCAUUGUUCGCGCGCCGGAGUGAGUUCUGCAAAUUCCUUCGUGCAACUCUCGGACGACAUAGGAAGCUUGGUCGGGUGUCAAACAUUUAAGGAGUGGUCGGGUAUAACCUCGGCGGUAAAGGUCGUCACCAAUUAAGACGAAACGGGCGGCCUGCAGCUUCAUGGUUUUUUCACCGAGAGGAUUACAUGUGCCGUCGAGUAAAUAUUGCUUAAUUGGGGUAAUCCAAGUAGAUUCCGCGUCGGUCGUUAGGCAUUCUUGUAGGUCGAUGCUUGGGCGUGCAAGCGUAACAUGGAUGACCGACCUAUGCAUUCCCUUACACUUCGUAGUUGCCAACCGUGACAAGGCGUCUGCGCGAAUAUUGUGAUCGCGUCGAACGUGUUGCAUGGAAAUUUCAGGAAAGGUGCUCAUCAACUGUUUGACUAAGUGAUAGUAUCGCUGUAGAAAGCUUUCUCGGACUUCAUAUUCGUCUUUAAGCUGGUCGAUGACUAGCCUGGAAUCACUUUUACAAAUUAACUUUGUGAUUUCCAAUUCUUGAGCGAGGCGUAGACCGGCUAAAAUGGCUUCAUAUUCAGCCUGAUUGUUUGAAGCUUUGAAGUCGAAUUUGAGGGCUUGCUCGAUGACAAUCUCGUCGGGGCCUUCCAAAACGACUCCAGGGCCGCACGACCUUUCGUUGGAGGAGCCGUCCACUUAUAAGAUCCACGAUGAGUGUUCAGUCUCGGCUGAGGAAGGAGUGAGUUCAGCUGCGAAAUCGGCAAGAGCUUGCGACUUGAUGGCUCCUCGUGGUUGGUACUGAAUAUGGAAUUCGGAUAAUUCUAUCGUCCAUCCGAUCAUUCGUCCGGCUAAAUCUGGUUUAGUGAGAAUCUUUACAAUGGGGUAAAUUGUCCGAACAAUAAUACGGUGAUUUUGAAAAUACAUACGCAUUCGUCGGGCGAUAAUGAUGAGAGCCAUAGCCACCUUUUCGAUCGUUUGGUAUCGGAUUUCGGCGCCAUGGAGGGCGCGACUAACGAAAUAAACUGGUCGUUCUUCAAAGUUAAUUUCUUGCACUAAGACUGAACUGACGGCUUCGUGUGAAACGGCGAGGUAGACUAUGAUGGGCUCUCGGGCGUCUGGUUUCUGAAUGACCGGCGGGGAAGAUAGAAAAGUUUUCAAUUGGAGGAAAAUUUCCUCGCAUUCGGCCGACCACUCAAAGUGAGACGCUUUUUUCAAUAAUCGGACGAUGGGUCUCGUUCGUUCUGCAAGUUUAGGAACAAAUCUGGAUAAGGCGGUGAACCGGCCGAUAAGUCUCUGAAUUUCCUGAAUGGAGUUGGGGCUUCUCAUUUCGGAAAUAGCUUUACAUUUCUCAGGGUUAGCUUCUAUGCCUCUAUGGGUGAGCAUAAAACCUAAGAACUUCCCCCCCUCGACGCCAAACGCACAUUUGUCAAGAUUGAGUCGCAUCUGGUGCUGGCGGAGGGCCUGAAAAACUUCUUUCAGGUCAGCAAUAUGUUGCUUACAUGAGACGGACUUGACAACAAUGUCAUCGACAUAGACCUCAACAUUCUUGCCGAUCAUGUCGUGGAAUACAUGGUCCAUUAGUCUUUGAUAAGUGGCCCCGACAUUUUUGAGUCCGAAGGGCAUAACUUCAUAGUAGAAAUUAUCGGAAUCAGUCAUGAAGACUGUCUUCUUUCGGUCGGCCGGGUGCAUUUGGAUUUGAUUAUAACUUGAGUAGGCAUCAAGGUAGCUGAGGAUGUGAUGUCCGGCCGCCCCAUCAACGAGACGAUCAAUGGUAGGCAGAGGGUAAGAGUCUUUUGGGCAUGCCUUAUUGAGGUCCGUGUAGUCAACGCACAUUCGCCAUUUUCCGUUCGCUUUCUUUACCAUAACCACGUUGGCUAGCCAUGUGGUGUAAUGGGCUUUCCGAAUGAAUCCAGCUUGUAACAAUUUAUCGGCUUCGUCACGUGCGGCUUGACGUCGUUCCUCGCCUAGAUGUCUUUUCUUUUGAGUUAUUGGCCUAGCCUUUUUAUACAGUGAUAAUCGGUGGGUGAUAACUUGUGGGUCUACGCCAGGCAUAUCAGCGGCCGUCCAUGCGAACAGAUCAGCAUUUUUAACAAGUGUCGUGCUUAUGGCCAUUCGGUCGUCCGGCUUCAGCGAAGUGCCGAUAUGUGUAGCGUGGCGAUCAUCGCGAAGUGGGAACGGAUGCAAGUCUUCUCCUGCCUCCAUACGGGUAUCGUCCAUACGAGGGUCGAGAUCGACAAGGGCUAUCAUCUGUCGACGGGACAUGCGCCGUCCGGAAUGUCGGGUCGGGGAUCGUCCUCUUUUUUGCGGAGGUCGGUCGUCCGGAUUGGUCGUGUAGAGCCGUCGAGUUGGCUCACUUUUCAAACUUGCGACAUAACAUUCUCUAGCGGUUUUUUGAUCGACAUGGAUUGUUGCAAUGUCGUUAUUUGCCGAAGGGAAUUUCAUGGCUAAGUGUGGGGUGGAAACAAUGGCUUUUAAUUUGUUGAUGGACGGACGACCGAACAGGAUGUUGUAGGAAGUUUGGGCGUUGACCAGAAGAUAUCGCACGUUUAUUGUUUUGUGGAGACCGUCUUCCUCACCAAAGGUUGUAUAUAAGUCUAUAUAUCCCUUAGUGUCGACCCGUUCACCUGAGAACCCUACAAUUUGUUCGUUAUAGGGUUGAAUAUCUGAUUCUGGGAUGCACAUUUUCUUGAAGAUUUCCCAGUAUAAUAUGUCGACCGAGCUACCUUGGUCGACCAAAGUCUUGGCAAUUGCGAACUUGUCAAUUUCCACGGUGAUUACCAUAGGGUCGUCCUGGGCUGGAUCUAUGGCUGUGAAGUCGUCGUCAGUGAAAGUGAUCGGAGGUAUGUGUGGACGCCUCCUCGUGGUAGCAUGAGCGGACUGGAUGUCCCGGAGAUGUUUCUUUCGGGCGGAAUUUGAGCACCCGCCACCGGCAAAGCCCCCGGCUAUGUAAUUUGCUUCGUGGUUCGGUUCGCCCAAGGUAACGGGUCCAACAAUCAUGUUGAUGACUUCGCGGACUCGUUGGCGAGGGCGGGCGUUUCGGUUGGGACUUGUGUUGCGGGCACGUGUACGCCGAACGGGGCUUUCACUGCGUUUCCGCGAAGCCUGGCUAUGGUCAGUUCGGCGUUUGUAAUCGUUACGGUAUGACCGGUCGACACCACGGGAUGGACGGUCGGUACUCCGUGGUGGGGAUCUUGAAUUCCUUGUCCUCUUGACGAACUGCUGCAAGUGGCCAGCCUGGAUGAGCUCUUCGAUUUUGUCCUUCAACACUUGACAUCCUUCGGUCGUGUGACCAAAAUUCCGAUGGUACUGACAACGCUUAGCAGUAUCUGCAUUCGGUGGUGUUUGAUACUGUUUUAGUGUCGGAAUUAAAUCCGUUUGCAGUGCUUCAUCUAGGGCUCGUCCCCUCGGAACAGUUAAAAGGGUGUAACUGUUGAACCUGGGGAUUCGGCCUCCUCUGUUCCGGUCGGACCUUGGGGUGGUUCGAACGGUCCGUUCGGUCUCGAAUUCCCUUUCUUUGCUCGGGGUUUGAUCUUUGAGGACUCCAGAUCCGACGACUUUGAACCGUUGGUGAUAGUCAAUGUGUUUCUCAAUUUGCAUGAAUUUGGUUGCCCGAGUUCGAAGAUCUUCCAUGUCUUGAGGCACCUUUUUGAUGAGACUUUCGGUAAAACGACUCGGCCGGAUGGCCGAAACCAAAUGGUGUAACGCGACUUCCUGUUUGAGCCCUCGGAUAUUCAUGCAUGCCUUGUUGAAUCUAUCUAAAAAGGUUCUGAGAGAUUCACCUUUUUCUUGUUGUACCGCUAGGAGAGACAUGGAGGACAUGUGAUGCGGUCGGCUGGUGGCAUAUUGAGUGGAGAAUUUCGUGGCUAGGAUGUCAAAGUCGUCAAUGGAGUUCGGAGGUAGCUCUGUAAACCAGGUAAGAGGUUCUCCCUGAAGCGACGUGGGGAAUACUUUACACCACACAUUAUUAUCUGUGGUAUACAAAGUCAUUUGCGUCUUGUAAACAUUUAAAUGCUCGUCCGGGUCGGUCGAGCCAUCAUAGAGUUUAAUGGCGAGGCCUCUCCAUUUGUCAGGAAGUGGUGUGGUGAUGAUUUCAUCUGUAAAAGGAUGACCCCUUUUACUUGACUUUCUUUCGACUGUUUCAGCUCUGGAAGCAGGAUUGGUGUCGGCCGGUGUAGGUAUGCGAGAGGCGGUUCGGUCGGCCAUAUGGGAUUGGCCUUCUCGUUCGGGAUUAUCGACCUGUCGCUGGAGUCGUGCAUUCUGCUCUCUCAAUAAGGCGAUUUCUUCCUCUUGGUGGCGUCUAUUCUCUUCGUGUUGACGACGGUCUUCUAUCCCCUUUUGCCGCAGUUCUUCCAUCUGAGUUUGGAGGGUUUGAAUCAUAGCCAUCUGUUCUGCCAUAGUGUCGUUGUUGUUCCUUGUCGCAACCAUUAUAGCUUUAAAAAUUGAGAUUUUGCCUCGGUCCCACAGUGGACGCCAAUUGUACCUGAGUGGAGAGAUGGGGCCCAGGCACGGUCGGUUGACGUAGUGUAACUGCUGACGUGUCGAUCUUCUUCUCCUUCGGUCGGUCGUUCCUUCUUGGUGUCUCCUUCGGUCGGGCGGGGGAGGGUACCUGCGAAGGCACUCCGACGCUCAAGUAAGUAUGAGAUUCUAAGUGUGGUUUAGCAAGUGAAUGAAAACGUACCUUUCUCUGACUUGAGCACAGUAUUUAUAGGAUUGCCUAAUGGGCUUUCUAUCCCUUGGGCUCAGGGUGGUUAUGGGGAUAGGUCUUACCAAUCGUGCUCCGGAAUACCCGGGGAACAUAUCUUCUUUAGACGCGUAUUCCUUAUUCUUCGGAGGUGUAUCUUUAACCACUUUAUCUUGUUACAUAAAUACUCUAUUUAUUAUGUACUCGGUCGGUCGGCCACGUCCGUCCGGUAUCUACCGGUACAAAAAAACAUAAAAACUAAAUUGAGAGGAAUGGUUGAAGCUUACAAUAUAAGUAUUAGUAGUGUUUAAAAGAAUCAUAUUUUCGAUAUAGUUUAUUAUUUCAAACGAGACAUUACUUUCUUUUAUGAGUAUUCUUUUAGUUCCUCCAAAAACAACUCAAGAGCCUUAAUAUAAUUCUACACUGCUCGCUAAAAUAUAAAUUUGUUUUCAAGAUUGUUGCAAUACCAUUUUCUUAAUUCAUUAUCUUUUAAAAUGAUCAAAGGGUUUGGGAAUGGAAUAAACAAAGUUAAAAGUGAGUUUAUCUUAAUUUUUUCAAAUAACUUGCUAAUAAAAUAACAUAAAUCCACCAUUUGACGUUUUUGUAAAAUAAUUAUAAGUAAAAUAAUUAUUUUUUUAACUGAAUGCAUGACCUUAAAAUCAUUAUUAUUAGCAUAGAAUAUUUUUUUUAUUAAUCAUCCUUUUUUAUGAAUUUCAAUCUUUAUAUUUAUUUGAAUAUUUUUUUGAAUUUAAAGUAAAUGAAAACUAUUUUUUCUUAUAAUGUUUUGAUUAAGUAAUUAAUAAUACUAUCAUGAAUACAUAAUUUUAAAUUUCAUAAUCUAUUAUAAAUAAAUUGAGUAGUUAAUCAAUCAAUGAGUUAUGAGUCUUCUAUUUUUCCUCACCAUUGAUCAAAUUUUCAAUUUUAUAAUGCUUUUCAAAUGUAAUUGAAUUUAAUAGUUUUCUUGGUGUAAUUACAUGUAAUAUAUUUAAUAAUAUUUUUAAUAUUUUUUCCAUUUUUCAUUUUUCAUUUUUCAUUUUUCAUGUGCAUAUUUACAAUAAUAAAUUAUAUGUAAAAUCUAUUUCGAAGGGUUGUAAUGCAUCAUUCAUAGCUCUAGUACAAAAGUAAAGGGAUCCCUCUAAGCUAGAACAAUAUACACCCAUCUCUCUAGUGUGGGCUAUAUACAAAGUCAUAUCAAAGGUGUUGGCUAGCAGAAUAAAGAAAGUGCUAAUCUCAGUUAUUGAUGAAAGCCAGUCAGCAUUCUUAAAGGACAGAGGGAUGCUAGAUAGCGUGCUUAUGGCUAAUGAAGUGGCAGAGGUCCUUAGGAGGUAUGGGAGGAGCGAACUAUGCUUGAAGGUGGAUUUUGAAAAAGUCUACGACUCGUUUAGGUGGGAUUUCCUAUAUGAUAUGCUUCAUAGGAUGGGUUUCCACAGUAAGUGGAUUAUGUGGAUUCAAGGUUGUCUAGAAUCUGCUACAGUUUCUGUGUUAGUUAAUGAGAGUCUUACGGAGGAAUUCAAACCAACAAAAGGCUUGAGGCAGGGUGAUCCUUUAGCUCAUUUUCUCUUUAUUGUGGUAGCUGAAGGCUUAGUCGGGUUAGUAAGACAAGCUAAUAAUGUCAGUUUGUUGUCAGGUAUCAAGAUUGGAAGAAAUGAGGUAGAGUUCAGUAUCCUGCAAUUUGCAGAUGACACUCUAUUUUUAUGUGAGGAGUCUCACAGCAAUGUGGUAAUUAUGAAGGCUAUUCUAAGAGGCUUUGAGCUAGCCUCAUGCUUGAAGAUUAAUUUUCAUAAAUCCAAGCUAGCAGGCGUAAAUGUUGAUAGAAACGCUAUGGUAUGCUAUGCAAAGACUUUGAACUGCGCCCAGACGAGAGUUCCUUUUAAGUAUUUGGGUUUAGAAGUGGGAGGGGACACAAUGAAUAGUAAGUUUUGGGAGCCUGUACUAAACAAAUUAAAAGCUAGACUCAAUGUAUGGAAAUGAAGAUUCUUAUCCAUGGCAGGGAGAAUAUGUCUAAUCAAAUCAGUUAUCACUGCUGUGUCGCUUUUCUACCUCUCCCUUUUCAAAGCGCCAGAUUCUAUCUGCAAAAGCAUAAUCAGUAUACAACGGAGGUUUCUAUGGGAAUGGGGGAUGGAGAAGAGGCCAAUUUCAUGGGUAAGUUGGGAAGACUUGUGUAAAUCAAAAGAGGAGGGUGAUUUGGGUUUUAGAGACAUGCGGAAGUUCAACUAUGCCCUACUGGCCAAAUAGAUGGCGCCUUGUAUCUGAAGAGAAAGGGAGGUGAAAGAAGUUGUUGGACUUAAAGUAUGGGAUGGAUUUAGAAAGUCCACAAACACCAAUGAAAUUCCAUACCUGGUGGUGGAAAGACUUACAUAAAGUAUGUAGAAAGGGAAGAGGAGCAGGUUGGUUCCAACAACAAUUAGUAUGGAAAUUAGGAGGUGGAGACAAAGCUAGAUUUUGGGAGGAUGUGUGGGUUAACAAUAUUAACCUCAAAACUCUUUACCCCAGGUUGUUCUCACUUUCCUUAAACCAGGGUCAAAAGGUGGAAGAGGUUGGUGCAUGAGAAGAAUUAGUAUGGCGAUGAAAUUUAAGGUGGAGGUGUGUUAGAUUUGAGUGAGAAUCCUUGAUGGAAGCAAAUCUUGUUUUGCACAUAUCUCGGGCCAACAUGUCAAGGGAAGAGAAAGAUGUUCAAGUGUGGGGUGUGAAGAAUUAGGGUUGUUCUCUGUGAAUUCAGCAUAUAAAUACCUAGCUAAGCAUGUCAGAAGUCCUCAUCAUGAUGUGUUUAAGUACCCAUGGAAGGCCAAAGCAUUUCCCAAUGUCAUAACCACAACAUGAAGGGUACUUUUGGGUAGAAUCCCAACAAGAUAGUGUUUGAGCACGAGAGGGGUGAUGCUAAAUACAACUUUAUGUGCAUUGUGUGAGAUUAAGGAUGAAUCAUGCCAACAUAUUUUCUUAGAAUGCAAAUUUGCUCAAAGUGUUUGGUCGUUGUGCUUUAAAUGGAUUGGUAUCUCGUUUGUACAGCACAAAGAUCUUUUGACUCACUUUGAGAACUUCCAUUUGUCCCAAGUUAGCAGUAAGCAAAAUCUUCCGUGGAAAGGUGUAUGGGCAACUAUAGUGAGGUGUAUCUGGGAGCAAAGGAAUUCUAUUGUUUUCAAGCAAGGGGUAAUAGAUGCGGAAGAAAUUUUUCAAAUGGUCCAACUCAAGUCAUGGCUGUGGUUAAAGCAUAGAGUCACUCUUUCAGCUACUCCUGUGUAGAUUGGGUACAACCCACUUAUCUGUAUUAGAAGCUAUAAGUAAAUGGUUGUUAGUUGGUGUGUCCAAGGGACCCUGCAGAAGUGGAAGGAUUUGCUGGCAUAUCUGAGUUAACGUCACAGGGCCUUGUGCUCAAAUCUAACUUAGGUAUAAUAGGGAGUUAUAAGCGGGGGAAGUGUAGAAGAGCAGGAAGCGUAAAUCGAAGGAUGUUGGGGGAGGUGUUUGGUAUAUGUUGUUGCUUAGGAGUGUCAAUAGCUAAGCCUUAUUAGCGUAGGGACCAAGCUGUUUGACUGUCAAACAAUUUUUUAGAACAAUGGGAAAUCCUUUAUGCUGGAGGCCUGGAGUUUCAGCAGAGUGAUGCACAAAUACAAUUGUACAUUGGUUGAUGUCCCAAUCUGUAGAGGUUUGGUUGUGGGUUAUCUGCUUGCUGUCAAGUGUGGAAAAGGUGUUGUCAAAGGCUUGAUAUGCUUCCAGCUGAACCAUCUAGGUGGUAUAGCAGAACCACAACGAAGGCAUGCUAUGCAGGAGUUGGUGCUGAAGGGAGGAUGGUAUAAAAUAUUUGUUCUGAACUGGAAUUGAUACAGAUAUAUUCUAAGCACCCUUGGUUCUGGGUAUGAUGUGGAAGAGGGGUGAAAACUUGUAUAAAUGGGAUCAUGUGAAGGUGUAGAGGAAUUUUGGAAGGAAGAAAAAAAUGAUAGUCAUUACCACCUCGAAUAUUUUGUAUAAGGGCUGAGACAUUGUUAAAAAAACAUAAUUGAUGGAACAAGAAUUAUGUGAUAAAGUUUAAAUCUUAUAAAUAUAGUGGUACAUAAAUCAUCUCUGAAAUUGACAGAAGAUAAAAUAAUACACAAGAAUGGUCCUCUCAAGCCUGCAAUAUUAAGGCACAAAGACAGUAAUACUCCACAACCAUGAGGUAGGAGGCAUGUUCUUGAGAAAUGGUUACAUAGACAUUGUUACAGGGGAGUCAUGUUCUUGGAAAAAUUUAUUGAGGAUGCACAUGAAGCUUGUGUUGCUUGAGUGCAAGAAAUAGUGUAUAUAUAGUCGCAUGGUAUUGUCUUAGACAUCACUUUCAAGGAUUAGGAAGAUAAAGAGCAUAUCAUACCCCACCUUCUGAUAUAAUGUCCAACAGAUUUACGUACUUGAAAACAAAUACAUCAUCAAAGGUUGUGAAACCUAAGCUUAUUCAUUUGUCAUUGUUUUCUAGCUAUUUCAGUUUAUAUAUGCAGACAUGCUUUAGACAUAGCCCAUGUUUAAUGAAAUAAGAUGCUAAUGAUGUUGAUAAUUAUCUACCAUGUGUCAACCAGAAUUGAGCUAUCGAUCGAUGAGGAUUAUUUUAGAAACCAAAAUUAUUUUUAGUCUCCAAAAUGAUGAUAGUCUCUAAUUUGAUCAUUAUAACAACUAAUUAUUUUUUAUAUAUAAAAUUAGUUUCUAUUUAAUGAUUUUUUUGGAUAUGCAUGUUAUAAAUGUUAAGCUAGAGGAAGUAAGUUAUUUGUUCUAAGAGGUAUGAUGACACAUAAAUCUACUCACAAUUACUUUCCCAUUAGUGUAAUUUGCUUUUGAAAAAAAUGAGAAUGAUCUUCUAAGAAUCUAAGAGAGAAUAUUUAGAGAGUUCAAUAUCUAAUGAGAAGAAGUUUUAGUUGAAAUGAAAAAUUAUUUUUUCUAAACCUAUUUACAAAAAAAUUCAAAUAAAUUAAACUAUUUUUUCUAAACUUAUUUAUAAACUUCUUCAUUUAACUUAAACCAAAUUCUCUAUCUUGAAAAGUGGGCCUUACAUGCUUUACUUCCAUUAAAUAAGUUUCCGAAUUAGUCAUUAAUUCAAUUUUCAAAAUUAAAAAACAAUGUUUUAGUUAUUUUAAUUUUUUAUUCUAAUUACUUUAAUAACUAACUCUUUAUCAUUAAUUCAAUCUCCAAAAAUAUAUAUUUUAUUACAGUGUGUAAGUAGUUUCAAAUGAAAUUUAGUUUAAUUCUUAAAUUGUACACCUGUACAUAAAUUUCUUCAGAGCAAGGAAGGGUUUAAAUAAACUUUUUAUAAGUAUUUUUUUAGAAGAAAAAAAUAUUAACUACAGUGAACAAAUAAUAAUGAUCUAUGUAUGACCACACGAUAUAGAUCUUCCCCCACAACUCUCUCUAAAUACCAAACCUUGAGCAAGAACUUUACAACAAAGACAUAGAAAGACAGAAUUUUAGAGAGUGAGAAAGAAAUCAUGACAAGUGAUCAGGGUUUGAGGAUUCCAUGUCUGGAUUUUUCUGGAGUGGAGUUGGGAAUGAAAGAGGGUAGUGAGGAAUGGAGAGAGAUGAGCAAGAAAGUGAGGGAUGCUUGUGAGAGCCAUGGUUGCUUCAUC